UUCAAUUUAGUAUGGUUCCAUAGUUUGUUUGCAUAAAUCAAAUUUCGAAUGAGUCCCAAGGCGUCAUUGGUAAACUUGAAAUUCCCAAGUAGUUGUACUGAGGUAUGCGUGAUCGCACACAAGGAAUCGUGAUCGCCCUUUCCCGAUUGCCAUAUAUGUGGCCAUGAUUUCUCCUAUGAUAUAUCCAUCUCUAGAUUGUGAUCCGCAUAGAUGAGGGCCUUGGAUGGGUAUUAAAAGGCCUUUAAGCCUCAUUUUGAGCACUCUUCUCUCAUUUUUGAGACCUAGGAACCCUAGAAUGGUUUCUUAAUCGAAAAUUAAGUCUUAGAUACCUCUUGAGAGUUUAGAUAACAUAUAUUUUUAUGCUUAUCAACGAAUUUGAGGUAUGUAUCCUUCCAUUUCAUGUUUAAAUUUCUUGAAUUUUUUACCAAAACCCUAAUUGGCUUAGGGGCUUAAUCUAGCCCCAAAUAAUCUUAGCCCUUAUCUAUUUCUUGAUGGUUAUGAUUACUUGAUAGUGUAUGAACAUUGGGUUGACCUCAAAAAUAUAUUUUCCAUAAGUGAGACCCAUUUGGGUAUUUCGACAUCGUUUUUGAACCCGAAGCACAAUGGUGAAAUAAGGGUAUCAAUGUUCUCGUUAUAAUAUGUAGAUUGUGUUUUUGAUAGUUUGGAACCUUGAAGAAACUUCUUAGAAAUAAAAAUCAAAGUUUUAGCGGUUCGUGAGCUUUUUUGGAUUUGAGGUAGGUUAGGCUUGUUCGUUAUUAGAUUGAGCUAUGCUAUAGUCUAAUUAUGAAAUCUUGUUAGAUUGGGAUGGGUUUUGGGUGUUGAAAUGUUAAAUGUUAUGACAUGGGUUUAGUUGAAUCAUUUAGGUCACUUGAACUUAUAGAUUAAAAUGCUUGACUUAUAGGCUUUAACUUUUGGGAAUUGGACUUCAUUUCUCAUGGCUAGCAUGAGGAUGCCUUAGUUACUCUAGUUGGAUGUGAGUGACCUUAUCACUCAUGUUGUGGGUAAUUGACCCUGGUUGCUUACAUUAAUGAAAGUCCCUUAGUUACUAUGGUUGAAUUAAGUGUAAUGUUUGGAGAAGACCUUUACCUUAGGACUAGUGGUGGCUAACUUUACAUCUAAGAAUGGAUUUAGAUAUCCUAGUCCUGGGUAGAAGUUAGACUUUCAUUGUAUUUUGGGAAACUAGAAGUGGGUUCUUAACCCACCUUAAGCUUGGAUUUAUAUAGUUCUCUUGAAAACCUUAAAUGCUUUCUAAAUGUCUAGAAAAUGCUCCCUUGGAAACAUAUUGAUGAAACUGAGUAAUUAUAUUAUGGUGAUGAUCUUAGAAAUAAUAGAUAUGGUUUGUUGGCUAAAUUACCAUAUAGGCUAUGAGUAACUAUGGUUCAUGCUAUCAAUUAAGCUCGUGUCUAUGUUAUCAUGUGUUCCAUUGACUAAACUAUUAUUUUGGGCUUCGGCUAUGCUAUUACUCAUGUUGUAUUAUUGUUUAGUAACCAAACUAGUAGCCAUGCUAGAAAGCCCUCAUAUUUAUAAUAUUGUGAGUCAUGAUACUAAUGAUUCUAAAAGACAUGCUUAUUGACUACAUGGGAAGUUAUGUUGCUAGUUAUACUUGAAACUCGAUAAAUUUUAAUACUCAUGUUAAACAUAUAUGUCCAUUGAUAAAUUUGCAUUGAAGACGAAUGAUGAGCAUUGGAGGUAUGAUCUUCUUUACUUCUCCUUUAUAUUCAUUUACUUUAGCCCUUUUGGGGCUUGUCAUUUACUUUAGCCCUAAUGGGGCUUGCCAUUUACUUUAGCCCUCGUGAGGCUUGUCAUUUACUUUAGCCCUUGUGAGGCUUGUCAUUUACUUUAGCCCUUGUGAGGCUUAUCUUUUAUUAGUUUCAUGGAUUGUUUAUCCAGAUAAUGAUGCCCGGCAAGUUUGAAGGAUUAUGUUGGUGAUAUGAUGAUGCCCGAUAAGGUUAGAGGAUUAUAUUGAUGAUAUGAUGAAAUGAAAAUGCCCAAAAAGGCCGGAUCAUUAUGUUGAUGAUAUUAUGAUAUCCAUAAAGGCCGGAGGAUAUGUUGACAAUGUGAUUUACCCGACAAUUCUGAAAGAUGAUUAUUGAUGUGCCUAUAUGUACAUCACCGGUUUGAGUUCGGCUAGACCUAUGUAUGAUAAUUAUUCAUAUUUAUAUACACUUGUUUAUAUAUAAUGUGGGAAUAUUGUUGGUAUUUGGAUACCGUUUAUAGCCACUAGUGUUAAUUGCUUAUAAAGGGGUGUAAUUAAGGAUAAUGAUAACUAAGGAUUAGUGAUGGAUAUUGUUUAAUUGACCAAUCAAGACUAUUUGGAAAGUGAAAACUAGUGUAAUGUGAGGAUAUACUUAGUAAGUAAUGUUAGUGAUAAUUGUUGGUUAGAUAAGCAAUGUUGCCUGAUAAAAGGGCUAUGUAGUGAAUUUUUUCCUAGCUAAUGAUUGUAUCAUAUGAUGGCUAGGAAUCUAAUGGAAUAGUUAAUGAUCCUUGCUUAGCUAAUAAGUAGUGGCUAAUGGGUAUUGAUGAUAAAUAGCUAAUAAAGGUAAUUGUAUGGAAUAUGGUGAUGUGGUCAAUGUUGGUAACAAGUGAAGGUUCAGUAAAAUGACCGAUUGAUGAUAAAUGUUAAAUAUGGUUGCAUAAUAUUGAGAAUUGAGUUCGUUGUUGGUUAAACACCUUGUUAUUAUCUCUCUCUUGGGUGUACUCUACCGUAGUAUGAGAUGCAGUGAUGAGUUCUUUACUUUAUGCACUAGUUGGUGUAUGGGCGCCAACUUUGUACUUGUGUUUUAUUAUGGUUGUACUUUAGAAUGCGUUGUGAUUCCAAAUUAUUAUUUCUUAUGAAUAACGGUAUUGGCAUGUGAUGAUACUCUAUGAUAUAUUAUUGUACCGAAUUAAUGUCUUAUUAUAUAAAGUGGAGAUGGAGAUGAUUCAGGUUUGAUUUUAUACUUUGGCUUAGGUAUGUUUAUCUUGCAUUAUAUCACGACGUAGCUCAGUCGGCCGAUUAUUCCUAUUGAGUACCUGUUGUCUUGGUACUCAUACUACACUUUUGUACCUUUUGGUUCAGAUUCGAGUACUAAUUAUCGUUGUUAAUUCGAGUUCAUGCGGGGUUGAUCUUUCCGAGAUAGGGUGAGCUCAUGAAGUUUGAGUCACCUAUUUUCCCUCUAUCUUUUUUAUACAGUCUUUAGUAUUUGAGACAAAUGUAUUAACUAUACUUAAAGUCUUUCGGGUUGUAUUAUUCACAUUAGAUGCUCUUGCACUAGCUUUUCAGGUCGUGGGAUUAGUAUCUUAGGAUGAUUGUUUAUCUAUAUUAGAGCACUAUGUUAAUAUUUUAACUUGUGUUCAUUAAAUUUUGUCCUAUGUUGGCAUUUCCUACCGAAUUAACCCAUUAUGAUAGCUCUGAGUUAUGGUAUUGGCAUACCUGUUGGCGGAAUUUAGUAGGUGUCAUCAUGACUUAUAAAUCUGGUUCUGGCAAUUACACUAGUUUUUGGGGCUGAAUCCCCUUUUUUAACAUUUAUUAGAGUUUUCGUACGAUAACUUUCAGGUUCUAGGAAUGAUUUAUUUCAGCAUCAUGUUAUCUUACUCUUCGUUUAAAUAUGGAUUAUUGGUUUUUAUCAAGAGGAUGAUUUAGUUGCCUAUUUUUUGUAAAGUGUUGAUUUGUUUAUGAGAGUAAUUAGUUCUCCAUUGGGAGUUUUAGUGUGGCUGUCAUCAAGACGAGUUUGGAUCGUGACAUUUAUGAUUGAAUUUAGUUUAUAAAUAUUAAUAUUAUUGAAAGGAUCUUUAUGCAAUUAAUGUAUUUUAGUAUUUAGAAGCAGGUAAACUGUUAAUUUUUAUCAAGUUAUCAAUUAAAAUUUUAUCAUAGAGAUUAACAAUAUUAAUUUUAUAGGUUUUAGACAAUCUCUCUCUAUAUAUGUAUACAAAACAGGAUCAUAGACAAGGUAAUGUGGUACCUCUAUAGACUCUAUGACCUCCAUUUUUAUUUAUUUUCUCUUUUUUUGUUGAUUUUUUUCUCAUUUCAACGUAAUAUACUAUGUAUUAGAAAAUUCAAGUCACUUGGCUUUCCUAUUGUUAAUUAAUAGCUAGGAGAAAUGAUUAUGAAUUAGUAUAGCUUUUAAAUAUGUACUUCCUCCGUCUAAUUUUAAUUCGGCAUAUAUUUUUUUAUAUGGUGAUUAAGAAAUCAUAAAUUGAAGGAUAAAUUUUACUAUUUGACCUUUUACCCAUAUUAAUUAUAUUCAUUGGGCAUAAGAAUUGAAAUUCAAGAGAGGGGUGAAUUGAAAAUUUUCUGUGAGUCAAUUAUUGAGUUUUCACAGUCGACUUGUCUGCAAAUUGGUGCGCUUCACAAAAUAGAUUAGAUUUAAAUAAAUGAACAAGUAAUAAAAAACUUUAAAGUAACGACACUAAGAUUUAUCCUGGUUCGGAACACCAAUGUGGUACCUAUUUCCAAUCCCUUGGGUUUCAAAGUUUCCUUAGAUCUUUCAAAGUCAAGCUUCGAGUUCAAUGAUGAUAAACAAGUUUCAAAGACUUAUCUUGUUCUUCAAAUCUUGUGAUACAGCUUCAGUUUGUAUUAUAAAGUUGACUCGAUCCUAUUCUUUGUAUAAUUAUUGUAAACUAGGAUGUACAAAGCUUUGUGAGACUAAGAUUGAGACACUUUGAGAUUUUUCCUUAAAGUUGAGUACUUUCUCUUGUCUCUUGUCUUUUGUUAUAGCUUUUAUAGUAUUCUGUCGCAUGUACUUCUUUUCUUCAUAAGGAAACCCAAAGUCUUUCUUCUUAACUAAGGAUUUGGGUUGAUUCCUUUAUUGAGGGAGUUUGCACCUUAUGGUAUGUCCAUAUCAUAUAUGUUCAUACUCGAUACGAUUUUCCUUUCUCACAACCAUACAUAUCUAUAUCAGAUAUUUCUAUGUAGAGGGUGUGAUCUUCUUUACUUUGGUAUUGCCAUGAAGUUCAUCCAGUCACCACCAAUUUUGUUUUUCGGUAAGAUCUUCCAAUUGAUGUGGUUAUAUGUUCAGCACCUCCUUUAUAGUUGGAUAAUCCUUGCGAGAUACUUUCUAUCAUUAGAGAUUUAGAUGGAUGCUCCUUGCCUUGUGUCCAUCAGUGGAGAUCUUCAAAUAUACUAUAGAUUUCCCAUCAUUAGUUUCUCAUUAUUAAAACAUAAACAUAAAUAUAGGAGGCUAACAAUCUCCCUAUUUUUGAUAAUGACAAACAAGUAUUAAAAUCAGGUGACUUCCCUAUCUAUUACAGUAGUCGUCUUGAGACCUUGACUUGUAAACACUUCCAAUGUUCUUCUAAUUCUUGAGUAUCAGUCGACUCUUAUCUAUUGAUAGUCGACUUGUUUCCCCUAACUUGUAAGAACUUUUGAUGUUCCUGUCUUUCUCUCCCUUUUGGAAUAAUUAAUAAGAACCACAGAGGAACAAAAGAAUAGUAGACAUAUAGCAGAGAAUUAAUCUAAUCAAUUGCCAAGUUCCCAGGCAAAAACAAAGAGUGUGGUAGAUAGUCUGUUAAAAAUCAUCUUACAACCCAACAAAAACAAGGGACAGGACCCCUUUUUGAAUAAAAAGUCAUCAUUCACCACUUAGCCAGAAAGUAUGUUAGGGUGUUGUGCAUAUUAUGGAAGAAUUUAUCAUAUGAUUUUUCAAUGUUUUUGAAGGAGGAGUAGAAGUUCUAUACGGAAAAGCAAGAUCAUUAUUGGAGGAGUGGACUUGGGACUUGAGGGAGUCCAUGUGAGUGAACACUCAAGUAAACAACUUAAUGACCCUCUUGUUUGAACCAAUCAAGAGCCAACCAGACCACAACUAUGUCAGUGUUGGUGCUUUUCUUAAGGUCUAGAAGUUUGGAAGUUGACUCCUGCAACGUGACAGCUUCCUCAAUAGCUUUGAAGUGAUCUUUGAUUUCCUUCAAUUCCUUCAACACAAUAAUCAUGGGGUUAGAAAUAGACUUGCUUACCUUGGAGAGUUUAAAUUUUGUCUAAGCAGAAUCCUUUUUGCACCACUCAUUAUCAACCAAAACAUAACCCAUAUUGUAAAAGUUUUGGAAUUAUAAGUGGCAAUGAAUUCCACCGGGGGGUAAGCAGAGAUAUCAAUACAAUGAAUCAAAAGAAUCCGAGCAAUUAGCAUACCAUAUGGUAAACUAGAAAAGGCAUGAACAUCCGCUGCACUCUCCAACAUAUACUCAUGGAUCCAGGUUAUCCAAUUAAUUUUGUGUUUCUUAACCAGACAAUACAGAAUAAAUAUAUCAUAGCAGGUAAUGUUGUUGAGGGGAUCCCUUCCUUGGAAUCAGUAUGGUAAUGAUUAUGUGGGCCAUGAUGCGAUACUUGAAACACAGGUACAAGGGACCAAAUUAGAUGAUGUUGUGUCCGAGUCAGACAGGAUCUAUUUUGUUCUUCAAAAUAUAUUUCAAAAUCUUUGAGCCAGGCACCUUUCAUGAAAAAAAUCACACCAGAGAACUUUGUAUCAAAAACCUUCUCAAACAAAAAAUCAUUCAGGACGAUUCUUGUGCCAAGCACAAUGGUCUCAAGUUCACCUUUAUCAAUAGAGAGGCGUAGAUUUGCAUAGAACAUGCGGACGGGAUCCUCAUAAACCAAAAGUUCACAAAGAAGGAAUACCAAGGACAAAUCUUGAAACCUAGAUAAGUGACUGACAUUAUAGAAGGCGUCUUUUAAUUGACAGAGAUUGAUUAUGCAAUCGGGUACAAUAGAGUGGUUUUGAAGGCAGAAAUUUAUUUUUGAGAGUAUGUCUAAAACUUGUGCAUGUCCUCAGGAGGGAAGGAGUUUAGAGAGGUAUUUUGAGUUUUAUUGGUAGAUGGGACUAGGUUAGGAGCGGUACGACAUCUUUUGAUGAGAGUAUACUAUUGAUAAUCUUACGAGGAUUCGUAGAGGACUCGAAGAGGAGAACAGGACUGUCGAGAGAGCUUUAGGAAAGAAUUUGGAAACACUGGUCAUGGAAUGAGUUCUGGUCAUGGGAAAAGAGUGGAAUUGGAUUUUAAAGGGACGGGGAGGGAGAAGAAAGGAAGGGUAAGUGAACAAAAGGAGAGAGAAGGGAUGUCGGUGACUGUUGGAAAAGAGAUUAAAGGGGAAGACGAAGAGGUAUGAAGUUAAAAGGUGACUGAUGGAAGAUAAAGGACAACAAAAGGGGAUAUAUUAGGAAGGUAAAGAGGUGUAGAAGCAGUAGGGUGGCAUUAAAACUGGUGAAAAUAAUGAUGACUUCCUUCUUGAAAACCAAUUUUUAGUUUAAAAAAACUGAAGAGAAAUCGGAACAAUUAAAAAGAUUUUUGUCUAAGAAUAAAACUCAUAGGUCAUUAAUACUGAGAAUACCAAGUAUUUUUCUAAGGUAACAAAAUCUUUCUUAUAACAAGGUUUUCAUAAAAAUAUCUACCUAUUAAUUUUCGGAGUCAAUAAACAUUAAAGGAAAGUCUUAAUUUUCUACAUGGUCUAGAACAAAAUUAUGCUAGAAUGAUGCACAGUAUAUUUAGACAAACUAAUAGCACUGGUGUUAUCACACAUUAUGGGAAUGGAUUCAAAAGACAAAUUAAAAUCAAGUAAUUAAUGUAUAAUCCAUAAAAUUUUAGUACCACAACUUCAACGGCUAUGUAUUCAGCUUCAGUUGUUGAAAGAGCAACUGAAGUUUACUUCUUGUUGUGCCAUAAAAUUAGGGCAUCACCAAGAAUUUAACACAUUCCACAAGUUCUUUUUCUAUCACUUUUAUCACCAGUAAAGUCAGCGCCUGAAUAUCCAAUUAAAUUAAAAUAGGAAGAGCAAGGAUACAAUAAUCCAAUGUCUUGAGUUCCUAUGAGAUAUCGGAUGGUUCUUUUAACUAAAGUUAGAUGAGACUCUUUGGGAGUCAACUGAAACUUGUCACACUUACAUAUACUAAACAUGAUGUGUAGUCGAUUGGCGAUCAAAAAGAGUAAUGAUCUAAUCAUUCCCCUGUACAUCUUUUCAUCAACAGCCUUUCCAGAUGAGUCUAAAUCAAGACUUGUGGAUGGAAUCAUUGGAGUUUCAUUGGCCUUUUCUUUUUCCAUACUAAACUUUUUGAUAAGUUCCUUUGUGUACUUAGCUUGACUAAUGAAUGUACCUUAGGGAGUUUGCUUGAUUUAUAAUUCCAAGAAGAAUGUGAGCUCUCCCAUAAGGCUCAUUUCGAUUCUCAUUUCAUCAGAUUUGAAAAAUUCUCACAUGGAGAGAUGUUAGGACUACCAAAAAUAAUAUCAUCAACGUAAAUUUAAACAAUAAAAAGGCUCUUUUGAUGUACAUUUGAUAUAACUUAAAGCAUUUGAAAGCAGCAAAAGCUAUUACAAUUUGAAUUGCUUCUAACCUUGCCACAGGGCAAAGGUUUUAUCAUAAUCAAUACCAUCUUGUUGGGAGUAGCCUUGAGCUAUAAGUCUGGACUUGUUUCUAAUAACCUUACUUUCUUCAUUUAAUUAGUUUCUGUAGACCCAUCUAGUUCUAGUUACUGAGCAAUUUUUGGGUCUUUCAACUAGAGUCUAAACUUAAUUUCGUUCGAACUGGUCCAACUUUUAUUUCAUAGCCUCAAUCCAAGAUUUAUAUUUGAGGGCCUUAUCGAUCUUCUAUAGUUUGAUUUGAGAUAUAAGGGCAACAGAUACUUGUUUUCUCAAUGAUGCUCUUGUCUACAUCCUAUCAUCUGGGUUUCCGAUGAUGAAUUCACUUGGAUAACUAGAAUCAUGUUUUCAUUCUCUUAGAAAACUUAGUUUGGCCAUUUCUGCUGCAGAAGUCGACUUCAUAGGGGAUAUAGUCGACUCGUCUUAUGAUAUUGUAAGAGUUAAACUAGCAUUGGCUCCAGGUUGUAGAUCACUCACAUAUUCUUCAUCAGUUCUCACACUCAUAGGAGGGUGUUUUAUUUCAUCAAAUACAAUAUGCAUAGAUUUCUCAACACAUAACGUUCUUUUAUGUAAGCACUGGUGGGAGAGUACCCAAUAAAAAUACCCUUGUCACUUCAUGGUUGAAUUUUCCCAAGUUAUUCUUACCGUUGUUUUAGAUGAAAUGCUUGCAUAUAAAGGGAUGAAAGUAGCUAAUAUUUGGCUUCUUUUCUCUCUACAACUCAUAUGGUGUCUUCUUUAGAAUUGGUUUGAUGAGGCAUCUAUUGAUGAUGUGACAUGUUAUGCUUAUUGUCUUUGCCCAAAAAUAAUCUGGGAGAUUGGGUUCUAACAGCAUGGUCCUAGCAAUUUCUUGGAAAGACCAGUUCUUUCGCUCUACCACACCACUUUCUUGAGGAGAUCGAGGUUAUGAGAAGUUCUGAGAGUAUUCAUUCAGAGCACAGUCAAAAGCCUUCUUUUCAAAUUCUUAUUCGUGAUCACUGUGAACAUAAGUAAUGAGGUACCUAGCUUCUAUCUGUACUUUUCUAUAAAAUAUCUCAAAGUUUGUGAAAUUCUUAUGUUUAUGAGCAAGAAACAUUACCCAAGUAAAACGGAAAUAAUCAUCAACUAUAACAAAAAUAUAUUUGUUUCCACUAAUACUUGCGGUCUUAGUGGGGCCAAACAGAUCCAUGUGAAUUGUUUGAAGGGGUUUGGUAGAAGGGAUGAUGUCUUUGACUUUGAAUGAUGUCCGGGUCUAUUCACCCAAUUGACAGGCAUCACAAAUGUGAUCCUUUUCAAACUUGAGUUUUGCCAGACCUUUCACCAGUUUCAGUCUGGACAAUUUCUCAAUGACAUGCAUACUGGCAUGCCUAAGUUUUUUGUGCCACAACCAAGUGUCAUUGGUUUCCACAGUGAGGCAGGUUAAGGUAGUAAAAUUAGGACUAUUUAAGACAUAAAUAUUAUCAACACGUUUACCGAUGAGAGAGUUAUCUCUUUUAUCAUGUUUAAUGGAACAGCUUUUAGCUUUGAAGGAGACUCCAAAUCCAGUGUCACAUAGCUGACUGAUGCUGAGCAAGUUAUGUUUGAGUCCAUCUAUGAGAUAUACUUCAAUAAGUUCACAUGAAGAGUUGAGCUUUACUGAACUGACUCCUAUAACGUUGCCUCUAGCAUUAUCACCAAAUCUGAUUGAUCCCCCUUCUAUUUUAUUUAGAGCAUAAAAGUUUUCCUUCAUUUUGGUCAUAUGUUUAGAAUAUCAUCUAUCAAUGACCCACAUUCCAUUUUUAUAGCUUUUUCGGGUAUGUUCCUGGAAAACAAAAAAAUAAUUUUAUUUAGGUAUCCAAGUAGUCUUGGGUCCUUACGGGUUAGAUGUGUUCCCUUUAGGCCUCCAAACCCACACGUUUUUAGGCUUUUUCCUGCAGCUAUGAGAUUGGUGCCCUAUUUGUCCACUAAUAUAACAAACAGGUCCUCACAAGGAGAAAGUGGUGUUGGCUGAUUUAAAUGAUUUUGAUAAGGAACUUGAGUUGGUUUUAAAAGAAUUUGAUCUCACAAAACUGUGAAUUUAUAAUUUUUUAAUGUUAUUCAAUUGCAUAUUUACAUCAUCAAGUUCUUCUUGAAGAAAGUCAAUUUCAAUUUGACAUGCUUCAAUUUUAACUAGAUAGUUUCUUCAUUCCUCUUUGAGUUUUUGUUUAAGUCGAGCUUCCUAUCUUUUUUCUCUUAGGCGAGUUUAUUAUAUUCAUCUAUAAUUUUUUAAAGCUCGUCGGUUAUCAUAUCUAAGUUAGAUUCAAGAAUAUUACAAUUAUAACAUUCGUGUGGUCUUACCUUGCUAGAUUCACUUCUAUGUUGGUUGCUUCUAUUUCUUCUUUAGUUUCAUCUUCAUCAUUCUAGGCUCCAAAAUUUUGAUUCUUUCUAGAUGAUAUUCUUCUUAACUCUGGACAAUUUUGUUUAAAUGGACAGGCCUUCCACAGUGAUAACAGCGAUCAUUGUUUCUAGUGGAAUCAUUAUUUUUGGCUCCUUGGGAUCUUUGUUGUCUCUUUCUUAUGAUUUACCUUACUUCUCGAUUUAUGAGAGCUACUCCUUUGCUACUUUCUUCUUCCAAAAAGUCCUCCACUUCUAUUGGUGCAGCAUUGAAGGCUACUGGUUUAUUUUUUUUCCUUCUUGUUGUACCUGUUGAUAUAAUUUCAUUCAUAUACAAUGAGAUUACCUCGUAGCUCAUCAUAUGUCAUAUUGUGAAGAUCUCCAUCUUCCAGAAUGGCAGCCUUAGUUUCCCAAACUCUUGGGAGAAUUCUGACUAGCUUCUGACUUAUAGGCUGUGUAGAUAGAUCUUCCCCAAUGAUUUCAGCUUGCAUACGAUUUUGUUGAAUCUGGAAAACAUUGUUUUAAUGUUGUCAUUUUCUUUCAUCUUGAACAGCUCGUAUUCAUUGACUAGGGUAGCAAUCUUUGACUUGACUUUGGUGGUUCCUUCAUAGAUUACCCUAAUUUAUCCCACAUCUUUGCAGUCUCACAGGUUGAUAUCUUAUCAUAUUUUUCUCCACCAACUGUACAAAAAAGUAGACUUAUAGCUCGUGCAUUAUUUUGGAUUACCUCUUGUUUUUUUUGUGAUCUCAAGGCUUUCAAAGUCUUCUAUAUCGGUACUGCUCAAAUCGUUGUCUUUGUCCUUUUGCUUCUCCUUGAGUAUUGGAAUUGGAUUUAGUCCUUUCUUAAUGACAACCCAUGCUUGAAAUUCAUUUGAUUGGAUAAAGAUUCUAAAUUUGUUCUUCCAAUAGGAGUAGCGUUGUCCGUUGAAGUAUGGUGGUCUUAUGAAGGAAUGACCAUCUUGAAGAAGAGCACCAAAAAUUUGAUGGUUUGACAUUUGAUCUUUGCUCACGUGUGGUUAAGCAACACUGUUGGUGAGACCUGCUCUGAUACCACUUGAAAUUCAAGAGAGGGGUGAAUUAAAAAAUUUAUGUAAGUCGACUAUUGAGUCUUCACAGUCGACUUGCCUGCAAAUCUGUGCACCUUACAAAAUAGAUUAGAUUUAAAUAAAUGGACAAGUAAAUAAACAACUUUAAAGUAACGACACGAAGAUUUAUCCUGGUUCGGAACACCAAUGUGGUGCCUACUUCCAGUCCCUUUGGGUUUCAAAGUUUUCUUAGAUCUUUCAAAGUCGGGCUUCGAGUACAAUGAUGAUAAAUAAGUUUUGAAGACUUAUUUUUUUCUUCUGGUCUUGUGACACAGCUUCAGUUUGUUUACAAAUUUGACUCGAUUAUAUUCUUUGUAUAGUUAUUGUAAACUACGAAGUACAAAGCUUUGUGAGACUAAGAUUGAGACACCUUGAGAUUUUUCCUUGAAGUUACAUACUAUCUCUUGUCCUUUGUUUUAACUUUUAUAGUCUUCUACCGCAUCUGCUUCUUUUCUUCAUAACGAAACCCAGAGGAUUUCUUCUCAAUCAAGGAUUUGGGUUGAUUCCUUGAUUAAGGGAGUUUGUACCUUAUGGUAUGUCCAUAUUCAGUGCGAUUUUCCUUUAAUUUCUCACAACCAUACAUAUCCAUAUCAGAUAGGUCUAUUAGAUAAUAUGAUCUUCUUUCUUUUGGUCUUGUCGUGAAGGUCAUCCAGUCACCACCAAUUUCGUUGUUUGGUGAGAUCUUAUGAUUGAUGUGGUUCCAUGUUCAGCGCCUCCUUCAUAUUUGGAUAAUCCUUGUGAGAUACUUUCUAUCAUUAGAGAUUUAGAUGGAUACUCCUUUCCUUGUGUCCAUCAAUGGAGAUCUUCAAAUAUCCUGUAGAUUUUCAAUCAUUAGUUUGUCAUUAUUAAAACAUAAACGUAAAUGUAGGAGGCUAACAGGAAUGGACAUUGGAAUUGUAAUUGUUCACAUUUAAUGUAUAUUACUAAUUGUAGGGGCAGAAUGGAAAAAAAAUUCUAUCCUGAUUUAGUAAGUGAGCAACUUAUAUGAGACAUUUAUUUUUAGUAAGAUGACUAACUAAAAUGAAACGGAGUAAUUAUUAAUAAAGAAAGAAAACAAAGCAUAUACUUCAUAUCGUUCCAAUUCCUUCUAAAGCAAACCGUUUCAAACCAAGGCAUAUUUUAUACGCAUGCAGUAUGUAGUAGUUUCUUUUAACAGAAGAUAAUAUUAUGUACUUAAUUAUUACAAUUAUUAGGGAACAAUUAAUUCAUUCAUAUAUUUGAGAACGUGAAAAGGCAGUGACCGACCAUACGCAAAUAAUGAAGUUGCUGCAUUACUUUUUAAGCUGUACCAUGAAAUUUCCAUCAGAAAUAUGCUAUGAUAUGAAUAUGAAUGCUACAAUACAGUCAGAGAUGCUAUUUGGGACGUCAGUGAUGCAUUUGGAAACAACAAUCACGUAAGAAUAAUAAUUUUUUCAAUCAUUUGUUCGUCCUACUUCUCCACAAACAUAAUUUAUUUUUCUUCAUUUUAGUUAUGUGGAUUGGGAGGUAAUUAUUCUAUCCUGAAUCUAUUUACUUGUGUGUUUUAAUUAACAAUAUGAUAUUGUCAUUCUUUUUUCCAUUGUGUUUAGGGGUUAUAUAUUGUUUUAAAUUUUUUUAUUUUCUCUUCUUUUUUUUUUAAACAGUGUACUUAUGGGUUAUAGGUUUUAGAUUUGAUCUCCUUCGUAAAGAUGUGGUUAACUACUAUGAGGACGGUGGCAAAUGGAGCAGUAGGUAUCUCUACCAAGUCAUGAUUGUCAUUUUUAGAGAGGACAACCAUUUUGUAGAAUAAAAGAAUCUGAGCUUCGCAAGGAACGCUCUUUCACACNNNNNNNNNNNNNNNNNNNNNNNNNNGCAUAUUCUCCUUUAUAUGUCUCCCCUUAAUUUUGUAUGUAAUUUUAUCAGAAUGUAAUUAUUAUACAAGCAAUCGUUCAUUUGUUUGUUGAUAACUUCUGUUACGAAUCUGUCUUAUGCUUGACAAGAUUAACUACAAUUUGUAUUCUUGAUGAGAUUAUAUACAUACAACUUUGUAUGCUUGAUGAGAUAGUAGCUACAAAAUUCCAACAUGCCCAUAAAUUUUAAGCUCUGUCUUAAUUGAAAAAUUUAGGUGACAUCAUAUUAUAUAUGUUUGUAAUUCAAGAAUUUUAUUAGUAUUGAUAUAAAAGAAUCAUCACAGCUUCAAUUUUUUUCCCGAAAGAUUUUUUAUUUCAAAAUCUAAAUUUCAACAACAACAACAUACUAUUCCCAUAAAGUGGGGGUCUAAGGAGGCUAAAGUAUACGCAGUCCAUACCACUACCUCAAAUGAAGUAGAGAGGUUAUUUCCGAUAGACCCUUGACUCAAGACAAAUAACAAUAUAACAAAUAAAAAAAUAUAAAAACAAACAAUAAAAAGGAAAAAUCUAAAUUUCAAUACUUACAAAAGAAAAUGAAAAUGCAAGGAACCUAUUUAUUUCGUUAUUACUUUUAUGGUGAAUAAAUGAUUUAUUCUUACUAUUUUGGAUUGAGCUGGAUUCUUUGACAAUUCUUCUUGAGAUCAGUGAUCAGAUAUUAAUCGACAGAAAAGUCAAGAAUGUUUUAAUGGACAGGGACUACUUCAAAAGAUCGCUUUUAGAUCGGUGCUGCGAGUCAAGGAGAAAUAGGGGUAUGAGUGUUACGCAUUUGUAUUUAUGAGUUUUAAAUUUGUCACAAUCCAAUUUCUAGAAUCAUGAUAGCACCUACUAUAAUCCACCAAUAGAUAAGUCAAAUCAUAGCCCAGAACAGCAAGUAAUGGGCUAACCAACGAAGGCUAGAAAAUAAAGGAUAAAGACACGCAAAGAAAUCAUGAAAUAACUAAAGCAACGAUAAAUAGAUACGAACAUACUAUACAAAAGAAAGAGGAGGACAAAAUACACAAAAUGAGAUCCCUUGUGACCUGAUAAGAUCGAUACAAGAGCCUCUAAACCAAAAUUGAGCACUAGAGAGAGUCAAAUAUACAACAUAGUCUCAGAAUGUACAAAAAGCGGCAAAAGGACGAGGACCAGCCUCACCCUAUCUCUGAAUCAGCAGCAAGCCCGAGGAUAAUAUCAGUGGUUGUGACUCGUACUCAGGUCUGCAUCACAGAAAAGAAGCAGAAGUGCAGUAUGAGUACCAAAAACAACGAGUACUCAGUAGGCAUCAUAGGCCGACUGAGCUAAAUUACAGUAAGAACGUAAAUAAAGUGCAAGAAUGUGACUAAAGUCAACAAUAAAAGAAAAACAACGGAAGUAGUAAAUCAUGCCGAGCGAAAGCAAUAUAAAGGUAAAAUAAGUGUUAGAAUGUGAAAAUAAAGUCUAUUAUAAUCUAAUUAGGCCCCCAAUAAGUCCAGAAGAAACACAGAAGAGGGAUAAAUACAACUAAGCCCCCAUAAGCACCGGUGAGUACGAACAAAUGGUAACAGUAAAGUAAAGAUGAAAUACGACAAUAGCAAGCAUAAAAUAAUCCAGAAUAUAGGUCAUGCAUACCUGAUACUUCUAACACAGUCAUAACCACCUUUCUAUCAAUUUUUACUAGUUUUUCAACCCUAUAUAUGUUAUGAUCCGAGGCUACCCCCAGUCGUAACACAGUGCUUAGAGUCACAAGUGACCCCAAGCUAACCCAUGGUCUGGCAUGACACUAAGAACACUGAAAACAACUAAAAAUACUUAUGUGAAAUCUGAAAGGAAUAAUGAAAUAAGUAUUCAAAAGAAAAUCAAUCAAUAAUAUCUGAGUUUAAGACCACAGGCUGAAAAUCUAACUAUAAGUUUGAAGGCUUCUACUAAGACGACAUGUUAAACAUCUAACUGUAAGUAUGAAAGCCUCUACAAAGAUGAGUUGUUGGGAUAAGCCCCCAGCUAACUCUGACUGUCUGAAAAUUGAAAAAAGACAAAGACAAAAUGAAAUAUUAAUAUUAGCCCUCAAUGAUGAGGACUCACUAAAAUAUUGAUGUUGAUGUUGUGGGAGAUCGUACUAUGUGCGAUCUGGAUGCUGGGCAUCAGAACAUAUAUUAUGAGACAAUAUAACGUAAAAAAAGUAUGCAAUUAGUAUUUGAAUGUACUGAGUAUGUAAAAUAGGAAAUAACUAAUAUAAACUGAGCAUAAUGCAUCUAACAUGAUAAACUGAUGCAAAACCAGGUAAGGCACAGGUGUUUCAUAAUAAACUGAAUAACUUAAUACAAGGUCAUGCAAGAAUCUGAAUUUGAACUGUAAAUUAUGGACUAUGGGAGAUACUAAUAACCGGCAUACUCCAAUCUGAGCUAACCGGGGCCUAAUCUAUAACUCUGACUGGAAGGGUGUUUAGUAUAUUACCAAGGAUACAAUUACUGACUGACGUAAAUUCACUAAACUGGUGUUCAAACGGACUAAGGUGUCAAGCCUAGUCAGAUGGGUGAACCUUUGAAACCUACGGUGAUGCCGUAAUUUUGGAACUUAGGAACUUUUAUUAAAAGUAUCAGCCUAACUAGAGGAUAAGUCAUUAUCCCUUCAUCCACUCAGCGCGAAGUACUACUCCUAACUAAAUGACAUUGAAAACUGCAAUGCUCAAGGAUAAUGAUAAUAUGAAAACUGAAAUAAAUGCAUUAUCUAAAAGCAUUUAAAAUAUGUAAACUGGGGGGGUAUAGUACUUAAACGUAUAUGCAUGAAAUUCUAGGUCAUCGAGUGUUCAUAACUCACCAUCUUUGAUGGGUGUAACUAUCAUGCCAGUUUCAUAUCCUGGGUGAAAUUAAGGAUUUUAAUAAUUAAAGUCCAAACCUGUAGGUUUCAAUAUGUAACUAGGAUUUGUGUCAUACUAUAAUUUAUGAUAAAACGUGAAUUACAACUCAAUGACACCAAGGGAAUAAGGUAUCAAGGAAUUUGACAACAUUCAUCAACCCUAAAUUAUGAAGAAGUUUGGGAUCCAAAGGGUGAAAGGAGACUCAUUGAUGAAAUUUCACAUACGUGGUAAUGAAAACCCUAAAGAAUUCUUUAGAAUUGCUAUCCUUAAGAAGAUGAACCCUAGCUCUGCCUUGGGCAAAGAAAUUGUCUAUUUCUCUGUUUAAAAUAAAGUGUCAGUGUUUGUCUAAGAAAUAAGGGCUUAGGAUAACAUUAACCCCAAUAAUCAUCCUUGAAAUAUCAUAAAUGACAUAGGUUUUAUGUUAAAAGAAUGAAAAAAGACUGAUAUGCAGCUUCAAAAUUUACAACUGGUAACUUGUCAGACCCAAAAACUAAGGGUCAUGAUGGCACUUGUCGCGGCAAGUCUUGAAAAGUAAGCCUAUCAUACAAACUGGUAUAAAAGAGAAAAUAACAACAAUAACCCAAAGUAAGGCUUCUAAAACAAAGCUGAAUUACACAAUAAAUUAAAAGCGAAAGAACAUAACCAAAGAUAUCAUACCAUAAUUUUAAAACCUGGUGUCACAGUGUAAGAACAUCACUAGUACAACUCGAGAUCAAAAUAUACAUAAGAUAUCCAAAGCAAGAAAAACUUUGUCUCUGAAUGCAAAAUAAAAAUAGUCUAAAUAAAUGAAGGUAGUAGUCGACUACAAAAGUAAGAAUCCAGCUACUACCUUGAAUAGCUCAAAAGUAUCGCCCAAAGUCAAUCACCGUGAGGCACACUCGAACCAGGAUCUACACUGAAAGAGUGUAGUAGGGGUGAAUAUGUCCACUUAUACUCAACAGGUAUCAUAGGCCGACUAAGCAAAGUAGAAAAUAAAGGAUACAAAAUACACACUAAGGGCAUGUCACCUGCAACCAAAAAAUGUCCUAAAUGAUAGCCUACACCAUCUCUACUUACAGUUCUAUAAUAUUCACAUACACCAUAAUAAUAAAAAAGAGAAGCACAAGUAUAUAGGUAUCACAUAUACGAAUACAAAGGAAGAAAUAAACAUACAAAGGUAUCACAUCAAGAAAAAUAAUACAUCAUAGAAAUGUACGAAGUAAAUACAUAUGUAAUAAAAAAGAUAAUGAUAAUGUUAAUGAUGAUGAUGAUGCCUUGAGGAUAUCACACAACUUCCAUAUACACCUACGGAGCUAAAGCUUUCCAAUGUAGGACCCAUGAGGUUUUCAUCAACCCAUAUACAACUAAUAUCCAUAACUUCUUUUUGGCACAUCCAUCGAUAGAGGGUUUUAAAGAUGUAAUAUUUUUCUGGCAAAAAAUGAUAGUGUUUCUGGUAUUUUCAUGGAGGAACCAAUGUUUCAUGAAUGUAUAUGAUAUGAGGAUGUAAUGCUCACAACCGAUCAAAAUGAGUAUGUCUAUAUCUAACCAAUAUACCAACCAAGUGAACCAAUAAUCCACUCAAUAUUUUCAACCAUCCAUGAAUUCCAACAUAAUUCAUAUGCUAAGAGAGUAGAAUACAAUUAAAUUACACCACUAGUACCACAUUAGGUUUUUUCAUUAAUGGGAUACAAUUAAUUUCACAUAUACAAGGCCAACCACAUCAUAUAAGACCCUACACGGUCACACAUAACAAAUGAUGUUUCAAAAAACACCAAAUACAUCAGUAUGUAGGCCCCACACGGGCACAACACAAUUAUUACAGCCAUUUUCAUGACUAGUUCUCACACCCUUAACAUGCUUUUUGUAUCAACAUUAACUACCCAAUCAAGUCUGAAGAAAGCAAAGCCAUAAUCUACCUCGAAUGCCAAAAAUCGAUCUGAAAGCCUUCAAUCUGAAGUGUUACACCUCAUGAACAGACUCAAAAUUAACUAAAUCAUAUAGAAUCUAUGCAUCAAAAGAAAGCCAAUAAUACUCAUAUUACCUAAUUUUGAGUAUAGGUCAAAACGGACCUCCGAAACGGAUUUUGAAAAAGAAGGAUAAAAUCAUAAUUUUAUCUUUUAAAACAUAUUUCUCAUAUGUAUAGGAAUCUACAUUUGAAAACCCAAGUGAAAAUAAAUUAAAAAUGAGGUCCUAAUUGAAAAAAAAAUCAUGCUUAAGCAUUACCGAUGCAAAUUCUCAAAAUUUAUUUUAAAAGCAAGAAUUAAAGUUGUUUUGAAGAUAAAAUCGAAAGAAAAGUGAUAAUUAUAAGUUUAGAAAGUCACCCAAGUGAAAUCAAGGUUUAAAUUAGAUAAUUAAAAUUUUUAGGCCUUAUGAGCCAAAAUUUCCAAUUUCUACCUUUUUAAUUCGUGUUUAAACAAGAAAUACAUGGCAAAAUUUGGAGAAAAUAGAUGAAAUAGUUGUUACAGAGCUUAUCCAGGAUUAAAAGUGAAAGAAAUUGCUCAAAAUCAUAAAACGCUAAGCUCCAAAAAUGGUGAAAAUGGUUAAACAUGGAUAUAUAAAGGGCCCAGACAUGGUAUACACGAUUAUUGAGUCGUGUAUGUCAUACCUGUCCUGAGGGAAGGUAUUGCAUAUGCAAAUCUGUCAUCGCAUGUGUGAGUCCUGCGAUAGCGACCAAGAUGUCACGUAUGCAAUAUUUGCAUCUAGUCAGCUGAGUCGUGUAAGCGACUAGACAUCACAUUUUUGGGAACACCAGCACCAGCUGGAGACUUGGAGUCUCCACGGAUCCCUCAAAAUUCAUCCACAAUCAUUGAACACAAAGAAACUAUGCUACCCUACCAAGUUUGAUGCUUCAAAAUUAAUAGAGAUAUCAGAUUUUCGAAAAAAUAAUGUUUUCACAAAGUUGACCCCCAAAUCUAAUUUCACAACUUUUCGAAUUAAGGGUCGAAAUGAGAUAUAAAAUUGAUAAAACCACAACAACCAUGUUACCAACCUAAGAUUGAUGUUUUGGAUCUGCUAGCGCGGUCUGUCUUGCCAUCUGAUGCAUAGAUCAAUAAAUAUUGAUCGAAGUUAACUAUAAGGCGUUUCAAACCAUCAAACACCAUGAUUUCAUAUAAAUCACACCAAAAUGCAUUGGGAACCAUGCCAAGCAUCCCCACACUCUAAAAUACCACAAUGCAAUCAUGGGGAGGGGUAAAAUGGUUAAAUCACACAAAAUUGAUUAUUUCACAUAAAUUAUCAAAAAUCAGGUUGUUACAUCAUCCACCACUAAAAAUCUAGUUCGUCCUCGAACUAUAGGAAAGGGAAAAUACUUAAAUUAGCAAAGACUCGACCUCCCAAGUAGCCUCAUCUACAGGUCAUUGCUUUCACUAGACCUUAACCACUGAAAUAACUCUAGAACACAAUCAUCUAAUAUCUCUAGCGAAGAUGGAGACAGGCUCCUCAAUAAAAGAUAACCUAUCAUCUAACUUAACUGAAUCCCAACAAAUGAAAUAAUACUCAUCCAGAAUGUAACGGCGAAGCAUGGAAACAUGAAAAACUAGAUGAACAGCUAAUAAGUCUGGGGGAAAAGACAACUCAUAAGCCACAUCACCAAUAGUCCGAAGAAUCUUAAAUGGCCAAAUGUACCUGGGGCUAAGAUUACUCUUCUUCCCAAACCCUAUCACGCCCUUCAUAGGCGAAACUCGAAGGAAAAUACGAUCACUAACACCAAAUAUCAAGAUACAAAGUCUACGAUCUGCAUAGCACUUCUACCUAUUCUGAGUUGCUCGAAGUCUAUCAUGAAUGAUCUGAACUCUAUCCAAAGACUCACGAAGUAAGUCCUUACCUCGUGUUCUAACCUCAGAAACCUCAAACCAACAAACUGGAGAGCGACAAUGCCUACCAUACAAGGCCUCAAAAUGACCCAUAUUAAUACUGGAAUGGUACGUAUUAUCAUAUACAAACUCUGUCAAAGCUAGAUGUUGGUCCCACUAGCCACCAAAGUCUACCACACAUAAGCGGAGCAUAUCCUCUAAUACCUGAAUAAUCCGAUCUAACUGUCCGUCAGUUUAGGGUGAAAUAUUGUACUAAGAUCGAUCUGAGUACCCAACUCAUCCUUAAAGUUCUUCCAAAAGUAGGAUGUGAACACUGAACCUCGAUCUGAGAUAAUAGACAUAGAUAUGGGUUAACCUCUCAACACUGAAAAAGACCUAAAUCAAAAUAAAGUGAGCAGACUUGGUCAAUCGAUCCACAAUGACCCAAACAUUAUCAAAAACAUGAGAAGUAUAUGGCAAUCCAGUCAUGAAAUCUAUAGUAAUUUAUUCCCACUUUCUCUUGAGAUUGGGUAACCUCUGAAGCAAUCCGUCAGGCCUCAAAUGCUCGACCUCCAUCUGUUCGAAAUAAAGGCAAUAAGCUAUGAAGUCUGCUACAUCCUUCCUCAUACCACACCACCAGUAAUGUUUCCUCAAAUCACAAUAUAUCUUAGUCACUCUCGGAUAGAUAGAAUACCUGGAAUAAUGGGCCACCUCUAGAAUCAAUCUAAUCCAAUCGCCUACUUUCAAUACACAAACUCAGCCUCCGAUCCUCAAAAUACCAUUCUAAUCAAGUAAGGCUUCCCUAGCGUCACAACUCAACACCUUAUCUAGAAUCAACCUCAAUUCAACAUCAUCAAACUGAUAGGCUCAAAUUUGCUCCAUCAAAGAAGACCUAGCCUCCACAAAUGCCAAAACACACCCAGGCAUCAAAAAUAUCAUGCCUAACUAUCUAGUUAGCCAAAGACUAAAACUCUAAGGCCAAGAUCCUCUCCUAGGUAAAAAGAUGUGCCAAUAUACCCAUACUAGGCGACUUCCAACUCAAGGCAUCUACAACUAUAUUAGCCUUGCCCUGAUGAUACAGAAUAGUCAAGCAUAAUCCUUAAUAACUCAAGCCAAUAGUGUUGCCUCAUAUUAAGAUCUCGCUGGAUGAAGAAGUACUGAAGGCUAUGAUAAUCUAAGAAAAAAUCACAACGAACUCGUACAAGUAGUGCCUCCAUAAAUUCAAGACAAAAACAACCACACACAACUCCAAAUCAUGGUUAGGGUAAUUCCUCUCAUGGGGGCUUCAGACGAUGAGAACCAUAGGCAUUCACCUUACCCUUCUACAUAAAUAUAAUACCUAACUCAACACCUAAAGUAUCAUAAAAGAUAGUAAAAGCUACACACUCCUUGGGUAAAGUCCAGAUAGGAACUGAUGUCAACAAAUCCUUAAGCAUUUGAAAGCUUGCCUCAUAAGCAUUAAAUUACUAAAAGGAAAUCUUCUUCUAAGUCAACUUGGCCAAAGGAGCUAUAAUAGAUGAGAAAUCCUCAACAAACAUCGGUAGUAACCUACUAAGCCAACAAAACUCCAAAUCUCAGUGGACAAAGUAGGCCUAGAACAAUCAUGAACCACUGCAAUCUUGACUAGAUCAACUAUAAUACUUUUCUUAGUCACCACAUAACCCAAGAAAGAGACAGACUUCAAUCAAAACUUACACUUAGAGAACAUAGAAUACAACUUCUCAUCCUUCAAUCUCUGAAGCACAAUCUGUAAAUACUCCUCACGAUCGGCCUCACUCUUGGAAUAAACAAAGACAUCAUCUAUAAAUACAAUCAUAAAAUAGAUGGUAUACGGCCAAAUUACCUAAUUCAUUAAUUCCAUAAAUGUGGUUGGGGCAUUGUCAACCCAACGGACAGGACCAAGAACUCAUAAUGACUGUACCGAGUCUAAAAAGUUAUCUUCAAAAUAUCCAAAGCUCUAAUCCUCAACUAGAGAUACCUGAAUCUCCAAUCAAUCUUUAAAAAUAUUGAAGCACGCUGAAGUUGGUCGAACAAAUCAUCAAUCUAAGAAAGAGAAUACUUAUUCUUUACUGUCACCUUGUUCUACUGUCUAUAGUCAAUACACAUACAUAUAGAACCAUUUUUUUCUUCCCAAACAAGAUAGGUACACCCAAAGGUGAUACACUAGUUUAGACAAAUCCCUUAUCCAACAACUUAUGUAAUGGAUCUUUAAUUCUUUCAACUCGGCUGGGAUCAUCUAAAAAGAAAGAAUAAAUAUAGGCUUGGUUUCGAACUCAAAAUUAAUGGCAAAGUCAAUAUCAUAAUCCGGAGUCAUACCAGGUAAAUCUGUAGAAAACACAUUCAUAAUCUCAUGGACAACCCAAAUAGAAUCAAAAGAGGGAGGUGAAGCAACACUAGUAUCACGAAUAUGAGCUAAAUUAGACAAACAUCCCCUCUAAAUCAAGAAACGAUCUUGAAUAUAAGAUAUAACCUUUAAGGGACCUAAAUGAAGCACAUAUACCAAGCUACCCUUGGCAAACCCAACGAAGCUACAGUAACGGUCUUAGCAUAACAAUCUAUGACAGUAUAAUAAGGAGCCAACAAAUCCAUACCCAGGAUGAUGUCGAAGUCGACCAUAUCUAGAACAAGCAAAUCUACCAAAGUCUCAUACCCAGUAAAAGUCGCAAUACAGGAUCUAUACACCCAAUUCAUCACUAAAGAAUCUCCUACAGGGGUAGAUACAUGAAUAGGCAUGGCAAAAGGCUCACUAGAAGAAUCAAAACCCAAAGCAAAAUAUGUAGAUACAUAAGAGAAUAUUGAUCUAGAAUCAAAUAACACAUAUGUAGAUCUAAAAUAAAUAAGGAUGGUACCUGUGAUAACAGUAUCAAAAGUCACUACCUCUAGAUUGGCAGGUACAGCAUAGCACUGUCCACAACUAUUGACUAGCUGAAUAGCCCCGUGAUUAACACCAUAGGAUCCACUACCUCUACCUCAUGCACCUCUAGUAGAACCCCUACCUCUAACAACUAAAAUAAGAGUAGCCCUAAUUAUACGGUAGGGACAGUCCUUGGCCAGAUGGCUAAAUUCAUCACACACAUACAAGACUCUAUGGCUCGGCUCAAUGAAAGAAGGUACAAUUAGAUUAAAAUGGCCACCCAAAACAAUAAAACCCAUUACCUAAACUAUGCAAGGAUUCCUGCAUGGGUCUACCAUGAUGAUAAUGUUAAUAAUGAUGAUGAUGAUAAUAAUAAUGAUAAUGAUGCUUGAGGUUGUGGCACAACAUCGUAUACACCUACGGAGCUACAGCUUUUCUACAUAGGACCUAUGGGGGGUUUGUCAACCCAUGUACAACUAAUAUCUAAUACCAAUAUUCAUAACUUCUCUCAGGCACAUCCAUUGGGUAGAGGGUUUUAAAAAAGCCAUAUUUUAUGUCAGAAAAAGCUAAUGUUUCUAGUAUUUUCAUGGUGGUACCAAUGUUUAAUAGAUGUAUAUGAUAUGAGGGUGCAAUGCUCACAACAACCAGAAUGAUUAUUUCCAUAUCCAACCAAUAUACCAACUAAAUAAGCUAAUAAUCCACUCAAUAUUUCCAACCGUCCAUGAAUUCAAACAUAAACCAUAUGCCAAGAAAGUAGAGUACAAUUAAAUUACACCACUGAUACCUCAUUAGUCUUUUUCAUUAAUAGGAUAUAAUUAAUUUCACGUAUACAAGACCAACCACUUCAUAUAAGACCCUACACAAUCACACAUAACAAAUAAUGUUCCAAAAACCACCAAAUAUAUCAGUAUGUAGACCACCACACGGGCACAAAACAAUAAUUAUAGAAAUUUUCAUGAUUAGUUCCCACACCCUUAACAUGCUUUUGUAUCAAUAUUAACUACCCAUCCCAGUCUGAAGAAAUUUAAGUUAUAACCUACCUCUAAUGCCGAAAACUAGUCUAAAAUCUUUCAAUCCAAAGUCUUACUCCUCAUGAACAGACUCGAAAUAAACUAAAUCAUACAAAUAUAGAAUUUAUGAGUCAAAAAAAAGCCAAAUAUACCUAUACUACCUAAUUUUGAGUUGGGGUCAAAACGAACCCUCGAAACAUGUUUUUUGAAAAAAAGGGUAAAAUCAUAAUUUUACUUUUUUAAAUAUGUUUUCCAUAUUUAUAGUAGUCUACAUCUAAAAACCCAAGCAAAAAUGAAUUAAAAACAUGGUCCCAAUUGAAGAAAAAUCAUGCUUAAGUUUUACCGGCAAAAAUGCUCAAAAUUUAUUUAAAAAUCAAGAAUUGAAGUUGUUUUAAAGAUGAAACUGAAAGAGUAGUGAUAAUUAUAAUAUUAGAAACUCACCCAAGUUAAAUAGGGAUUUAAAUUAAAGAAUUAAAAAUUUUAGGCCUUACGUACCGAAAUUCCCAAUUCCUACCUUUUUAAUUUGCGUUUAAACAAGAAUUAUAUGAUAUAAUUUGGAGAAAACAAUUGAAAUAGGUGUUAUGGAGCUUACCCAGGCUUAAAGUGGCUGACAUUUCUCAAAAUCAUGACACUCUAAGCUCCAAGUUUCAAGUAUGAUGAAAAAUGGUGAAACAUGGGUAUAUAAAGGACCUAGGCAUCGUAUACGCGAUCAUCGGGUCGUGUAUGCAGUACCUGGCCUAAGGCAGGUAUCGCAUAUGUGAAGGCAUAUAUGCAAUUUCCAUGAUUGCAAAUAAGAUGUCGUGUAUGCAACACUUGCAUUUGGUCACAUGAGUCACGUAAGUGACUGAUCCAUCAUGUUUUCGAGUACACCAGCACCAGCUGGGGACUUAGAGAAUUCCAUGUCUUCGCAGACCCCUCUGGAUUUAUCCAGAAUCCUGAGAACACAAACAAAUUAUGCUACCCUAUGAAGUUUGAUGCUUCAAACUUAAUAAUGAUAUCAGAUUUUCAAAAAAAUGAUGUUUUCACAAAGUUGACCCCCAAAACCCAACUUCACAACUUUUUGAACCGAGGAUCAAAAUGAGAUAUAAUACCAUAAAACCACACCAUCAUGUUACCAACCUAAAAUUGACAUUUAAGAUCUGUUUGCACUGUCUAUUUUUCCAUCAGACACAAAGAUCAAUGAAUGUUGAUUGAAACCAACUAUAAGGCAUUUCAAGCCAUCAAAUACAAUAAUUUUACGUAAAUCACACUGAAAUGCAUUGGAAACUAUUCCAAGCACCUCCACACCCUAGAAAUACCAUAAUGUAACCAUUAGGAAGGGUAAAAUAGUUAAAUUAUAUAGAAAUAAAUAUUUCACAUAAAUCAUCAAAAAUUAUGUCAUUAUAAAACUCUUGGAAGGGACGUACGAAACCUUCCCACGACCUACAAUCAUGUGUUGUACUCAUGGUUGGGUGCUGGAUAAGAGCUCUCUAAACAUAAUCAGAUGAUCUUUGGUAUAAUCAUGGGAUAUACCUACGUUCAUUCAUUCGUAGGUUUGAAGUUUUAAUCAUAAUCAUUUGUAGGACUCAUGAUCAUGCCUAGGAUCGUGGUUUCAAAGAAUUAUAGUGGUUCUCUCUCAUGUUUGGAAAGUAUACAUGUCAAAUUUUAGAUGUUGGAGUUGUCGUGACCAGACGAGACCAUUGUACGGUCAUACAAUGUAACCUCAGUCGUGGUUUGGCUCGUGAUAUCUCACUGUAGGAUAGUUCUUUACUAAAAAGGCCAUAAAUCUUUAAUCUGGUAUGGAAUUAAGAUGAAACUGGAUGAUUUGGAAAUAUAAUUUAAAUAUCUAUCAUUUAAUGCGUAUAGAUCUUAAAGAUGCUUUAGAAUCUAAAAUUUAUAUUCAUUUGAAGUUGAUCAUUUUUAAGGAAUCGAUUGGUAAGGGAGGUUUUGGAUUGGUUAAGGGAUACGAGGUUCUUGUGGCCUUGGUACAUGGGCAAAUUCCUUCUCAUACUAUUAAAACUUGAUGUUUAGUCCUACAUGUACUUGAAACAUGGUUCUAGCCUUAGCUUGAAUUUUUUUGAGUGCUACAAGAUUAGUAAUUAGACUGCUAAUAAAUAUAGGAAUCGAGCCAAAAUUAGUAAAUGAUAAUCAUUAUAAAGGAUGCCGAACUUCAAUCUAAACUCAUAAGUAAUGCCAAUACAGCAUAUAUCGGACUAGAACCAAAAUUGAUAGGUAAUAGUACUAAAGAAAUCACCGAACUCGAACCAAAAUUGAUAAGUAUUAAAUCGAUGACAACAUCCCAAGUUUUAACCCAUCCCAAACCCACAUAACCAAUAAUAUUCAAUUUUAAGUGGUUAACCCUCUGAGGCAUGGAGGAUUAUUAUCAUGGCUUAAAGCGUGGUCUAAGGAUAAAAGCUACACUACCCGAGGUAACUUAGCUAAAUAAGCAUAAAACAAAGCCUAAGUUAGCCCCCAAACACUGGUAAUAUCCUAUAGAAGCAACUAAGUGGCUAUUAAAGUCAACACGAGGGUUAUUCCAAGCUUUUUAUCUAAAAUGGAUAGUGUGGCCCACUACCAAACCCCAAUAACCUAACCUAAGGCAAGACCCUAUGCCAACCUAGGCUAAGGCUUCUCAAUCCCAUACCAAGGAAGUAAAAGAUCUAAGGCUAAUCCUAAAGGAUGAUAAUAUACUGACCUAAGGGAAAAUAGGCCCGAACUCUCUCAAAAAGGGGCCCUAACUAGCUAAAUACGAUACUAAAUGCUAAAAUAACAGUUGAACAACAAAUAUCAACUCAUAGCUAGCAUAAUACUAUGCUAAUAUCAUAAUUAAGCACAAUCUAUAAGAAAUAUAAGCCUAGCCUACCUGGACACUAUCGAAAGCUUAAAAAAUCUUUACUUUGAAGCUUUUUCUUUCUGAUAAACCUCCGACAACUACUAUGCUAUCAAAACAAUAAUCUACGUAUCAAGAUAAGAAUAUCAAUACCCAUAUUGUGUAUUUAUGCUCUAAAUUAAAAAUUAGACUAAAAAUCUUAUCUGAAGUCUGCUGGCGGAAUCACAAAAUUGAAACAAUCAUAGUGUCCCUCUUAGCUCAAGUAUCAUUUGCCCUAGUAUUGGAUAAAAUGUAAGCUCAAUAUAGCCUUUAAUCAGUCUUAACACAAUUCAAAGAUAUAAACUAAAUCAAAGAAUUAAUCAAUGAAAUUAACUAAAACUCAUGAAUAUUAAUGAUAUAAUUCUUCCAAUCAGGUCCCCAAGCUAAUCCUUACAUCAACUAUUAAUUUCCACAUUAAUUUUAAGCUAUUAAUUCUCUAACAGUGUCCACCACAUAGAAAAUAUGUUAGAAAAAUAAAGAGAAAAUGCUUAUAUAUUUUCAAGGGUUUCCUUAUUGUGAUCGCGAGGUCCCUUGGUCGCGAUUACAAUAUCCCAUUAAUGGAACCAUCACUGAUUAUAGUGGCCUAUCCAUGCGGGCACGAUGAGCAAGCUGACUCAAUCCCAUUGUCUCUUUCAUCACGAUCGGAAGUCCCCAUCCUCGUGAUCGAGAUGACUAUGAUCAUGGAUCCCUCGUGAUAUUCCUCAUUCCAAUAACGAUGAAGGACUUAUGACUGCACCAGGUGUUGAUGCACAAAUAACUUUGGCAAGUUGAAAAUAUUUUGUUCGGGUCCUCGAGAUUUGUUUGAAAUUUUGUAAAUUCAAAUGAGUAAUGCUACCCUACAAAAUUUUGUAUUUCGGACUCAAUAGUUCCAUCAAAAUUUUUAUCCAAGGCUUUUUUAAUAAAAAGUGAGUCCCAUGCCUAAGAGGUUAUUUUAGCCAAAAUCUACCCAACAGCUCAAAAUAAGCCUAGAAGACUCAAAACCCGAAUUAAGGAUCCUCCUAACUCAAAAUCAAUAUUCCAAAGUUGAUAAAGUUGUCAGAAUUGGCAUUCGAGUUUGUUUACAAAAUGUUUAGGUCUGAGACCGUAUUCUUAAUAAUGAAAGCCCUAAAAUAGAAAAAUGACUCCAAACACUAAACAAACUAUCUGAUAACCGAACUAUCAGUCCCAACAAGUCAUAAAUGACUUGGGAAAGCUAUAGAGAAACUCCAAACUCAAAAAAAAGUAUGAAAAUACAAUAAUUAACCUGGAGGGUCAUUACAAAUUUUGUACCCAUCUUAAUUAUCAGUAAUUAAGUUUAUAGUUGUUAUGUAUUUUUUAGUUUGUCUAUUGAUAUUUUAGGUAUGCAAAAUCUGGGAAGAGUUGAUAGUUUUUGAAAUAAAAAUGUAUCUAUUUGUAUAUAAGUGCGUGUGAUUUUACCCAUCUUAUUUGAUAUUGUUUAUGACAAUACUUUUAAUAAAAAAAGUUAAUGGUGUGUUCAUGAAAGUGGUAUAGUUAGAUUUGUGUAGAUGCAUGCAACAUCUGAUCUUUUCUCGUUUGGUAGGUACAUCGAAGACAUUACUUUUGUAUUCCUAAUCUUCUCUUUAUAGUAUUCUCUUUUAUAUGAAUUUUGAGCAAGUGUAAGAAAUAAUUCAAAAGAGACGAUUUGUAAAAUGGGAAAUUAUAGAUUUGAAUGGUUAGAAUUAAUUUAAAAUAGUUUGAGUCUCUCUCUCUACGAUGUUGAUGUACCGGCUUAUGACGAUACAUUUUUAUCUCCUAGGAAGGAUAAUUGCAUAUUUCUAACAACCAUUACUAUUAUUUAAUGUGUUUUGUGCUUGUUCUCAGCAAUCAGCUUCAAAGGCAUGAACUAUCAGAAUUUUAAGUUAAAGAGUCCUGUGAUGAGAAUACUGAUGGGCCGCCACUGUGUUGAUGGACCAUCGCACCAAAAUUCACCAUAAAAUAAAAAGGUUAGAAAUCUGGAGUUGGGCGAUGAUUCAACCAAUAGACCGUCAGGGUAGCGAUGAGAUGACACUCUAACCGUCCCAACAAAAUGGAAUGCAUGAAAAUACUAAGGUAGGUGACGAGUGGGGAGGUGGGUCAUCAGACCAGUGAUGAACCAUUACCGAAACUGUUGAGAGCAUCAUUGGGCAGAUCCCUUCUGGAUAAGUAGCAAUGGUUAAAUCGAUUGUUAAGCCAACCUUCCUGAUGAAGGAGAAGCAUGGAAAUAUUGAGGCAGGUGACAAAAGGGGUGAUGGGCCAUCGGACUAGUGAUGGAUCAUCAUUGAAGCCGUCGAGAGCAUCACUGGGCAGAUCUCUUCUGGAUAAGAGAUACGAUUAAGCCUAUGAACCAUAGCCCUAUUGAUGGGCCAUCUAGCGAGCCGUUAAUUUUGAUAUGGCAGCACAGUUUUGAAAUUUAAAACCCAACUUUAUUGGAGACUAUAAAUGCCUAACUUAGGGUUAUUAUAGGCAUCUUUUGACUAGUUGUUGAUUUUGUAACGUAAGUACUGAUAAGAAACAAGUUUGGAGUUGUUGAACGGAUUGCUUGUGGUUUUGAAUUUGGAUUGUGAAUUCUUAUUUCUCUUCAUUGUAAGUUUAACCUAUAAUUUAUAAAAUUAAUCUUUUUCAUCUAUUCUCUGAUCAUGAGUUGCUAAUACUCCAUACCUAGCAUUAUGGAAUCUUUGGUGGAAUUUUUAUUCUAAGUUAUGGGUUAUUGAGUUUAUCUUAAAAUUAUGAUUAUAUCAUAUUCUCUUUAUUUUAAUAAAUUAUCCUAGUUGUAAACUUGAGAAUGUAUCCUAAAACAUAACUUGCUUGAAUAGGGAAGUUACUAUUGGAAAAAGAGAAUAGUGACAAGAAGUUAGAAUUUUCAACCUCUAAUUAUAGAUUAAUGCCUUAGAUAGAAUAAUCUCUUGGAGAAUAAGGUGCAUUUCGGUCAUCACUUUAAGUUUGAGAAAAUUAAAGUGAAUCCAUCCUUGAAGGUUGGUAAACACUUGGAUAGAAUGUUCAUUUCAAUUUCUCUAAAAUCACAAGUAAAAGUAUGAACUCACAUACCUUAUACCUCAGAAGUGAUUGAAAUACCAAGGUGAACAUAACUCUAGUUUGCUAUUUUCCUAUUGUUAACAUGUUAUAAAGAAGGCAUUAGUUUUGAAUUGACUAAAAUUUCUCAAUUAGCAUUUCAACCAAAACCCCAUAAUCAAAAAUCUAUGAUUAGAAGUCUAUUAAUUUGCAUACAACUUAAUUAGCACCUUAUUCCCUAUGAAAUUCGACCCCAACCUUUGGGUUAUAUAUUUGACAAUGACCACUUACACUUUUUUUGAGGAUUUGUAGUUUGGACAUAUCAAUUUUUGGACCGUUAUCGGAGAAUACAGUUGUUAAGUAAGUUUAUGUGUAUUAACUGACUCUUUGUCUAGUUUCCUAAUUUUACUUUUAUUUGUUGUUUUUUUGUGUUUGCAGGCUAUUAAUUGUGCAUGUCGUAAACUCAUCGGUCAGAUGAACCUCUAUGAUCUUAUGAUCCUUAACUUUUGAGAUCUUUAAGGAGGAAUAUGGAAACACAACAAGAGGCUGAAAGAUCGGCUGCACUGGUUGUCGUCCAAUUGAACUAAUAAAAUGUCGAUGCACCCAUUCAUGUGAAAAAUAAUAAGGAUAAGAAUCUGGGAGAUGAUGAGUUGGUUGUUCUAAUAAAUAGGCAACUUAUCAAUAAUAUUGCACCAGCCAACAGGAAUUAGCAAGCACGAGGCAGAGAAUAUCAAUAUCCCGCAAUGCAGUUUGCACUAGAUUAUGAUGACAUUGAAUUGGAUAGUGCUAGUCCUACUCGACCUAUUGUACUACCCCCAUUGGCUCCCGAGGUAAAGUUUACAUUACUAUCACAAUGAUUCAAUUGCUCAACUUGAAAAGGUUAUUUGGGGGACUACCUAGUGAUGAUACGAAUAUGCACUUGGUGAUCUUUGUUAAAAUUUUAAGUCUUUUGACUAUCCAAAAAUUGGACAAAAAGUUAUCCAUUUGAGGUUGUUUCCAUUGUCUCUAUCUAGAGAAACAACUCUGCGACUGACUAAAUUGGCGCCCAGUUCUAUAACAAAUAGGAGGCAACUGAAAGGAACUUUUGUGGAAAGGUUAUUUUCGUCUUCCACAAUGUUACACAACUACGGAAUGAGGCCCUUCAUUAAACAUGGAUGAGAUUAUAGAAGAAGUUGAUUCAAUGCGCAAAUCACAAGUUAAUUGGUGAGCAUCAGAUGGAAAUGUUUUACAAGGCUUUGAACUCAAAACACAAUGCCAAUGGUGAAUAAUGCAAUGGGUGGAGCUUUUAUAGGUUGUACCUUUACAUAGACAAUUGAGAUCUUGGAUAGGUUAAUAAAGACAAGUAGAGCCUGGCAUAUCAGGGAUUCUGAGAAUAUGGUGCAUUCCGGUCGUCACUUUUUGAGAAAAUUAAAGUGAAUCCAUCCUUGAAGGUUGGAAAACACUUGGAUGGAAAGUUCAUUUCAAUUCCUCUAAAAUCACAAGUAAAAGUAUAAACUCCCAUUCCCUAUAUCCCAUAAGUGAUUGAAAUACCAAGGUGAACACAAUCCUAGUUUGCUAUUUAUAUAUUGUUAACAUGUUAUAAAGAAGACAUUAGUUUUGAAUUGACUGAAAUUACUCAAUUAACAUUUCAACGAAAAACCCCUAAUUCGUGGAAACUAUGAUUAAAAGUCGAUUAAUCACAUACAACUUAAUUAGCACCUUAUUUCUUGUGGAAUUCGACCCCAACCUUUAUUGAGUUAUAUAUUUGAUAAUGACCGCUUACACUCUUUUUGGGGAGGUGUAAUUUGGGCGUAUCAGUUGCUUUAUACUUUUUUAUUAUUUGAAUAGAGUGUGUGUAUUUUACUUUAAUCUCAUUUGAUAUUCUUGAACACUUACAAAUUGAAUAUAAGAGAUCUAUUAUAAGAAGGAUCAUAAAUUUUUAUCUUUUAAAAAAAAAAAUUGUAAAUGGCCUAUAAAAUCAAUUCUCUCAUGUGUACUUUAGUUCUUUUUUCUAAUCACUUUAAAGGUUAAAAGAAAAGUUAUACGGUCGUACUAGUGUUCCAAAUAUCAAAAGGCUCUAAUUUCAGGCAAUUUAGUACUAUAAAUGGACCAAUGUGCCCAAAUACUAAUUUCAAAGACCUCCCCCAAUUUUCUCCACAAUAUUAAUUUGUCUUGUUACUGUUGUUUUUUUAUUUUAUUUUAUUUAUAACUUUUUGUAUAGUUAUUAUUUGUAGUUUUUGUUUAAUACAUUACGAAUACUGCCACAUUUUUGCGUUUUAGUAAAAUCAUCCACCCAUGUCAACAUAUGGUUGAGAUUGCAGGAGUUGAAUCUUCGAGUUUAGUAUUGACUUUUUGUUCAACUCAAAGAAAUAGUUUUUUUCGAUAUGGGCAUGACAAUUUCGGGCUGGGAUUACUAUACAUUUUGUGAUUCAAAUGUAUUAUAAUGAACUAAAUUAACUGUGAAAAAAUAGAAAUACAUUUAAACGAGAGAAUAAUGCAUAAAAAUACAUUUGCUAUAUGUAUAUGGGUAUAUAUACAAAUGUAUAAUUAUUUAAAAAUAGUUUCACCCCAAAUUAAUUAUUCAGUGAAGAAUAACAUUUCUAAAUGAUGAAAAUCAUAAGAAUCAUUUUGAAUUUUCUUUUAAGAUGAAUUUUGAAGUAAAAAUAAAAAACUAGUUCAUCAAUUUAAUAAGGUCAAUAGGUUUGUGUGAAGCGCGAUUAGUUUUACUAGUAACUGCAUAUAACUUAAAUUUUACGUAGUUAAUGUACGGUGAGUUGAAACCUAAAGACAAGCUUGUCAAUUCUUUUUGUUGAAUACUUAUUAUGAUAUCACAACCUGAGUUAUUAGAUGAUCAUAAUUGCAGAUACUUUCAUCAUUUAUAAAUUGUAAAAGUUACAUAAAAUAGAGAUAAGAUUGUUAAGAAAGUGUAAAAAAAUAGUCUCGGGGCAAAUUGAUGGAUUGAAUUUGAUAGUUACCCAUUGAAGUUUCAACUAAACUAAUGAAAGAGAGCAUUUUCUACAAGAUGAGUAUAUUGCUUUUAUCGAAGUUAUUCUUUGUGCAUGAGUUAUCAUCGUAGAUGAUUCAGCCACACCUAAUGCACCAAGAUGAUUGAUAACUACUAUGAGGGCAGCUUGAUUAAAUUAUCAAAAGCAGCUUGUCAAAAAAAAAUUAACAAUAGAAAAGUAUUGAUAUUUUAUAAAUUUGUUGGUACUUAAUUUCUUACUUAUCUAUAGAAAUAAAUUGAAUUUAAUAUUUAUUGAGUUUUAAUUUCACUCAUAAUUUUAUGUGGCAAGAGUUUUUGCAAAAUUCAUUUUUUUAUUUAAUACGAUAAAUAUUUCAGUGACUUCAAGUAUAUAUAAGAACAAUAAAAAUAUUAAUUUAGACCCUUUUCACAAAUUAACUUAAUAGAUGAUAUUAAAUAAUAAUUAAAUUAUAUUAAUAGAUUAUUUCAUCCGGUUCAUUCACUUGUCGUGUUUAUUUUUUACAUUAAAAUACCCAUUGAAAGAAUAUUCUGUUAGUGUUAUGAAUGUAUUUACAUUAUAGUGAAUGUCUAUCAAGAAUAUAGAUAAGGUCUAUCAAGAUCUAGUUGAUAUCUAUCAAAAUUUGAAAUAUAUCUCUUUUAGUAAGAAAUCAGGAGUAAAUUUUUUCUAUAAAUAGUGGGGUUUUAUUCAUUGUAAAUCAUCCUUAAUCUUCUCAAGAAUCCCUCAAGAGAAAUAACAACUUCUCUCUAUACUCUUCUUCUUUAUUCUUUGUUGUUUUAUAACACGUUAUCAGCACGAGACUCUACCAAACAUAGUGAAAUUAUAAAUCUAAAGGUAAUUUCAAGGUUAGUAAUUCCUUAUGCUAUUUGUCUUUUGAUACUAAUGAUAUAAUUAUUGUUGGAUUUGAGGAAAAUAAAUUAAUUUGGAACCACUUAUUCUUUAAAUUUGUUCAUGAAGAACAAUAUUGUUAAAAGAUAUGAUGAUGAAUAAAAGUUUUAUCGUUUUGUAGCCUAAGACGUCUUUGUAUGGAUAAGACAUUGAGUUUGAAUCUCAAUGCACCAUAUUGAUGAUAUUAUGAUGGCUAAGACAAUAUAAUGUGUUUUCUAUGAAAGGUCAUGAAAAAUACCCCAUUGAUAUGCUCUAUUCCAUGUUGAACCUGAAAGUUGACAACUUGCUCCAUUCUUGAAGUGAAUGUGGUGGCAAUGCUUAAUAUGCCUGAAAGAAGACAAGUGAUUGAAUGCACGAAUAUACGCAUGGAGGAACAAUAUGAUAAUGAUGAUCAAAAGUGAUGAUAUUUUCACACGCAUAUUAUGAUCAUAAGAUAUGUUAGAGAAAAAUUCUCUAGAUCAUAUGUAUGCCUCGAUUUGCUCCUGAAGUAGUAAUAUUUUGAAAGAGGUUAUAAGCUAUCAUAAUUUGAUAGGCUUAAGGCACGAUUAUAUUUCAUUCCUGGGAAAUGAGAAGCUUAUUAAUAUAAACGUGCACUUGAUUGUGAUUGUAUCACACACAACUCACCUCUAAAAGAGGUAGAUAACUGAGAAGAGUUAUUUUGAAAUCUACUUCUGAAGCAGUAAAUCUGAACUUUAUUCAUGUAAUAGUAAAUCUAAAAUUUACUAAAGUUAAAGGUACAUGUCAUGGUAAACUUGGAGUUUGCUAAAAUAAAAGUUCAUAAAUUGACAUGAACGAUUGCGACAUUCCAAAGAUGUGCAUACGAACAUAUAUUGAAGAAUUAGAAAAUUCUUCAUUACUUUUAAUGUUGCUUGUUCUCAUGAUAAGUUGGUUGGACCAACUAAUUUUGGGAUUAAAUUCCUUAAAAUCUGAAAAGUAUAAAAAGUGAAUAAGGACCGGUUCACCAGUCAUGUGAUCUGUUAAGAUGCAUCGAUAUACGAUGAUCACUUGUACGUUUAUUGUCAACCUGCAGUUUGAAAUUCAUAAAGUAGCUUGCUCAAUAAAAUUGAGUCAAGAGCAUAAUUUUCAGAUUGCAUAAUCAAGAUAAUUCAUCUUGAUGAUGAUAGUUUAGCAUGGAAUGCCUUUAAUAAAUAGAUAAUUAUUAUUAAUGAGAGCAAAACUUGCAUGUGUUGGUGUGAAAUAUGAUAUAUUAUAUACAAAAUCACUUGUAUGAUCAAACCAAUAAAUUAUGAUUAAAAUCCCCCUCAAAGUUGGUUCUGAGUCAGGAACCACAUGUUGUCCAUCUAAUAGUUUUGAUGUGCGAGAUACUAUUAAUGAAUAUAUCAUGAUGCACAAAGAUGGAUUCCUCAAAGAAGAUGGAGGAUGUAUGUUAGUUUUCCUAAUAUAAUAGGAAGAUUAUAAGUAGCUAUGAAAUAUGUUAGGAAUUACCAUAGAUCUUCAUUCAAAAGAUGAUUCAAGUCAAAUGUCGGAAGCAUCUAUUGACUCAAAUUUAAUCUCAUAAUUAAGCUGCAAGUGCUCCUAUUUUAUGUCCCUGAAGGACAAAGUCUAUGAAUGUGUGAAGCGUGGUAGACCAAUCGGUUCCAAAUUAAAUAAUCCUUGAAGAAAAUGAGGAGCAAACAAUCAUAAUAAAAAGACAAUAUGCUCUUGAAGAGCCUACGACAUAACACUUCAUGAAACCUUAUGAGAGGUUCAGGUACCUGAAAAUAAUGAAGUGAUGAGAUCUCAAAAUGUUAUGUCACAUUGUGAACUGAUACAAAAUGAGAAACCUUUGACGAUAUCUUUGAUAAAAUAUUGGUGCAAUAUUCCAAAAGAUUAAGAGGAUCUGAAUUCUACAUUUAUUUAAGCAUGUUGACGUAGAAACAUUUAUCAAGGGACAUGAAAGGAUGUAUCUUGAUAAGUGUAAAACUUAUUUGAUUUGCGGUCCAGACACUUUAAGAUGUCACAUAUGAAAUGUUGAAUAUUGUCACUUGACAAAAUUUAAAUGAAAUCCUUUCUAAGGAUUUGAAAUAUUUGAAGCAUAUAAAAGUUUCUGGGAAACUUAUUUAGAAUCCUUAUAUUGUAUAAGCUUAUAGCUUGAAAAUUAUUGGAACUCUUGAAGAGUUUUCAAAGCAAUAGAUUAUUUGGUGAAAUGAGAAAUAUAACAAUUUAUAUUGAUUAUGAAGUACCAUAUCUUAGUGCAAUUAAUGCACCCAUGUUUCUUGUAAAUACUACAAAGACUAUAGCCUUUUCAGUUAAUUUGUUAGCAAGAUUGCAGUCCCGAUCUUAUUGGUCAUGCUGAUUUGGGGUACUUAUUUAACCCACAUAAAUCUUGGUCUCAAACAUGCAAUGUGUUCAUAUGUCGAAAUAUUGUCAUAUCUUAGACAUAUGCAAAGCAAUCUAUCUAGCCACUUCAUCGAACCAUGCUAAGAUACUAUCUAUUUAUGAAGCAAGUUGAGAAUGUAUAUGGUUGAGGCCCAUGAUACGUCCCAUUCAAGAAAAAUGCGGUUUAAAAUGAGGAAAUAUACCCAUAAUUUUAUACAGAGAUAAUGCAACAUUCAUAGCACAACUUAAGGGAGGAUUCAUAAAAUGAGAUAGAACGAAGCAAACUUCAUCAAAGCUUUUCUAGAUACAUGAGCUCCAAAAAAAUGGUGAUAUUAUUGCGCAAAAGAUUCAUUCAAGUGAUAAUAUGGAUAACUUAUUCACUAUGUCUCCUCCUUAUGCAACUUUCAAGAAGAUGGUGCACAACAUCGGAAUGCAAAGGCUCAAGGAUGUUCUCAUUAGGGGAAGUUAAUACGUGUUGUACUCUUUUUCCCUUAUGAGGUUUUAUCCCACUUGGUUUUACUUAUAAGGUUUCUAAUGAGGCAGCUGAAAUGCAUAUCAUUAGAGAUGUGUACUCUUUUUCCUUUACUAAAUUUUUUCCCACUAGAUUUUUUCUAAUAAGGUUUUAACGAGGCAUAUUAUCUAUCAAUUAGACAUUCAAAGGGGAGUGUUAUGAAUGUAUUUACAUUAUAGUGAAUGUCUAUCAAGAAUAUAGAUAAGAUCUAUCAAGAUCUAGUUGAUAUCUAUCAGGAUUUGAAGUAUCUGUCUUUUAGUGAGAAACUCAGAGUAAAUUUCCCCUAUAAAUAGAGGGGUUUUAUUCAUUGUAAAUCAUCCUUAAUCUCCUCAAGAAUCCCUCAAGAGAAAUAACAAUUACUCUCUCUACUCUUCUUCUUUAUUUUUUGUUGUUUUAUAAUAGUUAGCUCUUUUUUAAUUUUUUAUUUAUCAUUUUUCAUGUCUACUAAGAAAAACAAUAAAGACAAUAUAUUAUUUAUUAAUUAUUAAUUUUUUUAUUAUAUAUAUAUAUAAAUAUAUAUAUGUAUAUAUUAAGAAUUAAAUAAUAUUAAAAGAACUAUAAGGGUGUAGUUGAAAAUUAUUGCAAACUUUAAGUUUGUAUUAAAAAUUAUUUUCAAAAUAAAUUUUUUGAGUUGAAGUGAUUUUUAAUGAAAAUGAAUAAACAUUUAAGUAAAAGGUAAUCUAAUAAGUGGCAAGAAAAACCAAUUACAAAUGCACAAGUGAAAAUUAUCUUAAUAAAAAAAAUAAAGGCAAAAAUGAAAAUAUCUAACAAAAAGAUAACAUCAAUUGCCAUGUGUGAUAACUUAAGUCACUUAAUUAAAGAAGUGAAAUACCACAAAUGUCCUUGUGAGGAUCACCAAAAAUUGAGAUCCUCCCUUAUAUAUAGUAGUAAAGUAAAGUAAUAUAUAUCAAAUACUGGUGUUUGUGCCAACAUGGACCCAAUAUAUGUUCUCCAUCUGUUCAUUUUUACUUGUCCACUUUUGUAUUUGGAAUGCCAACAAUACUUAUCCAAUUUAUAAAUCAAUGGAUGUAUUACCUAUUUCUAUCCAUUUUAUCCUUAGUAAUGAGAUUGUGGGCAACAAAAUUUUAUUAAAUUGAAAUCCGUACGAAAUUCGGAUUAUGUUAAAUUAAAAAUAAAUUAGUCCCAAAUAAAUAUUAUGGAUUAAUAUAAUUAGAUUAAUUAUUCAAGUCCAAACAUAUAUAGAUUUAAUUAAAGUCCAAUUUUUAUUGAGCUAGUCCAUUGAUUUGGGCUACAAAUGAUGAGCCCACUUUGCUAAGCUCAAGAUAUUGGCAUAUUCUAGAGGCCCAAAUAAGCGUCAUAUGUCAAAUGACGUGGUAUGCCAAGUCAGUGAAGAAGCCAAUAGGACCAUGCCACAUGUCAAAAUGAUGCAACAGGCCUAGUGAAAUAAAAAAACACAUAAAAGGCAUCAUGUCACUUGAAUUUGAUUAGACAAAGGAAGUCCAUCUUCAUCAUGACUCUUCCUUUUCCACAACUAUAAAUAGAGAUUUCAUAAUUUAGAAAAGGGACCAACAACUCUAACAAGAAGUAACAGAAAACUUGUGGAUCAAAUGAUGUAAUUUUUCUACAAAGCUUAAGCAUUCAAGUCCAGUUCAUCAAGCUUUCAAAUCAGGAUCGCCAGAUUCAAGAACAAGCAUAAAAGCCCUUGAAUUCAAGAACAAGUCAAGAUCAAGUCCAUCAAAUCAACAAAUCAAGUUCAAAUUAAAGAUCAAGAUUUAAGCCCUUAAAUUUAUAUUUGAAAAGGAAAAUCAGAGGAUUCAUGGAGAUUGUAACACUCACUUAUUGAAAUCAAUAAAAUGAUUGAUGCAAUGUUUUUCUUGUCUCGGUUAUUUAUAUUUUGGUCUCGAAAUUUUAUUGUCCAAUAAAUUCUGGCACAUACAAUAAGACAAGCUCCACCUUUCAUCUCAACUUUUCUAACUUCAAAGUUAAGAACAACGAAUUGACUUCCAAGAAAGUCAAUUCUCAAUCAACUGCUCCCAAGGCUGCUGAUUCCAAAUUCUCUGUUGAAGUAGAGAGCAUCUUGGGCGUUACGUUUGGAAGCUUUGGAGCUGUCAUGAGGAGCAAGGCGAACAAGCUAGGAAAAUAAACAUAUCAAGUUUCAUCCUCGCCAACUCCAGUUUUUGGAUCUUUAACCCCAAAAGGAGUGAGAUCCGAUGAAACUACUUCAGAAGGAGGAAGCGAUGUGGAAGAGUCACUUAAGAAAACUCUAGCUCUACUUGAGCACUCUAGUUCCAAAUACUCUGGCACAAAGAACGAUAGUUAUUCAACCAAUACAUUGUCUCCAUUUACACCAAAAAAUCUGAGUACUUCAAAGAUCAACUUACGCGAAAAUCCGUGUUACUCUCUAAUAUGUCCAGUAAUUAUGCAAGUAAUGGUGACUGAUGCCUCAUCUGUAGAGGAGUUGCUUGUAAACCUAACGAGGGCGAUUGAAGAUCUCACUAAGUAUGUACAGAAUCAAGACGCUCAAAUAGAUAAGUUGACAAACAGAAUAGAUAGCUUAAUAGACGGAGAGUCUAUCCAUAAACCUGGGAAAUCACCAAAAGGUCACGAGACAGAACAUCCAGAAAAAAAAUGCCACCAACUAAGAAGGUACAUAUUUCUUCUAAGGGAAUGAUCCUAAUUAAUUAGUUGAAACAGUUUAUUGAAGGGACCUUCAAAUAUAAGUAUGUUGUUGUCACCAAGUCUUCCCUGACAUAUGCCAAUCUUACACUGCAGGAAUUGACAGCCUUAAAAUGCUUUCAGGCUAUCAACCUCCUAAAUUUCAACAAUUUGAGGGCAAAAGGAACCCAAUAAUUUAAUAAUGCUAGAACUUACAGUGACAAUCUUGUCAAACAAUUUAUUUGCUCACUAAAGGGAAAUGCCUUUGAUUGGUUAACAUACCUUGAGCCUAACUCCAUUGAUAGUUGGGAACAAUUGGAGCAUGAGUUCCUAAAUUUCUUUUAUAGCACAAGGUGCACAGUUAACAUGGUAGCGCUCACGAAUACUCGAUAAAGAAAAGAUGAGUCGGUCAUUGACUUCAUCAAUCGAUGGAGAAAUAUGAGCCUAAACUGCAACGACGGGCUUAAUAAAAACUCUGCAAUAUAGAUAUACAUCCAAGGAAUACAUAGAGAGCUUCUCUAUAUCUUGUAAGGAAUUAAGCCUAAACCCUUUAAAGAGUUGGCUACUCGUGCUAACGACAUAGAGUUGAGAAUGUCUUCUGAUGGAAAGGAAGUAGCGCUUAUCCAUGACCCUCAAAGGGGAGGAUAAGCAAGAACCCAAAAAUGGGGUAAGUUUAUCCCAAAAAUAAUAAGGAAUUCAUGAAUAUUGACGUGUCUCCUAUGAAGGUCACCACGAAGGUGACCAAGAAGCAAUGUGUGAAAACGACUUCCUGAGCACGUCCAAAUCAGAAGUUAACUUUAAAGAAGAUGCAAGAAAAGGAAUACCCUUUCCCUGAUUCUAAUGUGGCUGAAAUUUUUAAUGAACUCCUUGAGCAUAAGCUUAUUGACCUACCAGAGAUGAAGCGGCCUGACAAGGCUGGAAGGACUAAUGACCCAAAUUACUGCAAGUAUCAUAGGCUUGUGAAUCACCCUCUAGAAAGGUGUUUUGUCAUUAAGGACAAAGUCAUGCAAUUGGAAAAUAAGAAGAAGAUCUUCUUCGAUGAUAAUAUAGUCAGUUCUCAUCAAAUCUCUAUCACUUUUGGCUUAUUCGAUCCAGUUCAAAUAUGCAUCGAAUAACGUAAAAAGGAACCAUUAGAGCAUGAUAAGUCUUCAAUUGACAAAGAUGAUGAUAAAAGUUAGAAUCUGGUGACUAGGCUCAGACGUAAGAAAAUAAGUCUAUAAAAGGAGUCAUUCGAGCAGCCAACUAGAAAGAGGAUAGUAAAGAAAGUUAGGAAAUAGAGGCUAGUAGAGCAUCCAAAUAAGACAAGGGUAAUGGAGAUUCACCACAAUAAACCGUGACGUCUGGUGACUUUAGAAGAAUUCUUACCUAAUUGGUUCCAUACAAAGACUAUAAAAGUCAACCUUGAGGCAUCAUAUUUUAAUACUGGCAAAGAGGGGGCAAAGGGUGAAAACCCACCCAUGGUAGUUCCUCCAUUUUCUGAAUAGCCUACUGAGAUGCUUAGCCAAGAGUCACAUGUAUCAAAUUUAUAAAUAAUGAUAUUAUACUUGGGGAAAUCCUCCAUAACCAUCCCUUGUACAUGGUGGGUCAAGUUCUAGGAUAGAAAAUAAAUAGAAUCUUAAUUGAUGAGAGAUCCGGAGUCAACAUCUUGCCUAUAUGCAUAAUGAAGAAACUUGGCAUCGCUACUGAUAAACUGGCCUAAUACCAUUUGAUAAUCCAAGGCUUUAACCAAGGGGGUCAGAAGGCCAUGGGAUCUAUCAAGUUGGGGAUUCAUAUGGAUGAUUUUUGAUCAAAUGCAUAGAUGCAUGUGAUUGAUGCUAAAACUUCAUACAAUAUAUUACUUGGUAGGACUUCGGUACAUAAGAAUAAAAUUAUAUCGUCCUCUUUCUAUCAAAGCUUGAAGUACCUCAAAGGAAAAGAGGAAAAAAAGAUAGUUGUUAAUGAUAAGCCAUUCACUGAAGCUGAUUCAUACUUUGCCGAUGCAAAAUUCUACUUAAAGAGUUAUCUUAUGAAUAAGAAAAGGGUUGAUGAUGUCACCAAGACCAAAUGUGAUGAUCUUGCAUCCAAGAAGCUUGAGGUGACUGUCGAAAAAGCCACCACUAAGAAUCCUCUCUCUACUUCAAAUAAAAAAAGGUCACAUCUACGGAAAAAAGGCAACACCUGUUCUUCGCUACGUACCAAAGGUAAAUAAAAAAAAGGAUCAUUCAUCUGAUCCUAGAGAUAAUAUGCUAGGAGGGAUAACUCUACCUAUUAAGAGGAUUGACGCAAUGAAACCAUCAUCAAGGAUACUAGGAGAAUAUGUAGCUCAAAAUUCACCACAAGAGAUAACACUCCCUACGAAGCUUACAAAAGAGGGCUUUGAUCCAAAUACAUACAAGCUAUUUAUAAAGGUUGGAUAUAAUCCUAAUGAGCCAUCAAGUUUGGGCAAAAUUUCAUUGGAGGGUACAACCAGGCAGCCACAUGAAGGCCUAGGACAUACGCAUCUACCUCCAAUUCGCAUCUUCAUAAGAAGGGCAAUUAGUAACUACAUCACUGUAGGAGAGAAGUCUACUGCAUCCAACAAAAGGCCUUCUAUCUUUGAUCGAUUGGUAGAACCAACUACAAGAACUUCUAUUUUGAGAGGUUGGGUCUACUAAACACAAUGAAAAGCAACAAGCACCAAAGAAGUUGUCUAAACACAACAUGACACUCUUCAUCUAAGAUCCAGAAAGAUUUUCAAAGUUUGAUUCCUUCUAGAAUGAGGCAACAAAUGGAACUGGUGGUUUCAUACAAUGAGGUGUUACAAGCUAAGGCUCAUACUGUGGUUUAUACCAAGAAGCAUGAGAAAGACGAAGAAAGAGUUGGCUCCUCAUAUCCUGUUAUAACCCAAAUGAGAAUGAUACAUCAUCUCAAAUAAAGGUUGAUGAAGAGAUGGAAGAUACUUUUUUAUGUUACUAAAUAUCCAUCAACGACAAUGAUCCACAAGAGGAGGAAGAUGUUGGGUAUGUCUCAUCAUAACUUAAAGGAGUUAAAGCCAUAAUGGAUCCUUCAAAGAAAGUUAAUCUGAGAACCAAUAAAGACCCAAGACCAACUUACCUGCGUGUGUUUCUAGAACUGGGGGAGGAAAUCACUUAUAUAGAUAUACUCAAACAAUAUAUAGAUGUCUUUGCUUGGAGUUAUAAGGAAAUUCCUGGCUUAGAUCCAAAAGUAGCAGUCCAUCAGUUGGCGCUCAAGAAUUAUGCUCGUCCUGUUAAGCAAUCCCAAAGGCGCUUUAAGCUAAAUUUGGUUACAUUGGUUGAAAAUAAAAUUAAUAAAAUCAUCAAAGCUAUCUUUAUUUGAGAAGUUAAAUACCCCACGUGGAUUUCAAAUAUUGUUCUGGUACGAAAGAAGAAUGGCGAAAUUCGAGUUUGUGUCAACUUUUGGUAUCUCAACAACGUUUGUCCUAAAGAUGAUUUUCCAAUCCCCAUGCCAGAACUGAUGAUUGAUGACACCACUGGUUAUGACGCAAUGUCCUUUAUGGAUGGUUCAUCCAGCUAUAAUCAAAUCUAUAUGGCACCAAAAGAUAAAGAGCUCACAGCAUUCUAUAUGCCCAAAGGUAUUUAUUGCUACAAGGUGAUGCCUUUUGGUUUAAAGAAUGCUGGUGCCACUUAUCAAAAGCCUAUACAAAAUAUCUUUGAUAUUUUACUCCAUAAAAUAUUGAAUACUAUGUAGAUGACCUAGUAGUGAAAUCAAGAAAGAGGGACGACCAUUUAAAAAACCUAAGAAUGGUAUUCUAGUUGCUUUGAAGAAAUCAACUUAGGAUGAAUCCAUUGAAAUGUACCUUUGUAGUUACUUUUGGAAAGUUCAUUGGCUUCAUUAUAAAACACCGAGGAAUUGAAAUUGAUCAGGUAAAGGUUGAUGUGAUUUUGAAGAUGCCCAAGCCUCUAAACAUUCACGAGUUAAAAAGCCUUCAAGAAAGGCUAGCAUAUUUAAGGAGGUUCAUCUCCAACUUGGUUGGAAAAUGACACCAUUUAGCCAUCUUAUGAAGAAGGACACUCCCUUCAAAUAGGACCAAGCUUGUAGUAAGGCCUUUGAAAGUAUCAAAUCAUACUUGAUGAAGUCUCCAAUUCUUGCAGCACCUAUACUUGGAAAACUGUUGAUAUUGUUUAUCACGGCACAAGAAAGGCCAGUUGGAGCACUACUAGCAUAAGAAAAUAGUGAAGGUAACAUUUUCUAUCUGAGUAGAAUGAUGACACUAAAUGAGUUAAAUUAUUAUCCAAUUGAAAAGUUAUAUUUAGUGUUGGCUUUCUCAAUCCAAAAAAAUGAAGCACUACUUUCAAGCUCAUGUCAUUUGUCUUAUGCCUAGGGCAAAUCCCAUCAAGUUUGUAAUGUCGAAACCAGUCCUUAGUAACCGACUUGCAAGAUGGUACCUUCAAUUCUAACAGUUUGAAUUUGUAUAUGUUCCCCAAAAGGCUGUAAAAAGACCAGCAUUGGCAGACUUCUUGGCAGACCACCCGAUACCUGAUGACUAAGAACUGACCUAUGAACUUACUAACAAAGAUGCAAUGGUUAUUGAAGCCAGACCCCCGUGAAAUAUACUUUGAUGGUUCCAUAUAUCAAGAUAGAGCUGGUGUUGGUAUGGUGUUCGUGGCUCUAAAAGGAGAGGUCAUCCCAUACUUUUUUACCCUAACAAACCAUUUCUCUAAUAAUGUUGUUGAAUAUCAUGCAUUAAUACUCGGGUUUGGGAUAAAAGCUAAUAUGAAAAAACUAUAAUUAUAAGUAUUUGGUGACUCUCAAUUGGUGAUCAAGCAGCUAUUGGGAAGUUAUGAAGUUAGAAAGCCUGAGUUAUGCCCAUAUCAUGAUUAUACUCAAAAGUUAAUGGGAUAGCUUGGAGAAGUAACCCUCAAGCAUUUACUGAGGAUAGAAAAUAAGCAAGUUGAUAUCCUAUCUACUUUGGCCUCAACCCUAACUCUUCCAAAUUAAACACGAGUUACUAUCCUCCAAGAAUGGGUAGUACUGCAAUCGAAUAAGGAUGAGGAUGUAGAAAAUAAGAUUGAAUACCUCAUCACCAUAUCUGAAGUUAUAAAGGAGGAUUGGAGACAACCUCUCAUUGAUUAUUUGUGCUAUGGGAUACUUCUAGAAGAUCCAACAAAAAGGACUAACAUCCAUCGUCGUGCACUUCACUUCCUUUACUAUAAAGACAUGUUAUAUAGAAGAUCGUCUGAAGGAGUACUUUUGAGAUGUUUGGGAGAGGAAGAAGCAAUUCAAAAUUUGCAAGAAGCGUACUUGGGAGUUUGUAGAUCGCAUCAGUCUGGACCAAAGCUCCACACAUUAAAAGGAUGGGACACUAUUAGCCAAUGAUGGUUAAAGAUUGCUUGGACUAUGUUAGAAUAUUUAAAGCUUAUUAAUUCCAUGAGAAUUUCAUACAUCAACCUCCUAAAGUAUUACACCUAACUGUAGCAUCUUGGAUAUUCAAUGCUUCAGGAAUAGAUGUUGUUGGGCCACUACCAAAAUCUUCUAGUGGAUACUUAUACAUCUUGGCCACAACAGAUUACUUCUCAAGUUGGGUGAAAGUUUUUACUCCCAAAGAAGUAAAGAAAGAAAAUGUUGUGACUUUCAUCCGAUUAAAUAUGAUCUGCCAUUUUGGGAUCGCAUAAUAUAUAAUAACCGACAAUGGCAAGCUAUUUGUUAAUAAGUUAAUGAAUAAGAUUUUUGAUUUCCUUGGUUUCAAGCAGAGCAAGUCUUUUAUGUACCAUGCUGCUGCAAAUAGUCUAGUCGAAGCAUUUAAUAAGACUUUAUGCAAUCUGUAGAAGAAAUUCAUCUCCAAGUCCAAAUGAGAUUGGCAUGAACAAAUGGAAGAAGAUUUGUGGGCAUAUAGAACAACUUACCACACGCCGAUGCAAGAAACCCCAUACUCACUUGCUUUUGGAGUCGAAGCAGUCCUGCCACUUAAGCGUCAAAUAUCUUCUUUAAGACUAGUUAUUCAAGAAGGGCUCACCAAAGAACAAAAUGUAAAGUUGUGACUUGCUGAGUUAGAAGUUCUUGAUGAUAACAAGUUAGAAGCUCAACAAAAUCUUGAAUGUUAUCAAGCUCGUCUAUCUCAUUCUUUCAACAAGAGAGUCUGCUUGAGGUGAUUUCAAGUUAAAGACCAAGUUCUUGCAGUAAAAAGGCCCAUUAUUACUUCUCAUAAGUCUGAGGGAAAAUUUACCCCAAAGUAGGAUAGACCAUAUGUCGUACAAGAAGUAUAUUCAAAUAGUACUUAUAAGCUUGUCGAUGCAGAGGGUGUGAAGAUUGGCCCUAUCAAUGCCAAGUUCUUGAAAAAGUACUAUCUUUGAUGAAAGAUGGCACUCUUUAAGGCACGAGUAUAAACUGCAUGUUCACUCCUGUCCCAUAAGGGUAUAAACUGUGUAUGGCUCUAAAAAAAGUUUGUGAAGUUGAAAACCUCGAAAGAGGCGGCUUAGGCAAAAAUUAGGACGGAAAAAAUAAAAGAAAAACACUCACCCAGAACUACAUUAUGAGUUGAUCCUCUUUACUGAGGUACGUAGGCACUUGGAAUUUCAUUCUGAGUUCAGUUACAUGAAUAUCAAAAAAAUACAUAUUCCCACUUGAUCCACCAUAUGAAAUUUGAGCCUGCAUAUACUUCAAUUAAAUUUUGGAAUUAUGCUCAAUGGGGGCAAACUCUAAUGAGCUUCGUUCAUAUAAGUUGAAGUCUUCUGAUUCAUUAAGUCUUCAUGUUAGAACUUUCAAAUUCUCCAUAUUAAAAUUUUCACGUUCAUGGGUUUAUCCUUAAAAGGAUAUCAAAAUUUUCAUGCCUUAAGAUGGAUAAGAUUUAUCCCUUUGCACCUUAAGCUGGCUUCUCACAGGUUCAUCUUUAAAAGGGUCUCAAAAUAUUUCAUUCCUUAAGGUAGACAAAAUUUAUCCCUUUGCACCUUAAGUUGACCUCUCAUGGGUUUAUCCUUAAAAGGAUCUCAAAAUUUUCAUGACUUAAGGUAGACAAAAUUUGUUCCUUUGCACCUUAAGUUGACCUCUCAUGGGUUUAUCCUUAAGAGGAUCUCAAAAUUUCCAUGUCUUAAGGUGGAAAAAUUUGUCCCUUUGCACCUUAAGCUAGCAUCUCACGGGUUUAUCCUUAAAAGGAUCUUAAAAUCUUCAUGCCUUAAGGUGGACAAAAUAUGUCGCUUUGCACCUUAAGCUAACCAUUAAAAAGGGUCCAUACCUAAAGAAUAUCAUCGUAUAAGUGCAUCGAUGAAAAGGCCCAUACUUAAAGAAGACUAUUGCAUAAAUGCAUCGAUAAAAGGGCCCAUACUUAAAGAAGACCAUUACAUAAGUGCAUCAGUGAAAGGGUCCAUAGUUAAAUAAGACCAUUGCAUCUUGAAGCAAAAUUGGUCGGGUCUUAAGAUGAUGGAGGGGAAGUUAAACUCUCACAAAUUAAGUUGAUGUCCACCAUCUUCAAGAAAAAUUGGUCGGGUCUUAAGGUGACGGAUGAGAAUUUAAACUCUCUCACCUUAAGCCAAUGUCUACUGUCUUCAAGCAAAAUUGGUCGAGUCUCAAGGAGACCGAGGCAAAGUUAACUCUGCACCUUAAGCCGAUGUCAACCAUCUUUAAGUAAAAUUGGUUGGGUCUCAAGGUGAUGGAGUCAAAUUUAAACUCUCGCACCUUAAGCCGAUGUCCACCGACUUUAAGCAAAAUUGAUCGGGUCUUAAGGUGACGGAGGCAAAGUCAAACUCUCGCACUUUAAGCCAAUGCCCACCAUUUUUGGUUGGGUCUUAAGGUGAUGGAGGCGGAGUUAAAUUCUCUCACCUUAAACUAAUUUUUGCAUAUUUCUAUUUGUUUUAAUCCUAUAAAAGAAAUAUAGGGAAACAAGAAAGAAAGUAAAAAACACAAAUAAAAGGGAUGUUACCUGUCAGAGCGCUACGACCUUGAAAGUUGAAUAUCACUAAUUUAGAUUGAGACAAGAUGUUUUAAUGAGAAUAAAGCCCUCUAAUAUAGUUUGAAAAUAAAAACUUUCUUUGGUGGUGAUGGUCCCACAUCAAGAUAUGAAUUAUUUGGUGGGGCGAUACAAAUCUGGAAUCCUCUGCCAGACAACAUAGAAGAUCAACUUCAAAAAAUCAUCUAGAACAAUCCAAAAAGUGUUAAAAUCCAAAUUUUGGAUAUGUUAUAUAUGCAUGUUUCGACAUCUAUAGAAUCAAAUGAAACAUAAUUUCGAUACUCUCACAUUGAGAUAUAAUUUAUUUGGAGACGUUGCGUAAAUCAGAAAUUGGUGAUGCAUCGAAACUCAAUGCUGAUUUAGAGAAAACACCUAAAAUGAUAUCAAAGUUAUUAAAUUAUGAAUUCCAGAUAUGUUGUAGAUCAUUGUGUCUAGUUUCACAAGAAUCAAGUGGCUUGCAAUUUUUUUAUUCCUACUUCAAGAUAUGAAAGUUUUAAUAAAGAUGUGUAGAUCUAAAAUUUUUAGCAUGAUAAAAUUCAGGGCUAACUUCAAAAAAUUAUUGAGAAUUAUAUUGAAGGAAUUUAAAGUGAAUUUUGGAUAUGUUAUAUAUCUCUAUGUCUAGUUUCUAGAAUAUUAAAUGGUUCAUGAUUUUAAUAUUCCUACACUAAGAUAUGAAUUUUCUACCAUUAAGAUGUUGUGCUGAAAAAAGUGACGAAAAUAAAAGAAAAAUAGGAGGGAAAGAAAUUACCUCAAUAUUAUUCAUGGAUUGGAAACCCCAAAAUUGAUAUUGAAAAAGUGGGGAACUUACAUCCUUUUAUAGAGUUGUAGGAUGAAUGUUUUUUUCUCCAAUAUAAAUUCAAAUUGGAAGAACUUCCAUCUCCAAUAUAAAUUCAAAUUGGAGGUUGUUUCCUUCUCUCAUACAAAUUCAAAUUGGAGGUUGUUUCCUUCUCAAAUACAAAUUGAAAGAGUUUUCAUCUCCAAUACAAAUUCAAAUUAGAGGUUGUUUCCUUCUCCCAGACAAAUUUAAAUUGAGGGUGUUUCCUUCUCCAAUAUAAAUUCAAAUUGAAAGAGUUUUAUUCCUGAUUAAGUAAGGUGGUAAAAGUUUUCCAAAAUAUAUUUGGAAUGAGAUAUCAUACCUCACCAACGGGUCUUACGUGUAGAGACUCAAGAAAAAAAAUAAGAGAUUUUUUAAGAGGCAAUAUCAAUAUGUAAAUUGCAUGAUUCAGCUUUAUGAAAAUCUUUGAAGCACGAAGGAAGCAUGUUUAAAUAAAUCAUACUUCAAGUCUAGUCUCAAAAAGAUUAAAUAUUUCAACAAGUCUUGAAGUAGGGGGUAUUUUGUGGGCAACAAAAUUUUAUUAAAUUAAAAUCCGUACAAAAUUCGUAUUAUGUUAAAUUCAAAAUAGAGUAGUCUCAGAUAAAUAUUACUGAUUAAUAUAAUCGAAUUAAUUAUUUAAGUUCAAAUAUAUAUGGAUUUAAUUAAAAUCCAAUUUUUAUUGAGCUUGCCCACUGAUUUGGGCUACAAAUGAUGAGCCCACUUUGCUAAGCGCAAGAUAUUGUCAUAUUCUAGAGGCCCAAAUAAGCACCACGUGUCAAAUGACGUGAAAUGCAAAGUAAAGUGAAGAAGCCAAUAGGACCGUGCCAUAUGUCAAAAUGAUGCAGCAGGCCUAGUGAAAUCAAAAGCCCAUAAAAGGCGUCACGUCACCUAAAUUUGACUGGUCAAAGAAAGUCCAUCUUCAUCAUGACUCUUCCUUUUCCACAACUGUAAAUAUGGGUUUCCUUAUUCAGAAAAGGGACCAACAACUCUAACAAGAAGUAAGAGAAAACUCGUGGAUCAAAUGCCGCAAUUUCUCUACAAAGCUUAAGCAUUCAAGUCCAGUUCUUCAAGAUUCAAAUCAAGACCGUCAGAUUCAAGAACAAUCCCAAAAGCCCUUGAAUUCAAGCAUAAGUCAAGAUCAAGUCUGGUAAAUCAGCAAAUCAAGUUCAAAUUCAAGAUCAAGCUUUAAACCCUUGAAUUUAUAUUUGAAAAGGUGAAUCAGAGGAUUUAUAGAAAUUGUAACACUCACUUAUUAAAAUCAUUAAAAUAAUUAUUGUAAUAUUUUUCUUGUCUCGAUUAUUUAUUUUCGGUCUCAAAAUUUUAUUGUCCAACAACGAUUCAUUAUCUAAUGCAUUUCCCAAAAUAUUAAAUUUAUUACUAUAUUCAAAGAGUAAUAUAAACAAAAUUAACCUAUCAUUUACUGUUUUAAAUUUCUGUGUCAAUGAAAAAGUGGACAAGUAAAGAUAGACCCAAGAAGUACUUUUUUGUCCUAAUUGGUGUGACAAAGAUGAAAUUUGGAUAGCUAACUAAUUUUUUUAUAUAGUUUUUAUAAAUUUUAAGUUGUUAAUUUUUGUAAUUUAUAGUACUCAAAUAAUAUAUGUACCUCUUUAGGGGGGGGGGGGGCACGAUCCGAUUUAAAAUCAAAAUUAAACCAAAUCUAAUCGGUUUUAAAAUAAUUAAUCAAAUCAAACCAAACCAAAUAAAACAAAUAUUUAUCGGUCAAGUUAUUAUCGAUUUUUUAUUUGCUUUGGUUUGAUAAUUCGGUAAUAAAUCAUAUAGAAAAAUAAAGAAAACAAAAAACAAUACUAUGCAAUUAAUAAAAAAUUAUAUUACAUAAUUAUUUUUAAUCAGCCUAAACUAGAGCAAAAUAUCAGAACAAUAUAAGCUUUUAAGACAAAUCUACUGAAAGAGUAGCUAAUACUCGAAAUACAUUAUCUACUUGGGUGCACUUAAAUAACGAUCUUUAGACUUGGACGUUAUAUGAUUCUUCUCAGUUCUCUUUUUGUUUUGUACCUUUUUUAUUAUCUAAAUAAAUUUUGAUGAACAUAUUACAAUUACAUAUAUAGCUUAAAAUUAAAAAUAAUAUAUUAUGUACAUAUUACAUAUAUUCGUAAUAUAAAUAUAUAUAUAUAUAUAUAUAUAUAUAUAUAUACUUAAUAUAUUUUUUUUUGGUUUUCCUAUUUGGUGUCUGUUACGAGUCUGACUAAUCUGGAUUUGCGCCGCGUAGGACCCCAUUCGGGGGAAGCACUCCCUACCAAAAAUUUUUCCACAUCUAGGGCUCGAACUCGAGACCUCUGGUUAAGGGAGGAGCAGCCUCACCCGCUGCACCACAUCCUUUGGUGGUUAUAUACUGAAUAUAUUAUUAUUAUAUAUACAUAUAUUUAUCUAACAUUAAAAUUUAUUUUUAGUUAAUUAAUUGUAUUUUUAAAAAUUUAAAGAUCUAACGUGCAAGUAGACUUUAAAAAUCAAAAGUAUUGUAGUGUGUUUGCAAUUAUGUUGUAAUUACAUUAUAACAGACAAAUAAGUCUUUGUAAUUAUAUAUGAUUUAAUUGCUAAAUUAUAUAAUUAUCAUUUAUUUUGUGUAACGAUCUAAAAAUUUGAAGAAAUAUGUGAAUUCUGUGAUUUGACUAUUUUACCCCUUCUCUUAGUUGCAUUAUGGUAUUUUUAGAGGGUAGGGGCAAUUGGCACGAUUUUCGGUGCAUUUUUGAUACCGCUUAUAAGAUAUUGUGAUUUUUUUAUGGCUUUAAGAGACUUAUGUUGGACUUAUGUGAAUAUCUUUGAUCCAUGCGAUGGAUGACUGAACAGACUGCGCUGGCAGCUCUGGAAUAAUGAUUUUAGGCUAGGUAGAUCUUUGGUUCAGGUCCCGGUGCACUCGAGCUCUGUUCAGUCUAUUAAUUGGAAAGUUAGAAAAUUGAAAAUAUGGGUGUGGGAUGCACAUUUGGUUGAAACGACCUCGGAUGGAAAAUUCAACUCUGCCAGUAGAUUCGAAAUAUUGAUUUUAGGGUAUUAAUAUGUUUGUGUGAUUUUACGGCUUUUGAAUCUCAUUUCAACCCUCGAUUUAAAAAAUUAUAAUUUCGAGUUUUUGGGGGUCAACUUUGUGAAAAUAAUAUUUUUUUAAAAAAACUGAUAUCGACAUUGAGUCUGAAGCAUUGAAUUUAGUGCGGUUACAUAAUUCUUUUACAUAUAUCGGACUCCAAACAAAUCUCGAGCACCCCAUCAAAGUCCGAAUUAGACUUAAAGAAAGAAAAAUCUGGUGUUGUGCAGUUUUUUGUUAUAAAAAAAGGUUUUCCUCUCCUUUUUACCCAUUUUGUCUAUUCUUUCACCUUGCCUCUUGAGAGUUAAAAUAGUGUGAGAGAUUAAAAGUGAAGUUUGUGGGAGCUUGGGAAGAUAGAUUAACAUCUAUUUCUUGAUUAUGUUACGGAUUUAAUGUAAACAUUCAUCCUUUUCUUAGUAAUUUCUUGAUUAAUUUUUCGAAACUCCAAAAAUUUUAGGGCUUGAUUUUAAACCCCAAAUUAAUUUCUUUUCACUUCAAUAAUGUUUUUUAUCUUAUAAUUACUAAUUUUUCAUCAAUUUAACCUUCAAAACAACUCUGAUUCUUAAUAACACAGAUUUCAAAGAUUUUAACCCGAUAAAGCUUAAAAAUAGUUUUCCUUCGAUUUGACCCUCGUUCUUGACUCAAUUUGACUUGGGUUUCUAGCUGUAGGUUCCUAAAAUAUGGGAAACACAUGUUUGAAGUAAAGUUACGAUUUUGCUCUUCUUUUUUGAAAACUCAUUUUGGGGGUCUGUUUUGACCCCGAAUCAAAAGUAGUCAAUAUGGGAGUCGUUGGUUUUAUUUUGAUGCGUAGAUUCUAUUUUUGAUAUUUUUGGUGGAGUUUGGGAUCGUUUGUGAAAAUUAAGGUCAUGGAUACGAAGUGUAGUGGAUCAAUUUUGACUUUUAAGGUAGGUUAUGGCUUAACUCUUUCAGAUUGGGCUGAUAGUAAAUGGUGAUAGUUAAUGCAUGUUAAAGGUGGAAAAUAAUCAUAAAAAUAGCUAUCUAUGAGUUAUGUUUGUGUGGGGCCUAUAUAUAAUGUUAUUAUUGAAAUUGAGAUAUUAUGUGAUAUGUGUAACCGUGUGGGUUCCUAUGUGAAGUUGAUAGCCUUGAUAGAUGUGAAUAAUUGUAUUGUGUUAUUUAAAUGCCUAAUGUUGUACCAUUAAUAUAUUGUGAUAAAUUCAUACUUGUUGUUAUAUGAGACAUAUGAAAAUUCAUGGAUGAAACAAAAAUAAUGAGUGCAUAUUGGCUCAUAUGGUUGUGGAAAUGUAUAAUUGUGGUUGGUUGUGGAAAUAUAUCAUUGUGAUUGAUUGUGGAAAUACUCAUUGUGAUUGAUUGUGAGUAUUACAUCCUCAUAUCAUACUCAUUCAUGAAAUAUUGGUACUACCGUGACAACAUCUGAGAAACACUGGAAACACCUUUUACAAAACCAUCCCCGAGAAAAGUGCCAGAGAGGAGAUAUUAUAACACUUUAUAAAACCCUUUUUGAGGAAUGUGCCAAAAAGGAUAUAUGAGAUAUGUGGAUUGUAUAUGGGUUGAAGAAUCCCCCAUGGGUCCUUCGUCGGGAAGAUUUAGCUCCGUAGGCAUAUAUAAGAUUGUACGACGAUUUCGGAGGUUGUGCGACGAUCUCGUGCAUCAUCAUCAUCAUCAUAUACAUAGCACUAACAUUAUUGUGUUAUGUUGUAUUGUAUUGUCAUAUGACUUGUCAUCUAUCCAUUUAUCAUAUCUUUCUUUACUUGUAUUUGAUGAUCUUGUAUAUGCAUGUUCUCCCUUAUUCUACUUUUAUGUGAUAUAAUGCAUACUUAUAUUCUAUUUUAAUGUGAUGUUGCAAUAUAUGUGAUAUAUUAGAACUGUUAGUGCAAGCGGUGUGGGCUACCGUUGUGGGACAUUUUCUGAUUACAGGUAAUGUGCCCUUAGUGUGUAUUUUGUAUGCUUUAUUUUCUACUUUGCUCGGUCAGCCUAUGAUACCUACUGAGUAUAAGUGGAUUAUACUCACUCCUACUUCACAUUUUUGGUGCAGCUUUAGGUUUGGGUGCACCUCAGACUGGUUGAUUUCGGGCAUCUUUAAAUUACUGAAGGUAGCUGUUGGACAUUCAUAUGUCCAGAGUUCAUCUUCAUCUUUCUGUAUUAGUUAUGUCUUUUUAGCAUUCGAAGACAGAUAUUAUUCCUUUGUAGUUAUUUUUUAGAUGUAUUUGACUCCUGGAUAGUAUUAGUAGUUCUUACACUUUUGACACCAGAUUUUUAGAGUUAUGGCCGCAUGUGUUGAUUUUAUUCUUUAUGCUUUUAUUAUAUCUAUGUGGUUCAGCUUCGUUCUAAAAGCCUUACCUUGGGGGCAUUUUUAUCUUUUUCCCCGUGUGUAUCAUUUUGAGCGAGACACUUAUUUGUCAAGGUUCGUCGUGACAAGUACCAUCAUGACCUAUUGAUUUUUGAAUCGUGACAUUUCCUUUGUCCAAUAAUAUUUCUCCAAAUUAUUAAAAUUAGAUGUUCAAUAAUAGUUGUUCAGUUUGAAAAAUCAGUAGAGAUAAUUUAUCCAUUUCUGUCUAUUUUUCUAUGAAUUAUUAAUUAUAGUCAUUAUGCUAUGCAUUUUUUACAGCAUUGAAUUAGUUAUAUCCAAAGGGUGAUAUAGUAAAAUAACUCAUAUUAUUUAUUAUUAAGAUUAAAUAUAUUUAAAUAGUGAUAUAAUAAAAUUAUUAAUAUUAUUUAUUAUUUUUUAAAGUGUAUGCAAGUUGGACAAAGAAAAUAGUAAUUAGUAAUUAUACCAAAUACAAUUACUAGUGAGUACUUUCAAUUAGACAUUAAAUACGCCCUCUAGUCAACUUAAAUUAAUUUGUGAGAUAAUGAACAUCUAUUUUAGAAAAAAUUAGGACACAACAUUUCACUUUUAUCUUUUUAAAGUCAAAUUAAAAUUACGAGAAAGUUAUGUCUUCUGCUAGUUCGCCGUCGUUAAAGACCUUUUCCCUCAACACAGCGCCAAAACCGCCAAAUCCAUCCCCUACUGUUGUCACUAAUUCGUUCAAAUCAGCACUACUAAAUAAUAAUCCCUACAUCUCUGAGUUUAUGAAAGUCAAAACUACCGUAAAAAUCGAUGUGGAUCCUAUCCACCCUACCGAUCUGGCAGCUGACGACCAUAUAACUACCAAAUCUGACAACGGGGACCGAAUAGUUCUUUCUGAAGAAGAUAAGACCCGAAUGUAGGAUCCUUGGAAGUUUGUUGUCAUAACAAAGCUUGUGAACCAAAGAAUUCUCCAUCAAAAAUUAAAAUCGAGACUACAGAGCCUUUGGAAACCCACUGAAUCGAUCACCCUUAUCGACUUGGGGUAUGAUUAUUUCAUUGUCAAGUUUACUAAGCAAGAAAAUUUUACAGAAUUAUCGAACAAGGCCCGUGGUUUAUCAAUGGCAGCCACCUCUCUGCUCAACGAUGGACUCCCAAUUUUGUUGCGCCAGAAGCAAAACAACUAUUUAGUGCAAUAUAGAUGAGGCUGCCUGAGCUCCCUACGGAGUUCUAUGAUGCCAUCAUUCUUAAAAAAAUUGGGAAUUCUAUUGGGAAGCUACUUUAAGUUGAUGCCUGCACCAGUGCUACUCUCAGGGAAUGUUAUGCAUGCCUCUGUAUCUAGUGCCACUAGAUUUUUCCAUUGAAAAUGCACGUCUUCAUUGGUUCUCACGAACAUAUUAUCACCUUUGAAUGUGAAGGCCAACUGUGCACAGCAUAUGGAUGUCUAGGAUAUAUUUUGCAAAAUUGCCCAGUCAAAUAUGUCCAGAAUUCACACAUCACUAAUCAACCAUCUGGAACCUCCCCAAUGGUACCCGUCUCCUAACCAUCACCAGCAUUGUCCACAAUCUCUUUUGAUAGAAAGAAGAAAUGCCUGCGCAAUACAAGUCGCUCCAACUAUGCCUCAUUAGGUUGCAUAGGUACUCAGUAUUUCCAACCCUCAGGUACUACAGGUAAUACAACUUCUAAUUCAAUAUCCCAAGUUAUCUCAUCUACUCCCCAGAAAAAUACCUUCGUGAAUCCUUUAUCUCUUGUAAACCCCUCUUAUCCCAUGUCUAAAUCUCUAAAUAAUAACAAAUUUGAUCUAUUAAUGCAGAUUGAUAAAGACGAUCACAUGCAGGCGACAUUAUCAAAUCCCUAAAUAGUACCAUCCCAGUUGCCCAAGAGCGUUGUCACUAACGCACACCUAACUUUCUGCAUUUCUCAAUACGUAGACCCCACAACUAUGCCUCCGCUAUCUAUUUUGACAAUUGUCCUUACAGUUGUUAUCCUUUUCAAAUCCCAAUAAACCAACCAAAAUGACUAUCCUGCCCUUGUAAAAACCCUAAACAAAAUACACCCUCCCCAACUACUAAACACAUGUCAACUCCCCCUUGCCAGGUGGAUUUCUUCCCUGCAUUCCACUAUGUAUUCCCCCAAUUAAAUUGGAACCCACUGUUGUAAGUUUAUCAUCACCCAAUGAAGUCCCUUUCAUAUCUCUCACUAAAGAUCUACAAUCAUUAAAACCUUUUAACCAAUCUUUGGACAAACCCUCAAAAACCUUUAUUAACUCUCAUAUCAGUCCAAAUGAAGAAACAGGUACUUCCGUUAAACAAGAAAGAGACCACACUCAUUUCCUUACCCCACUCAAGUAUGAACAAUAUUAAUAUUCCCAACAUUCUAGUUAUAUACAUGAUGGUUCCCAUUCCACCCUCUCAACCUCCAUAGUCUUGGAUCGAACAUGCACUCAACGACCAAGUGGUCUUCUUUAUCAUAGACUUGGAGGGAUGAGAAGUGAUAAUAAUUAUCUAGAAUCAAAACUUUCUAUCCUAACUAGUGACAGAAGGGCUGAAGAUGGCUCUGGAGAAUUAUUAAAACUAUCUGUGGUUAAACACUAUUCUCAAGCCCAUAGCUCCAACAGUAGCCCCAACCCUGUUCAACUCAAUGAGGGUCUAACUUCAAUCCCAUACUAAACCCAACUCUCCUAUCCAUUCUCCCUUUCUUUUGUCCCCCAUAAGCUCUCACUUCCAACCCACUAUUUUUUCCAUGGGUUCCAGUGCUCAAUCCCAAUAUGCAAACCCCUAUAGAGUCUCAGAGGGAGAUCCAGACCCCAGAUCUAAGCAAGCCCAAAACUUAUCUCAUCUCAUUUACUGAAAUUUCCGCUCUCAACGAAGUAGCCCUUAUGUUAUUUCCAGAAAUACUAGACAAGAAGUUUGUCUACUAGUUCCCAAAGAACAUAACCAAAUGGUCGAUGGAUAUUCGUCACUCCAUCAUUAAGGAAGCAGGGAAACAUGCAGCAUUUCUGAACCCAACCUUUAAAGUGUCUCCAAUGCUGGAGACAAAUGUUGACUCUCCACCCAUCCCUCUUCCCAAUCCCAUGAAUUGUGACAUGUCCAUCAUUCUGUAGAAUAUUUGAGGCUUUUAUAAUGCUCAGUUUAAAAGAAAUUUUAGGAAACACCUUAACUGUUAUUACCCAUGUGUGGUUGCUCUAUUAGAAACUCGUAUGGAAUAAAAUGAUGUCAUCAAAAAUGAUUUUAAUUUCUCAAAUUUCCUUCAAGUGCCUACUAUUGGGAAAUUGAGAGGAAUCGUUCUUCUAUGGCAUGACAAUCUUGUUACGAUUUCCAAAGUCUGUUACUUUCCUCAGGAGUUGCAUGUCAUGGUCAAGGUUCAUCUCUUUUCUAUCCUUUGGCUUUUUGUAUUAUACAUGCUAGUACAAUUUUUACUUAUAGAUUAUCUUUAUGGAAUAGCCUUCAUAAAAUUUCCAAUUCUUUCCCUNNNNNNNNNNNNNNNNNNNNNNNNNNNNNNNNNNNNNNNNNNNNNNNNNNNNNNNNNNNNNNNNNNNNNNNNNNNNNNNNNNNNNNNNNNNNNNNNNNNNNNNNNNNNNNNNNNNNNNNNNNNNNUUUAUAAUUGUGCAAUUGCAAAGGUGAGGUGUGCGUGUUUUUUUAAAAAGUUACGUUAAUGGUUAUGUAUCCCUGCAUGGUGGGGGUGAUUAUAACAAAAUUAUUUCUCAAGAUGACAAGUGGGGAAGGAGACCCGUACAUACUAAUAGAACUCAAGCUUUCCGAUCCUGCCUUAAUACCUGUGGUUUAGUUGAUUUAGGUUUCAAGGGGACUAAAUUUACUUGGUCAAAUUUUCAUUAUAAACAUGGUCUUGUUCUUGAGCGUUUGGAUCAUGUAGUUGCAAAUACUCACUGGAUCUCUCAAUUCCCAGAUGCUAAUGUAACCCACCUUCCCCGCCUAGUUUCUUACCACAACCCACUCUUAAUUUAACUUCAUGCUAAGUGGAUAACCCAAUCUGACCUUCCUCUUUUACUAAAAAAAUUUUGGUCUACCCAUGCUGAAUUUAGAAACAUCACUAACCAAUGUUGGAGUGAUAGAGAUUUUAUCCCGGCUAUUGUAGAAUUUGAAAAAACUCUAAGAAGUUGGAGUUACCAUACCCUUGGAAAUAUUCAUAAGAAAAAACGUAUUCUUCUUGCUCGCCUUACGGGUAUCCAUAACUCCUCUAAUUAUCCCCAUAGUGACUUCUUUCAUAACUUAGAAACUAAUCUUAUGUAUGAUUAUAAUUGCAUUCUCUGUAUAGAAGAGGAUUAUUGGAAACUCAGGAGCCGCAUAAACUAGCUAAAUGAUGGUGAUGCCAAUACUCGCUUCUUCCACCUCUCAGUCAUCCAUAGACGUCGUAAUAACAACAUUCAUUUUUCCAAAAUGAUGAUAAUUAGUGGAUUACUGAUCCUGAUAAACUUUGCCUUCAUACUCUUAACUACUACCAAGAAAUUUUUACCACUUCUCAUACUCACUCCAGUCUUCCUUCACCCUCUACUAAUAUUCUUUUUUGCUUCAACAUGGACAUAUCAUCCAUGGAUUAUCUAUUGAAUAAACUUGAAAUCACCUAAUCCAUUCACUCAUUUAAACCCUAUAAAGCACUGGGUCUUGAUGGAUUACACCCGUUCUUCUACCAAUAAUUUUGGGACAUUAUUGGUCUCUCAUUAACAAAUUUAUGUCACCAAGCUUUUUAUACCUUCUACUUCCCUCCUAUUAUUAAUCAAACUUAUCUAUGUCUUAUUCUAAAAUUUAAAAAUGCCAAUCAUCUAAAAAACUUCCAUCCUAUUGCUUUGUGCAACACUAGCUAUAAAAUUAUUUCUAAGAUUAUUGUCAGUCGUCUUUAAUCCUUCUUACCAAACCUUAUUGGUCCCUACCAAACGGCAUUUAUUAAAAGACGUAGGACUAUGGAUCACAACAUCACUAUCCAAUAAAUUGUUAACCUCUUUCACAAAUUCUCUACCAAAAAAGGUUAUCUCCUAGCCAAAAUAGAUCUUGAAAAAACGUACGAUAAACUUGAAUGGUCGUUUAUCCAUCGGACUCUAAUCUUCUUCAAGUUUCAUCCUAAAAUCACUAAACUCAUUAUGCAUUGUAUCUCUUCUUCCACUAUAGUUGUUCUCAUCAAGAGGCCAAAAACCCCAUUCUUUAGUCCCAAUCAAGGAAUUCUCCAAGCGGAUCCAAUGUCGCCAUAUAUUUUUAUCCUUUGCUUAGAAAUGCACUCUAAACUCAUUAACUAUCAUGUAUAUCUAGGACUCUAGGAUACCAUAAGAGUGGACACCCCUAGACCUCACCUCUCCCACCUUUUUUAUGCAGACGAUCUUACCUUCAUGUCCAAGGCCAACGCUAAAUCCAUUCACUCUUACAAUACUAUUUCGUUUACUUUCUGUGCACUGUCUGGACAAACUAUUAACUAGACAAAAUCAAAACUCUACUUCUCCAAGCAUUGCAAUACACCCUCCAAAAUCCUGGCUUACGCAACCCUUAACAUCUCGAAAACUUCAUCCUUUGGAAAUAUUUGGGAUUCCCAAUCCUUAAUCGUCGUCCCAAACAUAUUGACUUUCAAUACAUCAUAGACAACAUGUACUCAAGGCUUUAUUCUUGGAAAACCAAAUUUCUCACUUCUGCGGGUCGAAUUACUCUCAUAAAUGCGACCUUGAAUACCAUACCGGCAUAUUUCAUGCAAUAAUUCCAACUGUCCAAAUAAAAUACUAAGGCUAUAGACAAAGUACAAUAUGAUUUUUCUCUGGGUUUCCUCUCUGAACAAUAAGAAACUUUACCUUAUUAACUGGAGCAACGUCACUAGAUCUUACAACCAAGGUGGCCUAUCCAUCAAAAAGGCUUCGCAUAAGAAUUUAGUUCUUCUUAUGAGCCUUGCUUGGCGUCUCCUCAAUAAUACCAAUCUUAUAUGGGUUCAAUGUCUCAUCAAUAAGUAUUUCAAUCUUUGUUCCAUAGCUUCCCAGUCCUUCAUAUGGAAAAACGUUCUUGUGGGAUGGAAACAUUGCCAAAAAGAACUCCUUUGGAAGGUUGGGAAUAGCACAAGCAUUAACAUAUGGAACUUCCCUUCGAUAUCUCCUGGACUCACUCUUCGAUCCCUUAUUCAAGUUCCCUUACCUCAACAUGAAUCUAUUAAGAAUGUAGUUGAUUAUAGGGCUCAAAAUACUUGGUCUUGGGAGUCCCUUCCUUUUAUUCUUCUUGAUGAUAUCAAAGAUUUAAUUGAUCAAGUUCCCACUACUGAUCAUGCUGACUCAACUUGCUGGGGGAUCUAAUCUAAUGGAAUUUUCUCCACCACUUCCAUCUACAACCUGCUAACUUCCACUAAUGAGCAACCCAUUAUUCUGUAAUUGAUUUAGGAUUUAGCUACCUUAGGAAAUAUUAAUUUUUUAUAUGGUUUUGUGCUAUGAUCGAUUACCCAUAAGAAAAUAUAUUUGGCAUUUGGGAAUAGUCAGUAAUGAUCUUUGCACCCAAUGUCAUUAAAAGACUGAGGAUGUGUAUUGUGAAUGCCCCAUUGCUUGACUCUUUUAGGCUAAUUGGGACAUCCCACUAAAUUUAUGUCCUCAAACUCCCUCAACCCAAUGGCUUGCUUUCUUUCAUCACCGUAAUCACCCUAUUCCUGAUCCCUAUAUCACCUGGAACCUUUUUUUCUUGUUCUCUGUAGCACCUUUGAAAAAAUGCAACCAAUACUGCUUCAACAAUACCCUUUGUUACUGAUGUUUUGGCUAUAGACGAAAUAUUUUACAUCUUUUACAAGGGGUAAUUGUGCUUUUUCAAGAAACUAUUGUUUUAUUUAAUGCUGGAUUUUAGUGUUUUUAGGUCAAGGACUUAGUUGAGAAACAAGAGCAAAAACAGGAAUGACAACCAACUUGAUGGGCCAUCAACCAUCUAAUAGACCAUCACAGCAUUCGUCAAGGCUAAAAAUAAUAGACAGAGUAGAUGACCCAAGUGACGGUCCGAGUGACAGACCUUCAGACCUCAGACAGACCGUCAACCUAGCUGUCAGGUUGAGACAGUGAGUGGCUCCUCAAGUGAUCAAGCAACGAACCAUCAGGCUAAUGACGACCCAUCAACAUGACCGUCACACCUUAACCAGAAUAUAGUAGCUUGAUACCAUCAAUGACAGUCCAAGGGAUGGACCGUCAGUCCACUAACAGGCCGUCAACUUAACCAUAAACUGUGAUGCGGCAUUACUGAGUUCAAAUUUCAAAUCCCCAAUACCUAGGAACAUAUAAAUACCCAGUCUAGGUUUAGAUUAGGUAUCUUUUCAUUCAUCUAUUAUUCACUUUUCAACUUUUGAACAACUUAUAACUCAUUAGCCUCUAAGAAAUAGCUAAAAUAGUGGAUCUAAACAUUUUUCCACCUUUAUUCUUUAAGAUCAAGGAGACUUCUUUGGACCUUUUUGUAAGUAAUUUUCUAGAAUUGCUUAUGAGAAAUACAAUGAAAUCUUAUUCUCUUUCUGUGAUAAGUGGCUAAACCUCUCAUAACUAGGGUUAUGGGAGCCUUGAUGUGAUUAGUUGUUUAGGGUUGUGGGAUUGCAAUGAAUUCUGUAAUUAAUUAGAAUUGCAUAAACUUAUCUUUACUAUCAUGAUCCUUCUUGGUUGCAAACUUGAAGGGUGACCCCAAGAACACUACUUGUUUGAGUAGAAAUGUGUGUGUUGGGAAAAGAGAAGAUUUACAAGGAUCCCGAAGGCUUUAACUUUUGGGUUAAGGGUAGAUGCCUUAACGGGAUCAACCCACUUGAGAAAUAAAUUGAACACAUUAACAUAUUCUUUAAGUUCGAGAGAAUUAAAAGGGUAAUCAUCUAUUAAGAUUGAGAAACAAAUAGAUGAACUUUAGAGUUCAAUAAUUCUUGUAAUUGGAAUUUAUUACAUAUGAAUUUGGGAUAACCCACAACCCUAACUGCUACAACAUCUUAGUGAACAUAAUCCUAGUUUCGUUAUUCUCAUUGAAUUAAACUUUACAAGCACACUUAUUAGUUGAAACACGGUUUACUACAAUCCUACUUCACUGUUAACAAACAAACCCUUUUGUUACCUCGAAACCUUCGAUCAAUCAUCCAUUAAUAAUCAUAAUGCUUAAUUUAAAUAGUAUUCCCUGUGGGAUUCAACCCCAACCUAGUUGGGUUCUAUAUUUAACGACGAACGCUUACACUUUCUAACAAAAGUUUUAAUUUGGGCGUACCAAAUUUUGGCACCAUUGUUAGGGACCGAACCCGGGUCACCCGCGUGACAGGCGGGAAUACUCAUACGAUUGUCAAUUAAGUAUAUGAGUGUUAAUUGACAUUUGAUCAAGUUCUUAAUUUUACUUUUAUAUGUUGUUUUUGUUCAUUACAGGAUCUAUACUUUGCAUGCCAAGUACAAGGAGGUCAGGAGAAAUUUUAUUACCAUUUCAUUUGGAACGUUAAAUAAUUGGUCAAAUGGAAGGUCAACAAGAAGCAGAUAGACUAGCCGCUUUGGCUAGAGCUCAAUUAAAUCAAUAAAAUAAUGGUUAACCAGCUUGUCAUCCUAAUCCAGAGGAUGAGGAUUUGGGAGAUAACUUUUGAACCCUACUAACCAAAGACGUGUAGAGGAUGUGGUUGCACCUGUGAAUCGAAAUGUGAACAUAAAUCACCCUUUCAGAGCGAGACCAGAUCGCCAAGCUGUGAAUUUGAUCUUGAUGAAGAUAAGGAUGAUAUUGAUAGAUCAGGUACAACUGGAGCUAUUAUUACUCCACCGUUGGCACCCAAAGCUAAGUUCAACAUCAUGAGUACCAUGAUUCAACUAUUUUAUCUGAAAGGGUUGUUCGGUAUACUUCCUAGUGAUGAUUUGAAUAUGCACUUAGUGAACUUUGUCACUAUUUGUAAGUCUUUUGAUAACCCGGGAGUAGGCCAGAAUACUAUCCAUCUGCGCCUAUUCCCAUUGUCUCUGUCUAGGGAGGCGACACUAUGGCUUAAUGGGUUGACUUCUAAUUCUAUAAAAAACUGGAGGCAAUUGAAAAGAGCUUUUCUAGAAAGGUUCUUUCCACCGUCCAAGAUAUUACAAUUGAAAGAUGAGAUCAGUAACUUCAGGCAUCUUCUAACUGAGGCUCUUCAUGAGAUGUGGGACAGGUUCAAGAAGAAGUUAUACAGCGUCUCAACCACAAAAUAAUUGACAUAUAUUUGAUGGAGACUCUAUACAGAGCCUUGAAUUCUAUCACGAAGCCGAUUAUGGAUAAUGCUGUAGGUGGAGCAUUUAUGGAUCUUACUUUUCUGAAAGCUUCAGAAAUUCUUGAUAGGAUGAUUAAACAGAGUAGAGCUUGGCAUACCAGGGAUUCUGAGGUAGAAAGCUCUACUAUGUCUAGCGGUAUGUCUAAGAACAACGCUGAAAGAAGGAAGACUGCGACCAAGAUAUGGUGUACAUGAAGAGCCAGAUGGAUUUGCUUACUAAGAAUUUGCUAUAUAGGAAGACUGAGAAGGUAAAAGUUAUGGGAUUGCAAAAUAGAGUUGAAUCUGAUUCUGGGGAGAAGGCUAACUAUCUAAACAACCAAGAAGUUUCCGUGGCAAUAGCCAAGGGAAUCAAGGUCGAACGUACUAUGAUAAAGCUGGUUACAGAGAUGAUGACUAAGGGAACUGGAAAAAUAAAAAUGACAGAAGUGGAUUGUAUCUGCCUUUUGGAAAUCGUGAUAAUGUUGCUACUAGUUCAGGUAAAAUAUUCAUGGAGGACAUAAUGGAAAGGUUAUUAAAAGGAGUGGAGUCGACAAAUGCUGGUGUAAUAAUGAUGAAGAGUUACUUAUCCUCUAUUAGUUAGUUGGUCGACUCAUAUUCAACUUCAAUAAAAUAGUUGGAGAAACAGAUAAACCAACCUUUAGUGAUAUUUAACCAGAGAAAAAGUGGUACAUUGCCGAGUGACACGGUGAAAAACCCUUAAAAUGAUGGGUCUUGUAUGGAGAUUACUACCCGCAGUGAAAAAGUAUUAUCAUACCCUUAUAUGGAUAAUCCUGUGAUUGAUGAUAUGGUAGAGUUAGAUAAGGAAGCAGAAGAGGACCAUCCAGUAGAGUCUGAGAAGCUGGAUAUUAAUGACAUUCUAUCUAACCCUUAGAAGAUUGAUGAGUUAGAAAAAGAUAAGGGAAAGAAGGAAGAAGUAGUGGUUAAAUCUAUACCAAAAUGACUCCCUCCAUUUCCUCAUCGAUUGAAGAAAAAGGCUGAUGACAUAAAGGUUAGCAAGUUCAUGGCAAUGCUAAAAUAGUUGACUAUGAAUGUGUCGCUGGUGGAGGCACUAGAAUAAAUGUCUGGCUACGCUAAAUUCAUGAAGGACCUUAUCACAAAGAAGAGAACGAUGAGAUAUGAACCAGUGAACUAUCUCCACAUUAUAGUGUUAUCUCGAUAAGAUCCUUAGUGCAGAAGAAAGAAGAUCCAGGAGCAUUCACCAUCGCGUGUACUAUUGGAUCACUGGAUUUUGUGAAGGCCCUGUGUGGUCUUAGGGUGAGUAUUAAUCUGAUGCCACUAGAAUUUUAUAAGAAAUUGGGUUUGGGAGAUCCCACACCCACUAAUAUGAGACUUGUGAUGGCAGACAGAUCAGUGAAGCGGUCGAUUGGUAUAUUAUAUGAUAUGCUUGUGAAAGUGGCCAGUUUUAUUUUCCCUACUGAUUUUGUGAUCCUAGAUUGUGAGAUGGGCUUCAAGGUACCCAUAAUCUUAGGUAGACCUUUUCUCGCAAUUGGGAGUAUGUUGAUUGACUUGCGGGUAAAUAAGCUACAGUUUAGGCUCAAUGAUAAGGUAUUUUGAUUUGAUAUUUGUCAGUCAAUAAAGUAACACAAAGAGAUGAGUGUAUUACCCAUUGUUGAUAUUUAUUAUGAAGAUGAACGAGAGGUGUUGAUUAAGGAGAAAUUUGUUGUUGAAACUUCGGAUGCAGUGUUGAUGAACUUUGAUAAUGAAGGUAUCGAAGAAUAUGAGGAGACAUUAUGUGCUAAUGGGAAUGGGAUCAUAUUUACAUUCUCCCAAGAAGCUGGAUUUGGACCUCAAAAAUCAUCCAACACCACCAGCUAAGCCAUCUAUUAAAGAUCCACCGGUGUUGGAGCUGAAGGAGUUACCGAGCCAUCUACGGUAUGUGUUUCUAGGCAAUGAAAACACAUUACCUGUGAUUAUUCUAGAAAACUUAGGUGAGUAACAGGUUGAAGUCCUUAAAUUUGUGCUUAGGAGAUACAAAAGGGCCAUAGUAUGGAUUAUUACUGAUAUUAUUGGUAUUCUUCCGGGUAUAUGCACUUACAAAAUUUAACUUGAGGAAGAUUGCACACCAACUAUUGAGCAUUAACAUAAAUUGAACCCACCGAUGCAAUAAGUAGUUAAAAAAGAGAUCAUUAAAUGGCCUGACACAGAGGUAGUGUACCCUUAUCUCUUAUAGCAAGUAGGUGAGUCCUGUACAAUGUGUUCUUAAGAAAGGAGGCAUGAUUGUGGUCGCUAACGAGAAGAACAAGUUGAUUCCACUUAGGCCAGUCACUAGGUGGAGAGUUUGUAUGGAUUAUCUAAGUUAAACUCAUAAACUCUGAAGGAUCAUUUUGCAAUGCUCUUUAUGGAUCAAAUGCUUGAUCGCUUAGCAGGAAGGGGUUGGUACUACUUUCUAGACAUGUAUUCAGGAUACAACUAGAUUUUAAUUGCUCCUGAAUACCAAAAUAAGAUAACAUUCACCUGCUUGUAUGGUACAUUUACAUUUAAGUGGAUAUCGUUUAGUCUGUGUAAUGCACCCACAACUUUCCAACGGUGCAUAAUGUCUAUCUUUUUUGACAUGGCUAAGGACACCUUAGAGGUGUUCAUAGAUAAUUUCUCUGUGGUAGGUGAUUCUUUUGAGUUAUGUCUGGUAAACUUGAGUAGAGCACUGCAGAGAUGCAAGGAAUUCAAUCUAGUGCUGAACAGGGAGAAAUGCCACUUCAUGAUGAAGGAUGGCAUUAUUCUUGGACACUGAAUUUCAGCCAAGGGGAUUGAGGUCGACCAGGUGAAAAUAGAGGUGAUAGAUAAACUACCCCCUCCUAUCUCACUGAAGGGAGUUCGUAGUUUCUUGGGACAUGCUGGAUUCUACCGUCGAUUUAUUAAGGACUUCUCCAAAAUUGUAAAUCCACUGUGAAAAUUAUUAGAGAAGAAGUCUAAUUUUGUAUUUGAUGAUGAUUGCAAGAUGGCAUUUGAAUGCCUUAAGGGGAAGAUUGUGGUUGCCCCUGUUAUUGUUGCUCCAGAUUGGUCUAUGCCUUUCGAAAUCAUGUGCGAUGCUAGUGGAGUAGCACUUGAGGUUGUACUUGGCUAGAAGAAAGAAAAGUUGUUCCACCCCAUUUGCUAUGCAAGCAAGGCAUUGAAUGGGGUGUAGAAGAAUUACACUGUUACUAAGCAAAAACUUCUCAGAAUUGCCUAUGCUUUUGAGAAGUUUCGUGCUUAUUUGUUGGGAACCAAGGUGGUGGUUCAUACAAACCAAACCUCUUUAUGAUAUUUGAUGGAAAAGAAGGAUAUUAAACCAAGAUUAAUCAGAUGGGUGUUGCUUCUUCAAGAGUUUAACUUCGAGGUCAAAUACAGGAAAGGAUGUGAAAAUUAGGUAGCAGACCAUUUAUCCAGACUUAAGGGAGAUCAGGAAAUCACUGAAAAUUGCAAAAUUGAUGAUGCAUUCCUGAUGAGCAUAUCCUAAUUGUUGUGCUUGAAAAAGUACCUUGGUACACGGACUUUGCCAACUAUAUGGUAAGCAAUCUUAUUCGUGAAGAUUUUUUAUUUCAUCAGAAAAGAAAAUUCCUCCAUGAUGCCAAAAGUUACUUAUGGGAUGAGCCAUAUCUAUUCAGGCGGUGUGCUGAUAAUAUUAUUAGAAUAUGUAUCCCAGAAGUUGAUAUAUUGAAUAUUUUAGAAGUUUGUCAUGCUUUACCAGUCGAGGGUCACCAUGCAGGUGAUCACACCGCAAGGAAAGUGCUAUAGAGUGGCUAUUAUUGGCCAACCUUGUUCAAGGAUACAUACAAAUUUGUGAAGAGAUAUGACCAGUGUCAGAGGCAAGGCUCAAUUUUGAAGCACCAUAAGAUGCCCAAGACAAAAAUACUAGAGGUAGAAUUGUUCGACGUUUGGGUAUUGAUUUUAUAAGACCCUUCGUCAAUUCUUAUGAGUUGAAAUACAACUUGGUUGUUGUAGAUUAUGUAUCCAUUGGGUAGAAGGUGUGGCUCAAGCUGACAAUGAAGGUAAAAGAGUGGUUGCUUUUCUCAAAAAGAAUAUCUUCUCUCGUUUUGGAGUACCAUGUACUAUCAAAAGAGAUGGAGGGUCUCACUUUUUUAACAAAGUGCUCCAGGCAACCUUGGAAAAAUAUGGGGUGAAUAGCAUAAAGUAGCAACUCCAUACCACCCACAGACCAGAAGGUAAGUGGAGAUUUCGAAUCGGGAGAUUAAGGCUAUCCUGGCUAAAAUGGUGAACGCAAGUAAGCAAGAUUGGUCUCAAAAACUUAAUGACAUCGUGUGGUCGUAUUGGACUACUUUCAAGACACCCAUUGGAAUGUCACCAUACCAGUUAGUCUAUGGCAAGGCAUGCCAUUUGCCGAUUGAGUUGGAACACAAGGCAUUAUGGGAACUCAAGAGGCUGAAUCUAAAUUAGAAUGAGGCAACAGUGUUACGACUGGGGCAGCUGAAUGAGAUGGACGAGUUCUGUCUCGGGGAUUAUGAAAGAGCAGACCUAUACAAAGAAAAGAUAAAGAGAUACCGUGACCGGAGGAUCGAGAAGAGGGUCUUUCAGGAAGGUGAUUGGGUACUUCUUUUCAACUCCAGACUGAAACUCUUUCCAAGUAAACUUAAGUCAAAGUGGUCUGGCCCAUUCAAAGUUAACCAAGUCUACUUUUCUGGAGUAGUUAAACUUGAGAAUGAAGAUAGGAGCAUCUUCAAAGUCAACGGUAAAUGAGUCAAGUUGUAUAUCGGUACAAUGGACUCGUUUAAAUUCUUAGGUACUGUCUAUCUUGAUGAAUUCUGAGUAAUCAAGAUUUCUGAGUUGUACCACAAUAUUAAAUAGUGGGAGGCAACCCACAAUGUGUUGUUGUAAGUGUAGUUAGAGUACUUGUUUAUUUUGGUGUAAUUUGAUGUGUUUUUAAAGUGUGCAAGAUUGGAAUACAAAAAAGACAAGAUCGGAUCAAGUUGAGGAAGGUUGACAAACCGUCACUGAAUCCGUCAAAUCCAUUGCAGAAUGUUAGACAUUCUUGAUAAGGCUUGACAGCUAAGUUGAUAGACCGUCACAUGCCCGAUAGACUGUCAAAGUCACUGUCAACGUGACGCCGAAAAAUGAAAGUUCUAGAUAGGAUCUGACAGGCACGACGAUAGGCCAUCAACCAUUCGAUGGAUCAUCACAUUGACCAACGCAGGAAAGAAUGAAAACUUAAGUUCUAGUAAGGCUCAACGGUAGAACCGAUGGACCAUCAAAACACCUGAUAGAUUGUCAAGUUGCCCAUCAAUCAAACCCUAGUUUUAAAUAAGCGGGUCGGAUCACCAAAGGGCUAUUUAAUCAUUUUGAUCCAACCCAAGUGUUAUGUAAUAGAUAGUGGGAUUCAGUUACAUGCACGUCUCAUCUUUUUAACUCCCAUAACCAUUUAAAAUCCUUUACAUUCAUUGUACAAUUCAAAUUUAUCCCCUCUUAAGACUCUUCUUCUACCCCAUUAUCCCCUAUUUAAACCAUUUCUAUUCUGAGUAUUCUCAUCAAAAGCAAAGUUAAAUCACUCACUAAGAAAUUGAUUGGUCUAAUCUGUUCUAAAUUUUGUAAGUCACAGCAUUAAGGCAUACUUCAAGAUCUAUGUAUGACCAAAACUCUUCUUUACUUUUCAGAAUAAAGAACAUGCAUAAUGUAAGUGUGAUAAUGGAUGAAAGAACUAUUUAUUUUCUUGUUGUUGAUUUUGUGUUUCUAAACAAACUCUGGUAAAUAUUGUACUGGGUGAAGUCUAAGUAACCCAUGGCCAAAGAUUGGUGAAAUUAGUUGUCAAAGGUUGAAAUUAAUAUAGUGACUAUGUGAUUGAUGAUUGAAUGUAUACAAGAUGUUUGUAAAAUUAUCAAAGAGAAAGAGUAAACUAGAAAUUCCAGUUAACGGCCACACCAACGGACCAUCAGACCCCUAACAGACUGUCAAACUGCCCUUCAACUGGCUUCAGACUGAAUGUCUCACUACUUAAGCUGUGACGAACUUCUUGAUGGACCAUCAGACCCCUGACGGACCAUCAACAUGACCGUCAAAAGAUUCCUGAACAAAUGUUUCACUGGUUAAGCUGUGACGGAUACCUUGACGGACUGUCAGACCCCUGACGGAUUGUCAGACUGCCUGUUAACACAAAUCUAAAUCUGAUUUUUCCUAUUUCUAAUUCAACAUUGAUGGUUUAUUCCUUGUUUAGGCAAAUGGCACAUAAACUACCCAUAAGCAGAGGCGGUGGUAGGACUCAAAGGGGUAGAAAUGAGCCAGCACUAAGUGAGGAGGCUCUGACUUUCAACACUCGACAAAGGGAUAGGAUGAAUCAGGCAUUCUCCUAGUCUGAAAAGAAGAGUGAGAGCAGUUACAGCCCUAACGAGGAAGAGGUUAACAUAUCAAACCCCAACCAAGUUGAGGCAUCAGAAACUGAGGAUGCCAAUGUGGUUACAAGCAAAGACCCUCAAACACGAGAAGUAAUUAGGUGGCAGAUUGAAGGAGCCCGGGAUAAAUAUCUUGACGGGCUUGAACUGACAGCAACCAGGACAAUAAAGAGGCCAAUCUCCGAGGAGCAUCAAAUUAUGACGAUCGAGUUGCAUGAGUACCCAAAGCUAGAGAGGUGAUUUAAUGAAUAUGAGUUAGCUUGGAUGAAUAAGCCUCUCGGGGCAUACCAACCAAAUCUUGUGCGGGAAUUAUUUGCAAAUUAUUUGGCACUAGCAGAGAAAGACUAUCCCAAGGGCUCAAAAAUUUGAGACUUACCCAACAGGGAGUCAGUGUCGGUAAGAGAGGUCACCAUUGAUAUAUCUACCUGCACGCUAAACAGGAUGCUAUUUUGGCCUGACUAUGAAGCACCGGCUGCAGUACUAGAACUUAAGCAUUGUAUGACUAUGACCUUUACCCAAAGGCCUUGGUUAUCUAGGCUCCUCACGGAUAACGGUAACCCAUCAUGGGAACUCAAUCCAAAAAAGUGCAUUGCUAAGUCAUCCCUUAGUUUAUGAGCUAAAUUUUGGUGGGCUAUCGUUAGACUACGGUUGAUACUAAAAGAAAAAGAUGUUAAUUUAGACAGUCAUGGGGUAGUGUUGGUGGCUAGUCUGAUCAGGGAGCUGAAGAUUGUUUUUGGAUAAAUUAUUAUUGAUGAGUUAUUUGUUCGGGCACAUAAAGUGGCAAGUGUUUUACUAUUUUCGUGUUUGAUCACGAAAUUAUGCAAAUAAGCCAAUAUGUCUUUGAUUCGAGGGGUCGAUAAUGAGGUUCGACCAACUCACAGGUGCGAUAUUGAAAAAAUAAAGGAUAACUCAAAAUAUGAAAUACGAUUCAACAAGCCUCCUACUUAUCAGACGCAAUCAGCUUCAGCCUCAGGGACUUCUGAGAUUCCGAUAGGUAUGUCAUUGUCUAUUACUACGUAUGUGUCACCCGAUUAUGUGCGGCCUAGUACUUCUAAAGGAUCAACAUCUAUGCGACCAAUGGGUGGGACUUCAAACAUUGCAUCUGUCCUACCCCAAUAUUCAGCGUAAAGGCUGACACAAAAGAAUUUUGCAAAGUCUAUCAAAGCACAAAAAAAGUUUGAGAAACAGCUGAGCACCAAAGCAAAAUAGUUCAAGCCAUUUGUUGAUCACAUCGUUAAUAAAACCUUAAAGUUAUAUCAGUAUAUUCAGAUCAAAAUGGAUGACAUAGAAGAGCACAUAAACAAGCGGCUGGAUGAGCUAUCAUUGCCAGAUUUUGCAAAGUUUGUGGCAGAGUUCAAGCAGGUACAGGCUGAUAUAGUAGAGCUUAAGAGAUAACCACUGCAGCCCACUUUUGAUCCUGCUUUGGUCAUUAGUAACGAAGACGAGAGCCUUGUUGAUGUGAUGGGUAAACCGCUCAAAAAUAAAGGCAAGCAGGUAAACAAAAGUGCUGACAGGAAGGUCACGAGAAGAAGAAAGGGAGAAGAGAUAACACUUGAGGAAAGGUAUGAGAGAUAUUUGAGAAAAGUUGUGAAGAGGUCAAAGAAUGAUGAAGAGUUAAGAAAGAAGAAAGCUGUAGAUGAAGCUACAGGAGUAUCGACCAGUUCUUCCCCAGCUAGGGGGCCAAUUCGAGAUCCGGUUCCUAUUGAGAUACCUCCGAGCCAGGAGGAUGCUUAUUUGAGCAUCCCUACCACCAUAGGGGUCAACGUUACAACACCUGAGGCAUAAGAAGCCUCACUAUAUUUGACUGACUCAUCGGCCUGAGAGGCUUUACAAGUAUUCCACUCCUUUGUACUUUAUGUUAAUGUAUUUGAGGACAAAGCAUUUUGUUUAGUAGGGAUGGAGUGUUUGUUAUGUUUUGGUCACCACAGGGGUUUUUGUUGCCAAUGUUCUUUUCCUACCGUGUGAUGUCUAGUAGAACCGACAUGUUUAGGUUGCAUAUUUAUUUUUCUUGUGAUGUACAUAUAUGUUGACACCCAAUUUUGGUAGUCCGACACUCAUUUUAGGCUGUUAUUUUAGCAAAAUUACUAAUACUAAAGGUUAGUAUUUUUUACACAUUUUUCUUGCAUGAAACAGGUUUUUGACGUGUCACGUCCAUGAUUUUAUAAAAUAGGAAUUAUUUUUACCACCUUACAGUAUCAUUCUUACGAUUCAUUAAUUUAAAUAAAAUAUUUCUUGAUGAAAUUUUAUCAAUAUUUUGUUAAUUCUUUUCGUAAAUAUGCACACUCACAAUAUUCAAAUGCAUUGUCUAUUAUUAUAAUUAUUGUUGUUGCUGUUGUUGUUGUCGCUAUCGAUAAUUUUAUAUAAUAAUUUUACGUAACAUCAGUUUUUACGUGCGUAGCAUAUUUGAAUACCAACGUCUUGUUAUCUUUCUUAUCAUAUUUAUUAAAAUAACAGCUCUAAUUUAAUUCAAUUUCUCAGUUUAUUUAUUUUCUAGCCACUUUGAUUCAACUUUCUCCUUUUGUAUUUAAUUGCUAACCAAUUUUUGAUCAAUUAAUGUUAAUUUUAUCCAAAUUGGAUUAAAUUUUAACCCCAAAUUAAAAUUCAAUUGCUGACAUUCUUUUAAAGGAUUUUAAUCUCAACCGUUGAUCAAAACAGAUCCAACGGCUAAGAUCAUGUCAACCCAUUCUUUUCAUUUAACUUAAAAACCCUAGAUCCUCCUCAUUUUUCAUCAAAAGAGCCGCAACUUUCUCCUCACUUUUCCCUCUAUCUAAACUCACCAAUCGCCGCAGCUACUAACACAAGCAAAACCAACAUGGUCACCGGCCUUCUACCCCUCUCCCCUUGGUCUCUCCUCCGCUAGGCGUCACCAGUCGUCCCUCCUUCCUAUAUCAUCUUUUCACCACUGUUGACCAGUCCUCGAAGCCACCUUCAAAGCUGUCGAAGGGUUUCUCCCUCUCUCUUCCUCCAACGAGCUCUGUGGCUAUUGCCACUGUGCAAUAGCCAUACCAGUUUUGCCCUUCUUUCUCCACCAGCAAACCUCGUCGUACUGCCGCUACACAAUAGCCAAAGCAGCAGCCAACCAAUGCCGCCCUCACCAGCAUCACCCUUCACCGCCCUCUCCUCUCAUUCAUCACGCCCUUAUCGGAGUUAAUAACUGAUGAGGUUUUCAAGGAGCCUCACUAUGAUUACCGUUCAAGUUUAAUCUUUCUUUACCUUAAAUUACAUGAUUUUGUUUGCUUUUAUCUUCAAAUUAUUUGAAUUCUCAAAUUCAGAAUGCAUGGUGUUUGAGUUUGAGUGUUGAUUCAAUGUCUUUAAUUAUGUGUUUAUUGGCAUCUCUAGGCUAACAUAUAUGAAACCCCCCAAGUUUGUAUGAGUACUGAAACCUAGUUUAUGUGUUUGAUUAAUUAUUUAUCUCGGCAUCGAUAAGUUUGACACUUUAUUAUUAAGGUCAAAUUUAGAAUUCAUUUGCCUAAAAAGUCUCUUCUAUUUUGAUAUUGGUCCGGUUCUUCAUUUUUGAAUUAGCUCAAAUUAUGUGAUAACUUUACCUACUCUUUUCUUUCCUUGCUUACAAUAGCCUAGUCUGAUUAAAUAUGGUAACUUGAGAUGCACACCCUAUUAUAGCUUUGGUACUGCUCUUUUGGUAGACGUUGAUAGCUCUAUAUAAUUGUUUUUCUCUUAUGGUGAAAUUAGAAUUAUAAAACCCUCCAAAUCUAUUAUUUUUUGUGAAAACCUGGCUGAUUUCUCAAUAAAUUGAUUGACCUUACUUAACUGAGAGUUAUGGUUGAUUGAUUUAAUGUUUAUUUAUGAUAAAUAUGGCUAAAAGAUAUUUGAUUUACAUAUGUACGGUAAAUAUAAUGUCUUUUAUAUUUUAAAUUGAUCCAUCCUUAAUUUGAUUGGUUUAACUUGUCAUUUCUGAUUGUGUGACUGACAAUCUCCUUCCUUUCUUUAAUGUCAUGAUUGAUUUUGUGACAGUGGGUAUAUUUUUAUCUUAGUUGAUUGGUCUUAUGAUGGGGAUUAUAACUUUUUUCUUUGUUUAUCAUAGUCAUUUUUCUACUAUAAGAGUAAUCUUUUUCAGUGUUUAGAAGGAAAAACUGCUAAUCCUCUCUACUCUCUCGUACACAAAAGACAAACAUUGAUGUUCCUUUUAUCUUAAAGAACUUACAACUUAGAAUUUACUCUGUCACACAAAAAGCUUUAAGCAAACAAGAAAUAAUUUUUCUUUAUUACUCAUUUGUACUUAUAUUUCAGAGCAUUGAUCUUAACUGUUUUGCAGCAAUUCGUAUGUGGAUUCUGUGCUUCUUGGUUUUCUUAUUAUUAUUAUUAGUUGUUAUCGGCAAUCGGUAAGUCACUAUCGAUGUAAUUUUUUUACACUUUAUGUGAUGAUGCUAGUAAACAUGUUUAUAGAAAUCAUUCGGUGUUUGUUUGCUAUGUCUGUGUUAUGUUAUAUUUUCUUUUGUACUGUUAUUACACAUUCUCUCGCAGGUGUAAAUAGAUAGUUUCGGAAAUUUAAAGAAUCGUCGGGAUGUUGGGAAAGGGGUUGUCCAUUCUUUUUCCUUAAUUUAGUUAUUUAUUUUUAUUCAUUGUGUUGUAAUAACUUUUGUAAACCUUUUGAUGUAAUAAUAAAAUUGGGGACAGCUCAGAAGGAGGGGAUCUAUGUGCUCUAUGAAUCCCGCAGGCAACGUAACUUAGUUUUAUAUUUUUUUGUACUUUUAUGUGAUUACGUGAACCACUUAAGCAAAUUCUUAGUAUUAAUAAUAAAUUUAUUUUACCGCUUGGAAAUCACAUUUUUAAGACCGUCAAUAGAUUUUCGACAUGAAAAAUUAUUUUGGGCAUAUUAAUUUAACUCAUAAAAAUGUAAAAUCAAUUUUCAUCAUUUUUAUUUGCUUCUUUACUUGUUUUUCAGCAUUUACAUAUUAAUUUCUAGCAUGUCAAUAUCAUUUUUCAGCAUAUAGUAAUAAUUUUCAGCCUGUUAAAUUAAAUUUCAGCAUAUUAGAGUUAAUUUUUCAGCUUAUAAAUUUAUUUUUCAAGCAUAUUAAAAAUACAAAAAAUAAAUUUUCAGUAUAUUGAAAUGUAUUUUCAGCAAUGUUUUGUGCCUACUUGUUUAGUUUUCCCACGUGUUAUUUGUUUUUCGGCAAGUGAAUAUGUUUCUUAGCAUUUUAAAAUUAAUACCCAACACUUUACUAAUUUAUAACAUAUUUCGCAUUACAAAAUUAAUGGGUAUCCCUCCCCAACGUAAUUACUUUAUUUUGACAUACUUUGUUUUAACAACUUUACAACGCUAUUUUUUGAAUGACUUGACGGUUACUUUUCAUCAAUAAACAGUUAUUUUCAUUUGACUUGACGGUUACUUUUCAUCAAUAAACAGUUAUUUUCAUUUAGACAUCAUGCUCAAAUAUUUAUUACAUAAUAAAUUAUUGUUUUUAUUCUCUCACGUUUGUUUAACUUUGACAUGUCGUUUUCAUUGUUAACGAAUUUUAUUAUAUUAUUUUGACUUGAACAACAAUUACAUUUUGUCAUCCUAGUAAUUAUUAACAUCUAUAUACCAUGCUUAUAGGUUUUUACAUCAUAAAUUAACGUUUUAUCCUUUCACGUUUGCCUAACUUUGACAUGUUUUUUAUUCUCAAAAAUUUUUUACAACAUUGUGUUAAAUAUUUUGACAAUUACUUUUCAAUAUAUAAUUGUGUGAUCCCACAUAGAUAUCAUGCCUAUAGGUUAGCUAAAUAAAAUCACUAAUUAUUUGUCUUUGUAUGUUAAUCAUAUUAAUCAACUUUAAUUAACCAAGAGGCUAACUUGAGACAAUUAUGUGCUACGUGACGUCCUACUUGUUAUGUGUUUCAAGUCCUAGGCAACAUAGCUUUAUUUGUCUAGACCAUAAAAUCAAAAUAGCAAAGUUCAAUGCCUCUUGGACGAUCGGUGGGGCGAUAGAUAUUACUAAAGACAUUAGUUUUAUCCUUGUCUUAGAACGCCUUUAGAUUUAAUAACCAGUCUAGAUGGGGUGGGGCGGGUAGUCAUUCAGAAGUGAUGAUCUCCAACAAAUAUUAACGGUAAGACUAACGACAUUGUCACUUGUCUAAGAAUUCGGCCAGUGGGUCGGAUAAUGAUUAAACAAGUAGGGGUUCUGAUCCGAAUGAGACCAAAAAUAAUUCUUUGUUUGAUUUGAUGAAUUCUUUUUAUUCUUUUAUUUACUUUAUGUGCUUAUUUAUAUGGGGUAGUUAGUUUAUUACAUAAGCAGUCCCCUUUGUUACCGUUUAUGUUAUUUCUUUCUUCUCGCUCGUCUUGUUAUAUGUUUUAAUGAUUUUAUCACUUAGAUAAUCAACAAUUAGAAAUAAUAAAAUAACAUUUGUUCGUUUAUUAAUUACUUUGUCACUUAAUUAACAAUUAAGUUAAAAUAAAAGAUCUUUAUUUGACCACAUAGAAUCUCCACGUAAAGUACGAAUUUGGUUGGAAACCAUCUUUGUGGACCUCGAAAGGUGUCUAACACCUUUUUUUGAGGUAAUUUGAACCCUUACCCGAAUCUCUGGUCAACUAAGACAAAAUAACAAAAAAGGUUCAUAGUAGCCUAGACCGGUGCCCUAACGUACCUUAAUACGUUAGGUGCCGACUCUUCACACUUUCUCAAACAAUCUCAAAAAGAAUAGUCACGCCGAAUCCCGCUUUUCAUGAGAAAAAUGGGGCGUGACAGAAUGGCUACUCUGCUGGGGAUCUUAGGUUCUAACCAUUAUGAAUUUGUACUUUAUGUGGGAUUCUCUCCAUUUGUUUUGAUAAUGUUUGACAUCCUGAUUUAUUUUCUAUAUAUUCUUCUUUUAUCAUUUACUUACAUCAUGAUUUAUUAGUCCUUUCUCCUUUUUCCUUUUUAUGUGUUUUUUAUGUUUCUAUGUUUGUCCCUUUUUCUUUUUCCCUUUUUAUUAUUUAUGUGUUAUCGUGUUCAUCUAUAUGUAUACUGUUUAGCAUGUUAUAUUUUGCUAUGUGCUAUGUGUUAUUAUUUUUUAUAACUGGCAUUCCGUUCAUACUUUCCUCCACUUGGAAUCUCCUUUAUUUUUCUUUUACGGACGGUUGCAUGGGUACAUAGACAUUCUUUCCUAAAACACGCUUUGGGAAAUAUCUUGUGGAUCGGUCGAUCAGCGGUGCUCGACAAUCACAAGCUUUCCCAUUCUCUAGUUGCCCACUUGAGGGAACCAUGUCACAAAUCCACUCUUAUCCUUUAGAUCUUGGCUACAUAUUUCUUUUAUUAAGAAAUAUGUGUCCCAUUCAACAUAGGAUGCCUUGGCAUCCUUGACGCGUUGAAUGUUAGUCUCAUUCAAAGUUCAAAGAGGUUCACGGCCUCAAAAGGACUCACAAUUACUUGCUAUGUGUUGCAUUUCUAUGUAUGUCUUGAUAUGUGCCUAUCUUGUUUUUUAGUCACUCCUUACAUUUAGUGUUCCUCACUUUAAAGCUUGCUACUCUUAAAAUUCUUGUCAUGUUAGGUCCUUAGAAUACACUCUUAAGGCCUAUUUAAAAUUCUCCAAUUCAUCCCCACUUGCUAUUCAAUUUCUACAACUCUAUAAAUUUUGAACUACGUCUGACCUGAUUCUUGUUCUAAAAAGAUACGUAGGCAAUCCUUUAUAAGGAUGCGGUCUUCCUCUUCUUUUUUCCUUUGUUUCACGAAACAUCCUAAUAUUUAAAAGUGUGAGACAAUCGUUAUCAUACCAACAAUUUUUCUAUCACAUCAUAUUCUCCAUAUCUUUCACCUUUCCAUAAUGUCAUAAGGGUGCAACUUAGAAGCUUUUUAUUCAAAUGACUUUUCACUCACAAACAUUUCAAACUAAAUACUUCAAAAUGUUCAAAACUUUGUCAAUCUUCAAUUCUCUCAUUUAUUCAAAACAAUUUCUUUAAACAUUAUAUGCAUAUCUUUACAAUAUCUUAUCAUUAUUCACUCGUUCAAUCAAUCAGCAUCGAGUAUGAAUUUAGUAUCUAAGUCUUUGUUAGAAUCUAUCUUCCAUCUUGUGAUAUCAAUUCAUUUUUCAAGCUUAAAGUUCUAGCCCAGCCAUUCAUCCUAAAGUCCUUCUUGACAAAAUGACUCAUAUCGACAUACUAUCUCUUUUUGCAUUGAGCACGCUGAUACGCAUUUUGUUUAGUUUAUUAUUUAUUAUUUAAAGGUUGUCUAGCAUUUGAACAUCGACUCAAUUGAAAAUUUGCAAUGUGAGAAAUAUGCUUAAUAUACAGAAAGAUUACGUCCCUCUUUUCUCUCACCCAAGGCAAAACACUGUUUAGACCGAAUCUCCUUAUUCUCGUAAUAUUCACGUAACCUCUUAACAACGUCCUUCAACAUUCACCACUUUUGAAAAUGGGAGACAUCGUUAUUCUCCAUUUAUUUGCCUUAUGACUAAAUAACAUUUUCUAUCUUAUCUACCUUUCUUUUUACUCAUGAACUACGUUCGACUUGACUUCUAUUUAGACACGUAGGUAGCCACUCUGGGUCUGGUCUUAAUCUAAAUAUUUUUUCCCUCUCUUUCAAAUUCUUACACUUCCAAAGUACCAGGCUGAUAAGCCCUACUCUUGAGCAUAUAAAGGCAGAUUACAAUCGAGGUCACGAUGUUCAAGUAGAGAACAACCAUUUUCCUUGGACUAAAAUUUCCUUUGAGUGGCUCAGGAAUAUAAGACUCUAAAAGCCAAAGCUGGGGCAAAAUUUUUGAGGUUUCAAGAAAACCUAAAAAAUUUCACAAGUAAACAAUAUAUCAACGACAUGCAAAAAGUGUCUUUCAUUCUAAACUGGGGCAGAAAUUUUUGAGAAUUUCUCAAAAAUUUCACCAUGAUGAAGUACAAGUCCUAACGGUCUAUAAACCAGAAACAACGACCAAGGGGUCCAAUCGAGCAAGGUAUGAAUUAACAUUUCUUUUCGACUGAUUAUUUUUCUUUGAGUGGAGACAGUAGGUAUUAAAUGUACCAACGAUGCUAUGAUAUCAUCAAAGAGGCCAGGAUUGCAUCCCAAUAAGGGAAAAGAGCCAAGUUGUUCUAUCUUUUAACUUUGACGACAUUGAAAUUGAUACCAAAUUAUUCCACAAUAUUGGGUUCUUGUAAAACCUUAAUUGAAUAAUAUGAGGUUUCUGUAGAAUCUCCCAUAAUAUUGGGUUCUUGUAGAACCUUAUCCACAAUAUUGGAUUUCUGUAGAACCUUAUCCAUAAUAUUGGGUUUCUGUAAGACCUUAAUAAACAAUCUUGGAUUCUUGUAGAACCUUAAUUAAAUAAUAUAAGGUUUCUGUAGAACCUCCCACAAUAUUGAGUUUCUAUAAAACCUUAACCACAAUAUUGGAUUUUUGUAGAACUUUAUCCACAAUAUUGGGUUUCUGUAGAACCUUAAUAAAUAAUUUUGGGUUCCUGUAGAGCACUAUCCAUAAUAUUGGGUUCCUGUAGAACCUUAAUCAAUAGUAUUGGGUUCUUGUAGAACCUUAAUCAACUAUAUAGGGUUCCUGUAGAACCUUAUUCCAUAAUAUUGGGUUCUUGUAGGACCUUAUCAAACAAUAUUGGGUUCCUAUAGAACCUUAAUUGAACAAUCUUAGGUUUCUGUAUAAUCUUAUUCAAUAAUGUUAGGUUUCUGUCGAACCUUAUUCCACAAUAUUAAGUUUCUGUAAAAUCUUAUCAAAUAAUCAUGGGUUCCUGUAGAACCUUAAUUGAAUAAUCUUGGGUUUCUGUAGAACCUUAUUCAACAAUAUUGGGUUUCUAUAAAACCUUAUUCAACAAUAUUGGAUUUCUGUAGAACCUUAAUCAACAAUAUCAGGUUCCUAUAAAACCUUAAUCAACAAUCUUGGGUUCUUGUAGAACCUUAAUCAGUAAUAUUGGGUUCUUGGAGAAACUUAAUCAACAAUGUUGGGUUCUUGAAACCUUACAUUUUUCUAUGUCCUAACUCGUAUUCAACAAGAUAAUGAUAUCAUGAAAAAGACACUUCAAUCGAGGCAGAGUCAUAAAUCAAUCUCCCCUUUUACAAACUCAUAAUUUUUCUUUGAGUACAGGAUUAACAGGUACAUAUGAUAGGAAUCACUCUAUCAAGAGGGGCCCAACAGCUAGUCCAAAAACAUGACAAGAAACAGUUGGUCCAACAGCACAACAGAUACGCUUUCUUAUCUCAUUUUAUUGUUAUGGUUGUUUUCACUACGUUGUUCAAUCUUCUAUACAUACACAUAUAUCCAUGCUAACUAUUUUUAUCUAGUUGAGUUAAAAGUAACAGGUUUAACAGGAACAAAUUACUCUAUCAUGAGUAGCCCAACAGCUGAUCCCACGAUUCAACAAUGCAUAGAGAAGCUCAAAGUUGAUCCCACAACGAGCAGCCAAACAGUUGAUCCCAUGACCCUAUAAUGCAUCAAAAAGCUCAAAAGAUGAUCCAACGAUGAGAAGCCAGACAGUUGAUCCCACGAUUCCACUAUGCAUUGAGAAGCUAAAAACUGAUCCCAUGACGAGCAGCCAAAUAGCUGAUCCUAUGAUUCCACAAUGCAUCGAGAAGCUCAAAGUUGAUCCCACGACGAGCAGCCAAAUAGCUGAUCCCACGAUUCCACAGCGCAUCAAGAAGCCCAAAAGAUGAUCCUACAAUUUCACAGUACAUCGAGAAGCCAAAGAGCUGAUCCCACGAUGAGAAGCCAGACAGCUGAUCCCACGAUUCCACAAUGCAUCGAGAAGCCUAAAAGUUGAUCCCAUGAUGAGAAGCCAAAUAGCUGAUCACAUGAUUCCACGAUGCAUCGAGAAUCUCAAAGUUGAUCCCAUGAUUCUACAAUGUAUCGAGAAGCUCAAAGUUGAUCCCACGAUGAGAGGCCAAACAGCUGAUCUCACGAUUCCAUAAUGCAUUGAGAAGCUCAAAAGGUGAUCCCAUAAUACAACAGAUAGUUUUUCUAAUUUUCACACUGUAAUACCCCAGAAAUUUUCUUCGUAAAGAUUUCGUGAGAACGUAUCGAGUUCUACGCUUUAGAGCAAUCCAUAAAUUUUUUGUGUAGUAUUUUUAAAACGUUAACCUACCAUUGCGUAGAGUAUCGAAUAAGAUUUCCAAUGAUAUGUAGAUCAUCAAAAAUGGACACUCGAGCGAUGAGUUACGACCAUUCUGAUCGAACUACGACCAUUCCGAUUGAAUUGUGAACAGUAAAACGUGCAGGAAAUUAAAAAUUACUGCAGCCAGGCGAAUUUCAGGGUCAACUUUAAACGACCAUAACUCCUUGUACAUACUGAUCUGGGUGAGCUACUAUAUAUCAACGGAAAUAUCUAAGAGUUCUCUUUCUAAUGAAAUUGGUUUCAUCCAAUUUGGCAGUCAAAGUAAAAUGUUAUGGUCGAUCUACUUCAGCCUAUUAAAACAGUCCACCAAAGGACAGAUUUGACAUUAUUUACUUUUUUAAGGGCAAAUUGGUCAUUUCACACUCCCUCUUGGACGAAAAUUUAUCCAUUUAAUCCAUAAUUGAACCUUCAAAAUUUAUUUUCUCCAUAAAACAGUUGGGAUAAUAAAAUCCUAGCCAAAUUUCUCCUUCAAAUACCUUUCAAUUUCACAAUAGAAGUCCAAAAUUAAUCCGAUAAACGAACUCCUCAUUUCAAGACCUUUGAGGAGCACCCAUUAUUUGUCCGAACAAGAUUCCGUAAUCAAGAAGUCAAUUUCAAGGUAUGUGGGGUUUUGAACAAGAGCAAUCUUCCGUUCUUGUGCCAAAAGCUUUAAUUUUAUUAUGGUUUUACAUGAUUUUGCAAGUGAGAUUAUGUCUAAAUAAUUCGAUUAUGAGAUUAUGAUGGUUGAAUGGAUAAACUUUGAUUUAUAUGAUUAUCUCAAUGUUUUCAUGAUAUGAUUUAAUAAUUAUCAUUGCGAACUACACACUUUUACCACGAGGUGGUAUUUUGAAUGAUUUUGGGACGUAUGUCGAGAUGGUAUUUUGGAAUAAUAUUUUGAGAUAUGUGUCAAGNNNNNNNNNNNNNNNNNNNNNNNNNNNNNNNNNNNNNNNNNNNNNNNNNNNNNNNNNNNNNNNNNNNNNNNNNNNNNNNNNNNNNNNNNNNNNNNNNNNNNNNNNNNNNNNNNNNNNNNNNNNNNNNNNNNNNNNNNNNNNNNNNNNNNNNNNNNNNNNNNNNNNNNNNNNNNNNNNNNNNNNNNNNNNNNNNNNNNNNNNNNNNNNNNNNNNNNNNNNNNNNNNNNNNNNNNNNNNNNNNNNNNNNNNNNNNNNNNNNNNNNNNNNNNNNNNNNNNNNNNNNNNNNNNNNNNNNNNNNNNNNNNNNNNNNNNNNNNNNNNNNNNNNNNNNNNNNNNNNNNNNNNNNNNNNNNNNNNNNNNNNNNNNNNNNNNNNNNNNNNNNNNNNNNNNNNNNNNNNNNNNNNNNNNNNNNNNNNNNNNNNNNNNNNNNNNNNNNNNNNNNNNNNNNNNNNNNNNNNNNNNNNNNNNNNNNNNNNNNNNNNNNNNNNNNNNNNNNNNNNNNNNNNNNNNNNNNNNNNNNNNNNNNNNNNNNNNNNNNNNNNNNNNNNNNNNNNNNNNNNNNNNNNNNNNNNNNNNNNNNNNNNNNNNNNNNNNNNNNNNNNNNNNNNNNNNNNNNNNNNNNNNNNNNNNNNNNNNNNNNNNNNNNNNNNNNNNNNNNNNNNNNNNNNNNNNNNNNNNNNNNNNNNNNNNNNNNNNNNNNNNNNNNNNNNNNNNNNNNNNNNNNNNNNNNNNNNNNNNNNNNNNNNNNNNNNNNNNNNNNNNNNNNNNNNNNNNNNNNNNNNNNNNNNNNNNNNUCCUAACGUGUUCUGAGCUUGUCGGGGAGUAGUACUUAGCACCGAGAGGGAAAUUUGAUAUUUCCCCAACGCUAUGUGCCACCGUAGGGUUGUUUGAUGAUGAUAUUAUUGGCCAGAGAACCCGAUUGUGAUUACUGCAGUUUUAAGGUCGUACUCCCUGGCAAAGAGUAUGAUGCUCCCACCAAUGGGGUUUCAAACGUUGGUAUUCCACGUAGCUCACGUGGGGUUGUUGGUUAUAGGAAACUCCCCUGUCCAUAAAAGUCAUGUUUCUUGAAGUAUCGAGUCACUUCGAGAUUUGAGUCCAAGAGUUGAGAUAUUAUGAUGAAUUAUGAUUACCUAUGAUGAAUUUUGACGAUAUGAUAAUUUAUGAUGAUUUAUCAUAAUUUAUGAUUUUUGAUGAUUUACAUGGAUUAUGAGAUUUUACCAUUUGAACUAUUUAUUAUGAAAGUAUGAAGAGUAUGAUUUGAUAUAACUCAAGCCAAGUGAGUCAUCAUUGUCUGUAUGUAUGUUUUCAUGAAAUUGAUGAUGUUAUUUAAAGUGUUGUAUGCACCCCUACAUACUCAGUACAUUCUCUUUGUGCUGACCCCCAUCUACUAUUCUAUUCAGUUGAGCAUCUAGUCAGCAGGUAAAGGAGUCAUUAUAGUUCAAGGUCUUGUGUUGGUUGUUUCAGUUUAGAGACACUGUACCUUCUUCUGUCGGCCAUAUUUAGUGGGAUGGUUGGGAGUCAUGACUCGUUUAUGUACAGGUAAUAGUAGUAGAGGCCUCAUAGACAGUAGUAGCGGUUGAUGUAUUCAGUCUCUUUCUUGUAUAUGUAUAUGUAUCAGUAGAAUUGUCAUCUUGUAAUUCCAAUAUUGUAUUGAACAGAUUCUAUAUUGAGAUAUUUUCAGCUUCAUUCUCUCAGAAUUAUGUUUUAAAUCAGCUGCUUUUGAGUUAUACCUAUGAAAGGGUUAGUUUGGGGUCACUUGUGACCCUAAGCACUGUGUGGCGUCUCGGGACUCAAUUUUGGAGGCGUUACAAACUUGGUAUCAAAGCACAGAGUUAAGUGUCCUAGGGUGUCUAUGAAGCCGUGUCUAGUAUAGUUUUGCAGAACGGUACGAAGACGUCUAUACUUUUCUUCGAGAGGCUAUAAGGCAUUUAGAAAAGGUUGUUGUUCUUUCAAGUCUUGAAUCGUGCAAUAAUUUUAAACCAGAUAAGCUACCAAAUUUCUUUUCAGGAUCUAUAAGUGACAGUUUGUACUUUUCUAUCUAUGUGCUAUUCUUGAGAUAGUAUGAGCAGAAAGUCCCGGUUCUUUCCCUGAUAAUGUUUUCAGACUGAUUAGCAAAAUAUUUCAGAAGUCUUAUAAAAAUGGCUUCAGAAGAGCCUCCCAGUGUGUUAUAAGUUCCUGAAGUUUCAUGUUAUGUCCUCUUCUUUAUGACUUGUUCAGCUAAGACUGAGUGGAUGCGUACUCCUUGAUCAUUGAAUAUGGUAUGCCAAGUUCCUAUCUCCUGUAAUCUUGCUAUCAUCAUGCUGUUGAAAAAAAUGAAAGUCUAGUGAAGCCGUAUGGGGCUCUUUCGACUCACUAGCACAGCUGUUUUGUUAUUCACCUCAAACUUUUUUUCAAAACUUAUAUUCAAAGCGUAGUGGAGCCGUGUGCGGCCUAUUUCGAUCCACUAGCAACUUGUAGUUCAUCUUGUUCCUUGUGCUGGCUAAAAAUGUGGGAUUUGGAGGUGUAGUAGUAAGAAGGAUGGUAAGUGUGAUUUGUUGAGCAUAAGUAUAGCAGAAUCUAUUUUUGCAUACAUUUGGGGUUAAUAGGGAGUGAUAUAUCCUUGUGUGUCAAUUUUAUGAUGUAGUUUGUUCGAGGUAUGAAAUGGGUGUUGACGGUAUUUGUAUGCUAGAGAGUAUAGGUUAGUAAUGGAAGUACUCGGUGGGUGAGUGUUGUUAAAUUAUGCCAUUGCCGGGUUCCAAGAGAAAGUUAAGUUAAGGCGUAGAGAGCUAUGAACUAAGUUAAGUUGUGUAUGAAGGAUAGAUAGUAGUGACGGGUGAAAAAAGGAUGUGUUAAUAGAUUGUAAAUAAGAUAAGCUAUAUGAUUAUGACCAAUUGUUAUUGUUAUGAAGUUUAAAUGGGCUAGCAUUUGUUGAGGAUUGUUUCAUAGUUUCUAAGUAGAAAUUUUGUGUGAAAAGUUUUAAGUUAUAUUGUGUGCUAAAAGUUAAGUUUGAAUGAUUGGUGAUUGUGAAGGUGACUGUGACGAUUUCUUGAUUAAUGGUAUUAGUUGUUAGGAAGUGAUCUAGUAGGCUUGAAUAGUGGAUAUAAGAGCCUAAGUUUGGUUGAUUCGUGAUUAAGUUUGAUGUUGUGNNNNNNNNNNNNNNNNNNNNNNNNNNNNNNNNNNNNNNNNNNNNNNNNNNNNNNNNNNNNNNNNNNNNNNNNNNNNNNNNNNNNNNNNNNNNNNNNNNNNNNNNNNNNNNNNNNNNNNNNNNNNNNNNNNNNNNNNNNNNNNNNNNNNNNNNNNNNNNNNNNNNNNNNNNNNNNNNNNNNNNNNNNNNNNNNNNNNNNNNNNNNNNNNNNNNNNNNNNNNNNNNNNNNNNNNNNNNNNNNNNNNNNNNNNNNNNNNNNNNNNNNNNNNNNNNNNNNNNNNNNNNNNNNNNNNNNNNNNNNNNNNNNNNNNNNNNNNNNNNNNNNNNNNNNNNNNNNNNNNNNNNNNNNNNNNNNNNNNNNNNNNNNNNNNNNNNNNNNNNNNNNNNNNNNNNNNNNNNNNNNNNNNNNNNNNNNNNNNNNNNNNNNNNNNNNNNNNNNNNNNNNNNNNNNNNNNNNNNNNNNNNNNNNNNNNNNNNNNNNNNNNNNNNNNNNNNNNNNNNNNNNNNNNNNNNNNNNNNNNNNNNNNNNNNNNNNNNNNNNNNNNNNGAUCUUUGUUUUCCAAGUAUUCCAGCUCAGUCAAUCAGAAUCGUACAGUGUACCUUCUCAUUUAUCAUUUCAUCAUGUUAUCCAAGGAUCUUAGGAAUGAAAUCAUUUCCAUAUGGAGCAUCUCAGUAGUUAUGAGUAUACCUCUGUUCAUGUGUCAUGCAUAUGAGCUAAUUUAUAGGUGCCCCGUGCACAGUCUUAGUGACCCUGUGAAAUAAGUGUUGUAGAGGAACAUGGAGUCCCAAGGGGGAGAUAGCUCGUGACUUCUUAAAGCUUUCGUGUUUUAAACACAUCUAGUUCAUGCUCAAGUUCUCAUUACGAUCCUUGAAUUGGCUAUUGUUGCAUACACAUUCAUACAUUCCAGAGUCGGUUCAACUAGAUAUUUAUGCGUCAGAUAUGCAUGUUCAGUAUGAGGACUAGGAAACUGUAGUUCCAAUCGUGCCAAUAUGUCUCAGAUGUUCGCGUCCCUUAAGAAGGUCAGUUGAUCAGUGCUUUUAUCCUAUCAAGCGACAUUCGAGGACGAAUGUUUCCAAGGGGGAGAUAAAACUUGUAACGCCUCGAAAAUCGAGUCCCAAGACGCUACACGGUGCUUAGGGUCACAAGUGAGCCCAAGCUAACCCUUUCAUAGGUAUAACUCAAAAGCAGCUGAUUUAAAACAUAAUUCUAAGAGAAUGAAGCUGAAAAUAUCUCAAUACAGAAUCUGUUCAAUACAAUAUUGGAAUUACAAUAUGACAAUUCUACUGAUACAUAUACAUAUACAAGAAGGAGACUGAAUACAUCAACCACUACUACUGUCUAUGAAGCCUCUACUAGUAUUGCCUGUACAUAAACGAGUCAUGACUCCCAACCAUCCCACUCAAUAUGGCUGACAGAAGAAGGUACAGUGUCUCUGAACUGAAACAACCAACACAAGACCUUGAACUAUAAGGGCUCCUUUACCUGCUGACUAGAUGUUGUAACUGAAUAGAAUAGUAGAUGGGGGUCAGCGCAAAGAGAAUGUACUGAGUAUGUUGGGGUGCAUGCAACACUUUAAAUAACAUCAUCAAUUUCAUGAAAACAUGCAUACAGACAAUGAUGACUCACUUGGCUUGAGUUAUAUCACAUCAUACUCUUUAUACUUUCAUAAUAAAUAGUUCAAAUGGUAAAAUCUCAUAAUCCAUGUANNNNNNNNNNNNNNNNNNNNNNNNNNNNNNNNNNNNNNNNNNNNNNNNNNNNNNNNNNNNNNNNNNNNNNNNNNNNNNNNNNNNNNNNNNNNNNNNNNNNNNNNNNNNNNNNNNNNNNNNNNNNNNNNNNNNNNNNNNNNNNNNNNNNNNNNNNNNNNNNNNNNNNNNNNNNNNNNNNNNNNNNNNNNNNNNNNNNNNNNNNNNNNNNNNNNNNNNNNNNNNNNNNNNNNNNNNNNNNNNNNNNNNNNNNNNNNNNNNNNNNNNNNNNNNNNNNNNNNNNNNNNNNNNNNNNNNNNNNNNNNNNNNNNNNNNNNNNNNNNNNNNNNNNNNNNNNNNNNNNNNNNNNNNNNNNNNNNNNNNNNNNNNNNNNNNNNNNNNNNNNNNNNNNNNNNNNNNNNNNNNNNNNNNNNNNNNNNNNNNNNNNNNNNNNNNNNNNNNNNNNNNNNNNNNNNNNNNNNNNNNNNNNNNNNNNNNNNNNNNNNNNNNNNNNNNNNNNNNNNNNNNNNNNNNNNNNNNNNNNNNNNNNNNNNNNNNNNNNNNNNNNNNNNNNNNNNNNNNNNNNNNNNNNNNNNNNNNNNNNNNNNNNNNNNNNNNNNNNNNNNNNNNNNNNNNNNNNNNNNNNNNNNNNNNNNNNNNNNNNNNNNNNNNNNNNNNNNNNNNNNNNNNNNNNNNNNNNNNNNNNNNNNNNNNNNNNNNNNNNNNNNNNNNNNNNNNNNNNNNNNNNNNNNNNNNNNNNNNNNNNNNNNNNNNNNNNNNNNNNNNNNNNNNNNNNNNNNNNNNNNNNNNNNNNNNNNNNNNNNNNNNNNNNNNNNNNNNNNNNNNNNNNNNNNNNNNNNNNNNNNNNNNNNNNNNNNNNNNNNNNNNNNNNNNNNNNNNNNNNNNNNNNNNNNNNNNNNNNNNNNNNNNNNNNNNNNNNNNNNNNNNNNNNAAAAAAAUUCAAAGUCUUAUAAAUCCUUCAUAAAGUAAUUUGAGUGUAUACCCAUUUCCGAAUAUCAUGAAAUUUCAAUAAUAGAACUCAACCUUUUUAAAUGUCAAAAUAUAACAAUGUAUCAAGUCAUGACAACAUCAAUAAUUUUGAGAAAAUAUCAAGACUCAUGGUAACAUCUCAAAUGUUAUAUCUCAAUAUGCUCAAUGAUUCAAUUUCGUCAUAAAGAAGCUUUAAGCUUAUCAUAAAUCUCAAAAUCAUUCCAAAAUACCAUUUCAACAUAUAUCUCGAAAUCAUUCAAAAUAAAAAUAUGAAAUUUACAAUUAUAGAUAUCAAGACAUCUCAUGUCUCAAAUAUAUAUUCAAUAAUUCAAAUUGUCAUUGGGAAGUAUAAAGCUUGACAGAUAUCUCAAAAUAUAAUUUCAAAAUACCAUCUCGACUUACGUCCCAAAAUUAUUUACCUCGUGGUAAAAGAGUGUAAUUCGCAAUGAUAAUUAUUAAAUCAUAUCAUGAAAAUAUUGAGAUAAUCAUAUAAAUCAAAGUUUAUUCAUUCAACCAUCAUAAUCUCAUAAUCGAAUUAUUUAGNNNNNNNNNNNNNNNNNNNNNNNNNNNNNNNNNNNNNNNNNNNNNNNNNNNNNNNNNNNNNNNNNNNNNNNNNNNNNNNNNNNNNNNNNNNNNNNNNNNNNNNNNNNNNNNNNNNNNNNNNNNNNNNNNNNNNNNNNNNNNNNNNNNNNNNGAAGGUCUUGAAAUGAGGAGUUCGUUUAUCGGAUUAAUUUUGGAUUUCUACGGUGAAAUUGAAAGAUAUUUAAAAGUGAAAUUUGGCUAGGGUUUCAUUAUCCCAAAUAUUUCAUGGAGAAAAUAAAUUUUGAAGGUUCAAUUAUGGAUUAAAUGGAUAAAUUUUCGUCCAAGAGGAGGGGUGAAAUGACCAAAUUGUCCUUAAAAAAAUAAAUAAUGUCAAAUCUGUCCUUUGGUGGACUGUUUUGAUAGGCUGAAGUAGAUCGACCAUAACAUUUUACUUCGAUAGCCAAAUUGGAUGAAACCAAUUUCAUUAGAAAGAGGACUCUUAGAGCUUUCCGUUGAUAUAUAAUAGCUCACCCAGAUCAUUAUGUACAAGGAGUUAUAGUCAUUUGAAGUUGACCCUGAAAUUCGCCUGGCUGCAGCAAUUUUUAAUUUCCUGCACGUUUUACUGUUCACAGUUUGAUCGGAAUGGUCGUAACUCAUCGCUCGAGUGUCCGUUUUCGAUGAUCUACAUAUCGUUGGAAAGAUUAUUCGAUACUCUACGCAAUGGUAGAUCAACGUCUUAGAAAUACUACACAGAAAAUUUAUGGAUCGCUCUAAAGCGUAGAACUCGAUACCUUUCUCACGAAAUCUUUACGAAGAAAAUUUUCCGGGGUAUUACACACGCUCACUUUAUGUUUAUCAAUUGCUUAUUACAUGUCUAACCUUUGUUAUUUAGUAUGAUGUAAAGACGCAGGUAACAGAGAAGGAAUAGCAAACAGAGACAAUUUUCAUUCUUGUUUUUGAAAUAUCACCCUACUUACCUAUACACCGCAUAAGCUCGAACUCAAAACCCACACACCUUUCAUUUUCACAUCCCCCCCUCACGUCAUUAUUUCAAAUCAUAUUUAUCCCAUCUCAUCAACCCAUGAUAUUAUUUUUUGAUGCCCUAUCCUUUAUUAUUGACAAUCUUUAGGAAUAUUGUUUGUUCCUAAAUCUAGAACUAUAAAUGGAUUGGUUCUCGUAAAACCAGAGAUAUGUAGGCAACUUGAAACUAAAGUCUCGGCCACACUAUUUUUUAAAACCACAUCCUGUUGCCUUAAUUUCACUAAGCUACUCUCUCGGUCUGACAAAAUUGGCUACUAUGUCAACUUUCGUUGCUAGACAAUUCUUUCAUCAUACUCAAGCAACGAAGGAGCAACUGUUGACACUCAAUUUUGACAGUCUGACACUCAUUUUAGGCUAUUAUUUUAGCAAAAUUAUUAAUUUUAAAUGUUAGUAUUUUUUACACAUUUUUCUUGCAUCAAACAAAUUUUUGACGUGUCACAUCCAUGAUUUUAAAAUAUACAAAUUAUUUUUACCACCUUACAGUAUCAUUCUUAUGAUUCAUUAAUUUAAAUAUAAUAUUUAUCGACGUAAUUUUAUCAAUAUUUUGUUAAUUCUUUUUGUAAAUAUGCAUACUCACAAUUUUCAAAUGCAUUGUGUAUUAUUAUUAUUAUUAUUAUUGUUGUUAUUGUUGUUGUUGUUGUUGUUCUCGCUAUCAAUAAUUUUAUAUAAUAAUUUUACGUAACAUCAGUUUUUACACGCUUAGCUAAUUUUAAUACCGACGUCUUAUUAUCUUUCUUAUCGUAUUUAUUAAAACAACAGCCCUAAUUUAAUUCAAUUUCUCAAUUUAUUUAUUUUUUAGUCACUUUGAUUCAAUUUCCUCCUUUUGUAUUUAAUUGCUAACCAAUUUUUGAUCAAUUAAUGUUAAUUUUAGUCAAAGUUGAUUUAAUCUUAACCCCAAAUUAAAAUUUAAUUGUUGACCUUUUUUUAAAUAAUUUUAAUCCCAACCGUUGAUCAAAACUGAUCCAAUGGCUAAGAUCGUGUCAACCCAUUCUUUCCUUUUUUAACUUCAAAACCCUAACUCCUCCUCAUUUUUCAUCAAAAGAGCCGCAACUUUCUCCUCACUCUUCCCUCUCUCUAAACUCACCAGUCACCGCCGCCACUAACACCGGCGAAACCAGCCAUCGAUCUCUCCGACCCAUAUCGUCUUUUCACCGCUGCCGACCAGUCCUCGGAGCCACCUUCAAAGCUGCCGGCGGGUCUCUCCCUCUCUCUUCCUCUGACGAGCUCUGUCGUCGUCGCCGCUGUGCAAUAGCCAUACCAGCUUCGCCUUUCCUUCUCCUCCGUCUAGCCCCGUCGCACCGCCGCUGCACAACAGCCAAAGCAGCGGCCAACCAACGCCGCCCUCUCCUCUCAUUCAUUACGCCCUUACCGGAGUUGAUAACCAGCGAGGUUUUCGAGGAGCCUGACUGCAAUUACGGUCCGAGUUUAAUCUUUAUUUACCUUAAAUUGCAUAAUUUUUUAUUUGCUCUUAUCUUCAAAUUAUUCAAAUUUUCAGAUUUAGAAGGUAUGGUGUUUGAGUUUGACUGUUGAUUCAAUGUCUUUACUUAUGUGUUUAUUAGCGUCUCUAGGCUAACAUAUAUGAAACCCCCCGAGUUUGUAUGAGUACUGAAACCUAGUUUAUAUGCUUGAUUAAUUGUUUAUCCUGGCAUCGAUAAGGUUGACACUUUAUUGUUAAGGUCAAAUUUAAAAUUUAUUUGCCUAAAAAGUCUCUGCUAUUUUGAUAUUGGUACGGUUCUUCAUUUUUGAAUUAGCUCAAAUUAUGUGAUAACUUUACCUUCUCUUUUCUUGCCUUGCUUAAAAUAGCCUAGUAUGAUUAGAUAUGAUAACUUGAGAUGCAUACCCUAUUAUAGCUUUGGUACUGCUCUUUUGGUAGACGUUGAUAGCUCUAUAUAAUUAUUUUCCUCUUAUGGUGAAAUUAGAAUUAUAAAACCCUCCAAAUCUAUUAUUCUUUGGUGAAAACCCGCCUGAUUUCUCAAUAAAUUGAUUGGCCUUACUUAAUUGAGAGUUAUGGUUGAUUGAUUUAAUGUUUAUUUAUGGUAAAUAUGGCUAAAAAUAUUUGGUUUACAUAUUUACGGUAAAUAUAAUGUCUUUUAUAUUUUAAAUUGAUCCAUCCUUAAUCUGAUUGGUUUAACUUGCCAUAUUUGAUUUGAUUGUGUGAUUAACAAUCUCUUUCCUUUCUUUAAUAUCAUGAUUGAUUUUGUGACUCUGGGUAUAUUUUUAUCUUAGUUGAUUGAUCUUGUGAUGGGGAUUAUAACGUUUUUCCUUGUUUAUCAUAGUCAGUUUUCUACUAUAAGAGUAAUCUUUUUCGGUGUUUAGAAGGGACAACUGCUAAUGCUCUCUACUCUCUCAUAUACAAAAGACAAACAUUGAUAUUCCUUUUCUCUUACAAGUUACUCUAUCACAAAAAGCUUUAAGCAAACAAGAAACAAUUUUACUUUAUUACUCUUUUGUACUUAUUUUUCAGAGCAUUGAUCCUAACUGUUCUGCGGCAAUUCGUACAUGAAUCCUGUGCUUCUUGAUUUUCUUCUUCUUAUUAUUAUUUAUUAUCAGCAACCGUUAAGUCACUAUCGAUGUAAUUUUUUUACACUUUAUGUGAUGAUGCUAGUAAACAUGUUUAUAGAAAUCAUUCGGUGCUUGUUUGCUAUGUCUAUGUUAUGUUAUAUUUUCUUUUGUACUGCUAUUAUACAUUGUCUCGCAGGUGUAAAUAGACAGUUUCGGGAAUUUGAAGAAUCGUUUGAAUCGUUUGAAGAGUCGUCGGGAUAUUGGGAAAGGGGUUGUCCGUUCUUUUUCCUUUAUUUAGUCAUGUAUUUUUAUUCAUUGUGUUGUAAUAACUUUUGUAAACCUUUUGAUGUAUUAAUAAAAUUGAGGACUGCUCAGGGGAUGGGGAUCGAUAUGCUCUAUGAAUCCAGCAAGCUACGUAAUUUAGGUUUAUGUUUUUAUGUGCUUUUAUAUGAUUACGUGAACCACUUAAGCAAAUUCUUAUUAUUAAUAAUAAACUUGUUUUACCGCUUGAAAAUCACAUUUUUAAGACCGUCAAUAGACUUUCGACAUGAUAAAAUUGUUUUGGGCAUAUUAAUUUAAUUCAUAAAAUCAAUUUUCAGCAUUUUUAUUUGCUUCUUUACGUAUUUUUUAGCAUAUACAUAUUAAUUUCUAGCAUGUCAAUAUCAUUUUUCAGCAUAUAUUAAUAAAUUUCAGCAUGUUAUAAAUUAACUUUCAGCAUAUUAGAGUUAAUUUUCAGCUUGUAAAAUUGAUUUUUCAAGCAUAUUAAAAAUACAAAAUAUGAAUUUUCAAUAUAUUGAAAUGUAUUUUCGGCAAUGUUUUGUGCCUAUUUGUUUAGUUUUUCCACGUGUUAUUUAUUUUUCGGCAAGUGGAUAUGUUUCUUAGCAUUGUAAAAUUAAUGUCCAACAAUUUACUAAUUUAUAACAUAUUUCGCAUUACAAAAUUAAUGGGUAUCCCUCCCCAGUGUAAUUACUUUAUUUUGACAUACUUUGUUUUAAAAAACUUUACAACACUAUUUUUGAAUGACUUGAUGGUUACUUUUCAUCAAUAAAUAGUUAUUUUUCAUUUAGACAUCAUGCUCAAAUAUUUAUUACAUAAGAAAUUAAUGUUUCAAUUCUCUCAGGUUUGUUUAACUUUGACAUGUCGUUUUCUUUCUUAACGAAUUUUAUAAUAUUAUUUUGACUUGAACAACAAUUAUAUUUUGUCAUACUUGUAAUUAUUAACAUCUACAUACCAUGCUUAUAGGCUUAACUAUCUUUUACAUCAUAAAUUAAUGUUUUAUCCUUUCACGUUUACCUAACUUUGACAUGUCUUUUAUUCUCAACGAUUUUUUACAAUAUUUUUUUAAAUAAUUUGAUAAUUACUUUUCAAUUGUGUGACCCCACAUAGAUAUCAUGACUAUAGGUUAACUAAAUAAAAUCAGUAAUUAUUUGUCUUUGCAUGUUAAUCACAUUAAUCAAUUUUAAUUAAUCAAGAGGCUAAUUUGAGACAAUUAUGUGCAACGUGACGUCCUACUUGUUACAUGUUUCGAGUCCUAGGCCAUGUAGCUUUAUUUGUCUAAACCACAAAACUAAAAUAGCAAAGUCCAAUGCCUCUUGGACGAUAGGUGGGACGAUAGAUAUUACUAAACACGUUAGUUUUAUCCUUGUCUUAAAACGCCUUUAGAUUUAACAACCAACCUAGAUAGGGUGGGACGGGUAGUAAUUCAGAAGUGAUGGUCUCCAACAGAUAUUAACGGUAAGACUAACGACAUUGUCACUUGUCUUAGAAUUCGGCCAGUGGGUCGGAUAAUGAUUAAACAAGUUGGGGCUCUGAUCCGAAUGAGACCAAAAACAUUUCUUUGUUUAAUUUGACGAAUUCUUUUUAUUCUUUUAUUUACUUUAUGUGCUUAUUUGUUUGGGGUAGUUAGUUUAUUACAUAAGCAGUCUCCUUUGUUUCCGCUUAUGUCUUUUUUUUUUUUCUCGAUCGUCUUGUUAUAUGUUUUAAUGAUUUUAUCACUUAGAUAAUCAACAAUUAGAAAUAAUAAAAUAACAUGUGUUCAUUUAUUAAUUACUUUGUCACUUAGUUAACAAUUAAGUUAAAAUAAAAGACCUUUAUUUGAUCACAUAGAAUCCCUACGUAAAGUACGAUUUCGGUUAGAAACCACCUCUGUGGACCUCGAAAGAUGCCUAACACCUUUCUUUUGCGGUAAUUUGAACCCUUAUCCGAAUCUCUGGUCAACUACAACAAAACAAUAAAAUAGGUUUGUAGUAGCCUAGACCGUUGCCCUAACGCACCUUAAUACGUUCGGUGGCGACUCUUCACACUUUCUCAUACAAUCUCAAAAAGAGUGGUCACGUCGAAUUCCAUUUUUCGCGAGAAAAUGAGGCGCGACAAUAUCGUUCCGUGUUUAUAAAUGUUAUUUUCUUUCCUUUUGGCACCCUUUUGUAUGUUUGGAGGACAAAUGAAUGUGGCAAAGUACCUUGAACAUGUUUGUAUGACUAUUUCUUCUUGUCACUUAGUAUAUUAUGGACAAGCAUUUGUUAUUUUGUGAUUGGCAUUGGGAUGAAAAAAUAAAGUGAGCAUAAUCAUGUGAUGUAAAUCCCAAAGAGUAGGUAGAAUAAGUGUUAACUCAUUGCCUGUGUGUGCGAGUGUUUGUUACAGUUCCUGCAUAGUGUGUACAACUAGAACUUGCCCGGUUAAUUUAUAUUGUUUUGUGAUUGAUUCAAUAAGAUAGGAUAUCAGGCCCCCUUCAAUUAUUAGUCCACUUAGCCGUAAAGAAUGACCCACCAAAAAGAUUUUUCCCUUUUUACACCCUUUUUGAGAUUGUGGUAGUGUUUAUUCAUUCCCAAUAACUCUGAUUCACUCUCUUUAGGAUGUUAGCACCUAAUUUUGGCCCUGGUCCAAUUUUGGAUAUCGUGCACCUUAACUUAGGCAAAAUGCCUAAGUUGAUGGUGGCUACUGUCAGGAAGUUACAGUUUGAUGUAGGCGGGUUGGAGUUGAAAUAAAAUGUCCUAUCUGGCCUUGAUCUAGUUAGAUAUUGUGCACCUAAAUUGACUGCAUCUGCAUAAGUUGAGGGUGGCUGAUGCAGACUCUGUAAAAAAAACUGGGUUUAUGGUGAAUUCGUGGAUGAAUAGUAUGAAUUGUAAGUGAACUAGAAAAGGAUUAGUUUUGAUGAGUAGCAAUCAAGGGCAAAUAGAGUGAAGUUCGAAAUUGAAGCCAUUUUUCCAAAUAUUAGUCCUCACCUAACACCAAAACCUCAUUACAAGCCAUAGAAAGACCUGCUUGAUCUUUGCGAAUCAAUCAUAGGGGAACAUUAGAUGAUAAAGGCAAGUUUAUGGGUGUGUAUGCUGUGUUUGCAACUUUGUUUGUAAGAGAGAAAGUCUUAGUUUUUUCCGCAGGUUAAAUGAAUCAAGUGUGGUGGACUUCUUUAACUGUGAGGGCAAUUUGAAUUAUACUUAGUUUUGUUGACUUUUGUGGGAUGUUGUGUCUAUGGUUGUGUAUGUGCUGAAUUAGAAAUAAUGUCAGUUAUAGAUCCUGUUGUGUUGAAACUACAUGAGUGAGAUGACAGUUAAGUGGUUGUAUGAAAUCUAGUUUGAUAGUUGAAUGCCCAUCAUUGUAUUUGUUCAUUCAUACGAUUUGGUGUUGAGUUUCUUGAGGACAAGCAAUCGUCUUAAGUUGACUGAACAUUUUACAUCUUUUACAAGGGAUAAUUGUGCGUUUUCAAGCAACUGUUGUUGUGUUUAAUGCUGAAUUUUAGUGUUUUCAGGUCAAGGACUUAGCUGAUGAUAUAACUUGGAAAAAUAGAAGAAACAUGAACAAAAAGGGGAAUGACGGCUAACCUGACGGGGCCGUCAACCAUCUGACAGACCGUUAGAGUGUUCGUCAAAGCUAAACAGAAUAGACAGAGUAGAUAACCCAAAUGACGGUCCAAGUGACGGACCGUCAGACCUCUGACGGGCCGUCAACCUGGACGUCAGGCUGAGAUAUUGAGUGGCUUCUCAAGUGAUCAAGCGACGGUCCAAGCAACGGACCGUCAGGCCAGUGAUGGCCCGUCAAUAUAACUGUCACUCCUUAACCAG
rnacentral:lncRNA from 1 species